rnacentral:lncRNA from 1 species
AAUUAGUCAAUCGUAGAUUAGACCAUACCGAAAAAUCCCCAAAAUAGUUGUAUUGUUCGAAUCCAAAAAGAUAGAAAAAGAAAUAUCGGAAAAUAUUCUCUAAGACUCAAAGUGUCGAACUCUCUUUAGAAUAAUGAUGAUGAUGAAUGAAUGCCUCCUAGAAAACCCUAAAACAAAGCUUUAAAUAGUUUAACCUAAAAAGGAAAUAAAAUUAAAGUUGCAGCUUUUUUUCAGAAUAGACGACGACAUCCGUGACAACUUAUCAGGAGUCUGACGUCUUAUCACGGAUGUCGUCAGCUUCUCUGCACUUUUUGCUUCUGCUGUCUAAGGUUGGCGAUGGCGUUGACGCCUUAUCACCAACCUAACGGCUUAUCUCGAAUGUCUUCACCAAAAUGUCUUCAACUCCUAUUCUCUAUUUAAGGCUGAUGGCAUCCUUGACAGCUUAUCACCAAGCUGAGGACUUAUCAUGAACAUCGUCAGCCAUACUUGUCUUUUAUUUUGCUUCACUUUUCAGCCUUUUUGCCUCCAUUAUUUUUGGUUCUCCUACAUCUCAACAUUUACUGCAAAAAAUCAGAGUAAACUAAUAAAAAACAACUAAAGUUGGUCAAGACCUUACAAUUAUUUAGAGUUAAAAGCCUAAAAUAUGUUAGCAUAGGCUCACACAUCAACACCCUCAACUUAAACAAUUGCUUUUCCUCAAGCAACCAUAACAUAACUAAGAUAAUACAAAGUACAAUUUGGCAGCUAACUACUCAUACUAGUUUAGAAUAUAUUCACUAUCUCCAAGGUCAGUUAAUUUUAAAGCUCACUGUUGAAUGUUUUGAAAAACAACCAUGCAACUCACAAGAAUCAAGAUACGGAAAACAUUUAGCAAUAAUAACCAUGACAUACCAAGAUCACACUUAUCUGAACAAGUCAGUGACUAGCAACAAACACAGUGUGCCCUCACAACAAAGAAAUCCCUUUUUCACUCAUAUCAGAAUUCAAAUACAUAAAUGGAGGGAUCAAACAAGAAUCACUCUUAGAAUGAAGUUCCAAACACUAGAUGUCAAAUGCCAUAGGCUUUCCUUAUAGUUAGUACCCAAUUUUUCAGUAGGCCAGUUAGGAUCACUAUAGCGUUUUUCUUAAGCUUGUAAUGUAGGCUAGGGGCUGAUGUGAUAUUCAUGGAUAUUUUAGAGUUACUAUGCCUCCUUCACACUACACUAAACUCUCGGGGUUUGAACUCCUAACCUUCUUUUCUUCCUCUCUUUUAUUGAUCACACAUGCUCAAGAUGGAUGCAAUCUUUUCAAUUAUCACAUUAUCUUUUUAUCAUCUUUUCAAAGCUUUCUCAUUUCUUAUUCUUUUUCAGCGAACUAAACUUUUUAUUCUUUUAUUUUAUUCUUUCUCUCUUCAUACUCAUUUUGUAUCACGCACCCCUAUGAUAGCCACCCUUAACUUAGGAUGUUUGCCUAAUUCAAGAUGCACAGUGUCCAAGGAGGACCAGGGCCAAAACAGGUUCAUUGUGAUAUAAACGGAAAGGUGAUAGAUUUCAUGAAAGAAAUAGGCUAUUUAGGCUCAAAAUAAGGAUCAAGGGAUAUUAUGUGUACAGGGAAGGUCAUUUAGGCUAAAAGUGGGCUAAUAUCAAAAUGGCCUAUGAUCCUCUCCUAACCUCUAUCCUACAACCAAGGCAAAACUAACCGGGCAAGUUCUAGAUUUACACAUAAACGGAACUAAGUAAGACCUCACACACAUAUGGAACACAAAUAUAUCGCACAUCACUACUUAUCCAGUUCAUGCAAUUUUUUAGUACUGAUUAUCAAGUUAACAGAACUAAUGCCACCAAAAGAGCACUAUGGUCAAAAUUAGAUGCAAAUCACACAGUAUUACAAAUAGGCACUUAGAGAGGUGGUCAAAAAUCACAAAACAUAUUAACUACCUCAUUACUUGUAUUUCUCCUAGUUAACCACAACACAUCACAAAAAAAAACACAAUACGCCUAAACAUGUCGGCUCUACUAGGAAAAAUACUCCGGCAAAAAGAGGCACAACAACAAAAACCCAUAAAGGACAUCAACACCCACAAGUAUCCCCACCCUCAACUUAAAAUCAUGCAAUGUCCCCAAUACAUCAAACCAAAAUAAGAGAGUUAGAAACAUACCUGUGGCACCAUGGGUGCAAAGAUCUGAUGUCAAUCACAUAAUAUGAAUACAAACUACAAAAUACCUUGGGUUGCCUCCCAAGAAGCGUCUAAUUUAGUGUCGCGGCAUGACUCAGUUAUCUUGACUACUCAGACUUCAUCAACAUACCUUGUUGAUAAUUAUUUAUGUCUCCACUUGGAGGAUUUGAAAUGUCAACCCAACUUUUGAUCAAUACAUCUCGAGGUGCAUUGGGCAAACGUACAGACACAAUGAUACUUCCUUUAUCUCCCCAAUUUAAUCACUUGAAUAACUUACCCAACUUCAUAUUAAAUUUUCGAAUAGGCUCAUUGGGUAUUGAUGAGAUUAUCAAUAAUUCACUUGAUGCACAUUGAAUUUUCCCUUUACUAACCUUCAAGUAGGGUGUUUUAUUUUGCUCUUUUUGAAUGCCAAACUCUAAAAUAUAAGGAUUAUGUUCCUCAUCAUCAAAACACCUCAAUUUCUUCGGUAGGUGGACUUCCAUCUUAUCCACCCAGCAUAAUUUUUAAAAAUGGUUUGAAUGAGGUUUUCUCCUUAAUUUUAGAGUUGCAUCCUUCAGGGCAUCCUCACCCUGAAUUGGGCUAGAGUCUUCAGAAGAGAUUUGCUUGGUUUCUUAUUUUGCCUCUUGAACUGUUUCCUUAAUCUUGGCAUCAUCCCUCAUAGUUAGUUUGGUUGUUUGGAAAAUCAUCGAGGGUUGCUCAAUAUCAAGAAUAACAUCGAUAUAGGAUUCUUGUUCCUUAUCUUCACACUCGUCCAUUAUGUUAAAUGCUUCCAUAGACAAGAUAUCAUCUAAACAUGAUGUGGAAAAGUUCUUUGACUACUUAACCUCUAUAUCCAUAUCCUCUAUUAUGAUUCUUUCCUCAUUAUUUUCCCUUAUGUCUUGAUGUAUAUCACGUAUGAUAUCAUUCGUUGUGUCCACACAAUCCAAUACUAGUUGAAGCAUAGCUUCAAUGCCACACUUUCUGGUGCUUUGUUCUUCCUGUUCUUGACCAUAAGACCUAUUAAUAUCAUAAGAAAAACUAGAAUUUAGGUUAGCAUACCGGGGGGUAGUUGGGCAAUCAGUCUAAUGUCUAUCUUGACCACCAUAUAAAGAACAAUCAUACUCCUAGUAGGAUGGAGAUGGUGCACACAUCUCUCUCCGGGGAGCAUAUCUACAAUUUUGGCAAAAGUAAGGCCCGUCACAAUAUGGACAUGGAUCAUCAAGAUACAAUUUCCAACCACCAAGCUCAUAUUUAUUCCAAGAUGCCAUAUUAAUAAGUAAACUAAAAUAAAAAUCUACCUAACACCAGAAAUAAAAAAAAAACUAAAAAUAAAUAUUUACAAGUUUAAAUACAAGCAAGUAGGCUAAAAUUCUAAACCAACUCAAUACGCCAAAUUGUUCCACGGUAACGGUGCCAUUUUUGAUAUCCCUCAACUUACAGGUCAAUUUAGUCCAAAGCAUAUGUCAUCAAUUUAUUUACCCAACUUUGGAGUCGGGGUCAAUCCUCAGGGAACAAUGUAAGUGACGAUUAAACUAGUUUGAAACUAAAGCUACAAGUUAAAUUCAAGUAAAUGAUAAUAAAAGAAAGUAAAAUAGGGAUUUGAGUUUAAAAAGUAAUUAUUGGUCACUUUAAUUUUAGUGUUCGUAAUCAAGAGUUUACGGAAAAACCAGAAUUAUGUUCACUUGGGCUUACGGUACAUGACAGAUGCUAAAGGUGACUCAAGAUUCUCACUGUGGUUAGGAUAACAAGCUAUCUUUAUCAAUGAUAUGCUCAAAUGUCUCUCAACCAAUUUAAGCAUCAAAUUUCCUAAUCCUCUCACACUUAGAAAAUCGCUAUUCACUACCCAGAUUUUACCUCAGGUUAAUCAACCUUGUUACAGCACUGAUUAUUCGAUGAAGUAUUUUUGAGUACCUGUUGAUAAUUCACUUCCUACUGUAUAUGAUUUCUUUUUUAAGCAAAUCAAAGUAGGUGUGUCUAUUAUUUGCAACCAAUAGACGUUUAUUAAAAUUUCAAAAUUAUCGAGAAAUCCUAACACCUAUUAAAUCUUGAGUGUUUAGCACAUCAUAAUGACAUAACCCUUGAUCCUAUAAUUCAGGUUAACGGAGUUUAGCCACUCAUGAUGCAAAGAACGAAACACAUAAUUGAAUUUAUAAUUGAGAAGAUUAACUUAUAGAGAUGAAUAAUAAUUAGUGAAUCAUACAUUAUAUCACAAAGGAAAAUUCCCAAAAUAGUUGUAUUGUUCGAAUCCAAAAAGAUAGAGGAAGAAAUAUCAAAAAAUAUUCUCCAAGCCUCAAAGUAUCGAACUCUAUUUAGAAAAAUGAUGAUGAUGAAUGAAUGCCUCCUAGAAAACCCUAAAACAAAGCUUUAAGUAUUUUAACCUAAAUAAGGAAAUAAAAUUAAAGUUGCAGUUUUUUCUCAAAAUAGAUGACGACAUCCGUGACAGCUUAUCAGGAGUCUGGCGGAUUAUCAAGGAUGUUGUCAGCUCCUCUGCACUUUUGGCUUCUGCUAUCUAAGGCUUAGGACGACAUUGAUCCCUUAUCACCAACCUGAUGACUUAUUAUGAAUGUCAUCACAAAAAUGUCUUCAACUUUCAUUCUCUGUUUAAGGCUGACAGCAUCCUUGACAGCUUAUCACCAGGCUGACGACUUAUCAUGAACGACGUCAGCCAUACUUUUCUUUUAUUUUGCUUCACUUUUUAUCCUUUUUUCUUCUAUUAUUUUUGGUUCUCCUACAUCUCAACAUUUACUACAAAAAAUCAAAGUAAACUAAUAAAAAACAACUAAAGUUUCUCAAGACCUGACAAUCAUUUAGAGUUAAAAGCCUCAAAUAUGUUAGCGUAGGCUCACACAUCAUAGGCAUCGCCUGAUUGAGCUCCAAAUGUAAUAUAAGCAUAAAUAACAUAUGGAGUAGUAAUUUAGUCUAUAGGUAACUAUACAAGAAAAUAAACAUGAUGAUUCUAAGAGAGAAAGAAUAAUAAACUCAUCGUGUCCUAAUAGUAAUCUGAUUCUAAGUGUAGUAUCGUAUGUCACUAGUCAAUAUAUGAGAAAGAUUGAAAAAGAGUUAUAUAAUAGUAUAUAAUGUCAAGAAUACCUAUACGAUAUGAAUUGACAAAAAAAGAGGGAUAUGCGAUGAUACCAUAUAUAUAUGUAUAUAUCUAUGCAUAUAUGUGUGUACAUAUAUAUAUAUAUAUAUAUAUAUAUAUAGGACUACUCAAGGUAAUGACCUAAGGUAACCAACCAAAUAUCUCAAAGCAUCCUAACCAAGUAGCAAAACUAUUGCUGGAAUUAUUAGAAUCCAUAACCAUAAUACUUAACCCUGAGAGACCUAUCAAUAAUGUAAUUUACCUUAAAAAGAGAAAGGUAUCAGAAUUAUACUGACACCCUCGGGUUCUAUAACAUAAUCAACCUUCCAUGACCUAAUGAUAAUAAUGAUAGUAAAGUAACUGGCUAGUUCGGACAACCAAUAUUUAAUCAGGGUCUCAUAAGCCAAGAAGGUUAAAUAAACACUCAGAAGACAUUAAUCAUAGCGUAUAAUAUACACUCCCUAUAAGGCCGAUAGAUAUAAGCACCAAACAAGAUACUAGUAAUCAGUAGUGGAUAUAAAUGAACAAGUGCAAAGUAAACCCAUAGCACUAUGUCUGAUCUGAGAACCACAAUUUGCCAAGUUAUAAACCUCCUCUUACUAUACAACUUGUAAAGGCAAGACCUAUGAUAACCUCUCUUCUCCGAUAUUAUUGCUCACAAAUGAAGGGGCUUGUAGGGGAUUUGACAAUAUUUAUGUACACUACCUGGUCAAGAUGUAGGACUUACAAUAAUCUUUAUCAUCAAUCAACUCUAUACAAUAUGUGCAUAUUUUAAGUGCACAAACUUAAAUCAUGACUAAAAGAGUAUAAGUUUGCAAUCCAUUACCCGAGAUUAACUCUGGGACUAAAGAUAUGUAAUAACACAAAAAUAGGUUAAAAUCUCUCUCAAUUGAGGUAAAUAGUAGUGGGUAAAAGAGUGGGUAAACUAUGGGAACAGAAUCAAUAUCUAAUUCCAAAACAUCAUAUUUAGUGGUAAAAGCUCAUAAAUCAUUAAAAAGGGUAUUAUGAUUUCCAUUAUAAUGAAUUCAUUUUAAAAUAGAAUUGACAAUAAAUCCAUUUUCAAAAAAAUAUAGUAAUACUAUUCUUUUGGUUGGAAUAAUAACACUAAGUGAGUAGGAAUAGACCUAAAACAUAUAUGCCAUCAGUAGUAUCCAAAUAAUACCAUCAUAAACGUCUAAGAAUCUAUAGACAAAAGUCUCAUCCUAUAUAAGAAUAGAAUGCUCACUUGGAGUUCAAUUGGUAUCGCAACCACGCGCUUGGGCCAAACAAUAUAUAACUACCAUAUUAGUAAGAUUAUAAUGCAAGAGUUAUUACCUAAUCCACUAAGUUAAAUAGUAGACCUUAUACUAAGGGACCUUACUAUCGAGCUAUCGUUAACAUGCUUAUAGUCUAGAGUGAUAGGAAUCUACAGCCAUAUCAAGUAUUUCAUCCUAAAAUUCAGGUCACUCUUCUAUUCACAAACUCCCUAAUUAGGCUAAGUCAUAAUGUAUUAGUGAUAGUCAUAUCCUAUAAUCCUUACCUAGCAUUCAAUCUACACAUACACCAUCUCAUAGAUAAAAGUAGACUGAAGCAUGCCUCAAUAUCAAAACUUCAAGUCUUGAAUCAUUCAUGAAGUGUUAACCUUUCUCUAAGACAAUGGAACACCACCACACUAUCAAAUUAAUAACCUACAUGUCAACUAGAGUAAAAAGAUAUUUAUAUUGCAUUAUAGAAGAUUGGUUAGAAUCAGGGUCAAAUAUGAGCCCACGAGGCCCAUAAAUGGAAUAUAUAAUUAAAUGAGUCACGAGGUCCCUUGAAGGAUAGGUAAUGUGAUUUCAAAAUGUGAGAAAAAUAGAGCAUAAAUUGGGGACCAAAUUAGCCCCUAACACCUAAUGAUUUUAAAACCUAAUUUCUAAGAAUUUAUGAUGAAAAAGGAUGAAAUUUGAUAGGGAAAAUAAUGAGAAAUGACCAAGGCGUGUUAGGUUAACUUACCAUAGAUUCAAUGGAUGAUUCCCCACACUUCCUACACUACUCUGAAAAAUUAAGGAAAUGGUUGAGAAAUGAAUGUGAAAUUUAGAUGAAGAUGGGGGGCUUUACCCCUCCAGGUGUCAUUAAAAUGGCUCAAUGAUUGCUUAGGUAAUCACUACUUAAGCGGUGAAUAUAUCACUGAAGCGAUCCUCUACAAAAAAAUUGAUACUUAUUUAAGUGGAACUCAACUGCUUAAGUAACCUUCUCUUAAGAGUUGAGGUCACUAUAUUAACGACUAUAUAGGACCAAGGUUGAUCGCUAAAGCAAUCCAGUAGUCGCUUAACCAACUCUACCGCUUAAGUAUUGAGGUCAUUGCUUAAGAGAUAUGCGGGAGCAAGUCUUGCAGCUAAAGUAAUAUACUAGUUUCUUAAUAGAAAAUGCUUAAUAGACCAAAGGUCUACUUAAGUGGUUGCACCAGUUGAUGCUAGAUAUCAAAUUUUUUCUAAGUACAUAUAGACUCUGAUCGGGUGUUCGGGAUUCAAUGGAACCUCGUGUGCACAAACUAACUAUGCUACCAUACUGAAUUAGGCAUUUCACAAUUAUUGGAACCAUCAAAACUUUCAUCCAUGACCAUUUUGACUAAACAUGGGGCUUAUACCUCCAGUUCCAUUUUUCAUGGAAUCCACCCAAUUGUCAAGAACAAGUACAAAAGCCUUAGGACCUUAACCAUGGGUGGCCCAACCUAAAAUAAAUAUUUUGGGGAUGAUGGCACUAUUAUAAUUCUCAUCCAAGGUUGUUACCUAGGAUUUUUGGUUCGAGACUAAUUCUAUAACAAUGAUAACUCCAAAAUAAGAAAAUGAGUCUAAACCCAAAUUAACUAUUGGAUAGCCUAACCAAUAAUUUUUCAAGUCAAUAAUUACCUACAACCACUACAAAAGCCUCAAAACAUAAAAAGAUGCAAAACUCAAGGAAAUGACCUAGAGGGUCAUAACCAUAUUACUAGGGAUCACCCUAUAUCUAGUGUCUUUGCCCUUUAGGUCCAUGGGUGGACAAAGUACGUAUGUAUAUUUCAUGAGGAAAGAUUCUUCUUUAUUUUGUAGAGAUCCUAGAUUUGAUACUUAUAUGUUCUAUCUUAGUUUUCUUGAGAGGUUGCAUAGAUUGGGCUUAGUGGAUUCUAAUAGAGAGGAUUUCACUACCUUUUAGUCCUUUGGUCUAGCUAUAGAGUGGUGGAGGACUUCGUUAGAAAGUAUACUAGUUUGAUCACCUUUCCUCUCAUGGGAUUAAUUUUCUCAAGAGUUUCUAGAGGAAUUUGUGCGGGGACAUGAAAGGCUUGUAGACUAGAGGCCCCCUAGAUUUGAUAAUGAUGGCAAGAUUCUUGGUAGAGGCCAAGAUUUUUCUGGUUAUGAUUUAAGAGGUUAGAUUAUUGUGGUCAGUCCGGUUUGUCAGGCCUCCAGUAGGAUCCUUCAUUUUUAGUUUUCUCUUUUAUAGAUAUCUCUAACACUAUAAGAGGGAUUGCCUAUAGCUUAAUAGAGAGAUGCUACACUAGUUUCUCUAAGAGAUGACCGGUCAUAGUUUCUUGUUCCUUUGGAUGGACUCGAGUUAGGAUUUUAUGGUAUAGUAGCAACAAGUAUGGUGUUGGUACUCUUUUAAUUUUCUUUAGUACUAAUUAACCAUAGUUCUACAUUCUCCUAUGUGUUUAUAUAUUUGGAAUAAAGUCUUAUUAUUAUUAGUAAGCAAUUUUCUACCUUAAUAGUGUUUCCAUAGUGGUGGAUCAAGUGUGUUGGUCCAAUGCUGGGACUCUUAUAGAGUAUAUUGCUAGACAAGAUUUGAUAUUUGUGGGUAAUAAGGAUUUUGGUGUAUUUAGGUAUGAUUCACUUAAUGGUUAUAUUAUGGAAUAGUGGUGGAUUAAUUAUAGGUUUUGGUAUUCUUUCAAAUUGGACUUAUAGUGAGUAAUUUGAAGGAUUUUCAUUUAAAUGAUUUUUUUUGGAUAAAGGAAGAUUUUGGGGCAUUAUUUCUUUGGCAUAUGUUACUUCCUUAGUGAUUAACUUUGCUUGCAUGGACAAACUUAAGGAUAUUGAUCACUUAUAAGUUAGACUUCAAGAACUUUAAAUUCUGAGGUUUCUUGCUUUUGAUUUGAAAUGAUAAUUAAUGAAAAAGUUGCCUAGUUUGUAGAAUUUACUAGGUUAAAAGUAAAAUGGAUUAAUGAAAUAUUUUGUUCAUGGGUUUUAGUUUAGAGUAUGUGUUACUAUUCCAUUGGUUUUGUGCUAAAGAAACACUGAAUGGGAAUUGAGUUAAGAAAGGUAUAAGAAACUUUCAUAUGGUACUUUAGUGUAUAAAAAAAUUAUAUAUGGGUUUGAGUUAGAAAUUUAAAUCCUUGACAUGUGUGGUUCUUUAGUGGAUAUGAGGAUUCUAGUUGUGACUUUCUUGAGAUUUUAUCUUAUAUGGGUUGAUCAUCCCUAAUAUGAUAGAUUGAAUAUAUAUAUAUAUAUAUAUAUNNNNNNNNNNNNNNNNNNNNNNNNNNNNNNNNNNNNNNNNNNNNNNNNNNNNNNNNNNNNNNNNNNNNNUAUAUAUAUAUAUUGUGAAGAUGGACUCUUUGUUCUUAAUAUUUUGGGUUGAUUGAUGUUACUUGCAUGUAAAGGAUUGCAUGGGUUAUUAUGAUGAGUUACAUGAGCUUUUGGUGCCUUUUGAGUGUUAAUGUCCAUUUUAUAUGUAAUUUUAUGGUGAUUCUUAAUUGCCUAUGAAGUUUGAGCAUAAGGAUUUUGCUAUAGUAUACUGUCUUAACUAUGAUAAUUAUGACUUUUAAGGAUUUGUGUGAACUUGAUGUUGACUUCUGAUUAAGCUGUGUUAGUUUGGGGAUAUAGUGUUAUGUGAGUUAAUAGUUAAUCUAUCAUCAUUGAAAUAGGUUGGUUCAGUAUAUUGGGGGGGGGGGGUUGUAUGGUUUCAUAAGUUCCUUAGUUUUCUGUGGGUUUGACGAAUUUUUAUUAUGUGGUGCAGUCAGUGUCUUCUGGUGUCUUGGGUAGAUUUAGGUUAAUCGGUGCAUUUAGAACUUGUUAACAUGAUCGACUAGUUUUGGGGUAUUAAGGAAGUUCGAAAUUGAGAAUUUGGCCUUAUAUAGCAUGUUGUGACAUUGUGAAUCAGUUAGUUGUAGAUUUUUAUUUAUGUAGUGAGAUCAGUAAUUUUAUACUUAUGACUACAAUUUUGAGUGCUUACUUGAUGUUCUUGAGGAUAUUUUCUAUCCCUUACCUAUUUUGGCUUUCCUUACUUGUAUGUUCGAGGGUGAACACGUCUCUUAGUGGUGGAUACAAUAAUGAUCCUUAUAGUGAAACUUAAUUUUUUAUUUUGACCAUUUUACCCCACCUCGUAGUUGUUUUAUGUCAUUUAUGAACUAUGGGAUGGUUGGCACAGCCCCGAUGUGUUCAAAAGUGUUUUAUAUGUGAUUUUAGUUUUGACAAUCCCUAAAGAGAUUAGUUUUACUUCUAUUAAUAUUUUAUAAUUUGUGCAUCGGAUGGUGAUUCUGGCAGUUUCAUUAGAUCUGAAUUGUCGAAUUUAUUUUAGUAGCAGGGUUGGUGUCACGACCUGAGACUAACCCUAAUCGUAACACAGUGCUUAAGGCUAGAAGUGACCCCUAAGCUAACCCAUGAAUCUGGUACCUGCUAUGUGUCUGAAUAAAUUAAUAACAAAAAAUCAUAUGUGGAAGCUAAACUUAAGAGAAUUUCUAUUAAGAUAUAAUACUAAAACAAUACCUAACAUGUUUGAACUUCUGAUAAAUCUUGAAACAAUUCUGACUAUCUGGAAGCAUCUAUAACAUGAGGAGUUGAUGGUACAAACCCCCAACUAACUCUUACUGAUUGAAAUAAAUGAAGUGCUAAAAAUAACUGUAAAUAAAUUGCGCUUGAUGGAUGAGAACGCACCACAACUGCUGUUGAGUGGCACUGAACUGACAAAGGGCUAUCAGGGAACUGAAUGUUCGAACAUAUGUUUUAAUACAACAUAGCACAAAAGAGAGUAUGUGAUUAGCUAUUUGAAUAUGAUGGUAUGUGAGAUAAGGACUAACUAAAGUACAUAUAGAGACUGAGUAUGAAUGCAUGAACAUGUAAAACAAAUGCAACACCUAGUAAAGCAUGUACUCAAAUAGCUGGUAACUUGAACACAUAGUCAUGCAAACCUAAACUAAAAUAAUAUUAGUACUGAACUAUAACUGUGGGACCUAUCAUUUAACCGAUAUGCCCCAAUUUAAGAUUAUUGAGGUCCAACCUAUUCCCACAAUUUGAAGGGUGUCAGUACCUUACCACCGGUACCAACACUUAUUGUGUGGAUCUACUAAACUUGUGUCCUGAUGGACUAGGAUGUCAUUCCUCUACUGGUGGGUGACCCCUAAAAGAUUGUCAGUCCUCUACUUGAGGGUGACAUCUCAUAACCUACGCUGGCUACAUAGUUCUUGAACUUAGGGGCUAUAACUAAAAGUCUUAGUCCUCUAUUGGCGGGUGAACCUUCAUCCCUAGGUUUGCUCGAUGUUAAAUCCUACUCCCAAAUGAACUGAUACUGGUAUUGAUUAAAGUUAACAGGACUCAUAAAUGAUAAUUGAUGAACAUGAAUACGAUGAUAAAAUAAUGAUUUGAAUGACUUGUUCCUUGAAAUUGAAAACAUGUAUAAACAUAUAGGUAUUGGGUGUUCAUAACCCACCAACAUUGAAAAUUACAUUAAGUACAAUAACAUCAUCCUAAUAUUGUACGAAUAUUCAUGAUUCGUAGACCCAAAACAUAGUAUAUUUCACUAAACUAAUGAAAUCCAUGAUUAUAAAUAUGGAAAAAUGUUAAACUUAUAAGGACAAUAUACUCACAUGGUUAAAUUCAUAAAUUUAUAAUCAACAUGGUGUCAACUGAACAUGAUAUCAGUGAUUGAGUUUAUAAUGAAUGUAAAAACAUAAUUCACAUUGUGAAACACAUUGUCAUGGUUUGUAUUCAAAACUAUUAAGAAAAAGUUGAAUAAAUUCAUACUUGACAUUGAAAUUUCAUCAAAAGAAGAAAAGGGUUUAUACUUGUAAAAUAAGGGAUUUAUGGAACUCAAUGGGUGGAAGGAACCAAUUGAUGAAUAAGUUAGCUUGAAUUCUUGAAGUAAAAUUGGAAUUGGGACCUUGGAUGGGCGAAUUCUUGGAAGAAGCUUUUGAUUCUUUGUGUUCUGGAGAAUAAGAGGAGAUUGAGUUUUGUUAACUGAUGAUGAAUUGGGAAAAUAAUUCCCCUAUUGGGUUUGAAUUUGUGAAUUGGGUGUUUAGAAAGAGUAAAGGGACCAAAAUGCGACUUUAACUACCCGACUAUACAAGCCUCCGUAAGAUGCAGCCCAUCACGGAGGCUAAGCUCUGUGACAUACUGUGCAUUAUGGAGACUACCCUCCAUGACACGAUGCAUGUCACGAAUACUAACCUCUAUGACAUGUUUCGUAUCGUAGAGGGUUACUACCUCCAUGGUCCAAAAUAACUCCGAACCAUUUCUGAAAACUCCAAAACUCUUCUGGAUGACCUUUUUAACAUUCCUUAACUUAUUUCAACUCAUAAAUUAACGUUUCAGACUCGAGAAAACAAAACAAAAAAUUUUCAAAAUCAUGGGGUGUUAAAAUGACCAUGUUAGUUAUACUUAGUGUGAAAUAUUUUCUGGGGGGGACCUUUAAACAUGCGACUAAAAACUGGAAGCUUUUCUAGAAUCUUACUGGGUAUUACAAUAUCUCACCCUUGGGAUCAUUCGUCCCUGAAUGAAACUAUCUGAGCUGAGAUACUAAGUAGACUUUAAUAAUAUACUGAAUACUUAUGAGCUAAAUUAUGAUUUACUUUUUGAAUCUGAAACAUGAUGCAUAGAAUGGACUGAAUUUAUGAAUGAAUACUAUGAUAUAAGGGUGGUUGGAUAGUUGAGAUAGAAAAUGAGAGAAUCAAUUUAAGGAAAACUAUUACCUCAAGAUGAAUCUGAAUUCAUAGAAAAAAAAUAGGGAUACUUGGCUCGCAUAUCGGCUUCUACUUCCCAAGUAGCUCCCUCAAUGAACUAAUUCCUCCACAAAUCCUUAACCAAGGAAAGCUCUUUAUUUCUCAACCUAUAAAUCUGACAAUCAAGGAUUUCAACUGUGACUUCUUCGUAGGAAAGUCUAUCUUUCGCACCCACACACUCUAAAAGAACGACAGAAUCUUGGUCACCAAUAUGUUUCUUUAGAAAAGAGACAUGAAACACCAGAUGCACUAAUGCCAAUUCUACAGGCAACUCUAAAUCAUAAGCUACCUUCCCAAAAUGGCUCAGAACCCUAUAUGGGCCAACAUAUCAGGGACUAAGCUUCCCUUUCUUAUCAAACCUCUUAACCCCUUUCUUGGGAGAAAUUUUCAACUAAACCAAGUCGCCAAUAUCAAUAUCAAAAUCUGUUAUCCUUACAUCGACGUAGGAUUUUUGUUGUCUCUAGGUUGUCUUCAGCAUUUUUUGAAUCAACUGAACUUUAAUCAUUACCUCAGAUACUAAAUCUUGCCUUAUCAAAAUAGCCUCAACUACUUCAAACCAACUAAUAUGAGAUCCUAAUGAAUACUAGAAUGAUAGUUGUUGUGAUAGUCAAGCUCAAUUAAAGGUAAGUGGUCAUCCCAACUACCCUUGAAAUCAAUAAUACAAGACCUCAACAUGUCCUCUAAUGUAUGAAUGGUCCGCUCUACCUGACCAUCUGUCUGAGGAUGAAAAGGUUUACUAAGAUGCAUUUGGGUACCAAGAUACUUCUGAAAAGUGUUCUAAAAGUAAGAGGUAAAUUAGGUACCUCUAUUUGAAAUGAUGGUCAAUGGAACCACAUGCAACUUUACUAAUUCCCUAAGAUAGAGUCUAGCAUAAUCCUCAGCUAUCUAUGAAGUAUGAACUGGCAAGAUAUGGGUUGACUUGGUCAUUCUAUCCACAAUGACCCAAAUUGAAUCAUGUUGAAGACGUGUUUGAGGUAGUCCUAUAACAAAAUCCAUGAUCAUCACCUCCUACUUCCAAGAGGGGAUGAUAAACUACUGAAGCAUACCAUUAGUCCUUUAGUGAUCAACUUUAACCUACUGAUAAUUUGAAUACUUAGCCACCAAUUCCGCAAUAUCUUUAUUCAUACCAUUCUACUAAUAGACUUCUCACAAAUCAUGAUACAUCUUAGUGGCUCCUGGGUGAAUAGAAUAUCACGCACCAAGUGCCUCCGCUAAUAUAAUCUUCCUCAAAUCAUCCAAACUUAAAACAUAUAACCUACCCUGACAUCAAAGCACACUAUCACCCCUUUGGGUGAAAACCUCAACUUUCUAAUCUCGAACUGUCUUUUUAUACUUGUCCAAAACAGGAUUUCUUUCUUUCUUUAAUUUAACUUCAGCCACCAAUGAAGAUUAUUAACCCAUUUACUAUCUUUGGCCAAAACAACCAACCAAACAUCUAAUCUAGCAAGAUGAUGAACCUCACAGACUAAUGAUGUGCCAUAGAAAUAUAGCAUUUUCAACACUUGAAAAGUGAAAAAUAUGAAAGUUUCUAAGUUUAUUUUGUUAGAUAUGAUGUUUUUUGGGUAUGUUUUGCAGGAAAUAAUUUAUGAAUGCUAAGUUCAUGAAAAAGUUAUUUUUAGCUACAUUUUGGAACAAUUAUGGAUGUUCGAGACACUUUCUAGCUUGAACGUGGUCAAAGCAUGUUCAAGAAUCAAAGAAGAGCUAAAAAUAUGACUCCCUACACCUACUAAGUCAACCUAUAGAGUGUAAGUAGGACCUAUGGACUACAGGUACGCUAAGCAAGUGCUAUAUGUCAAAAAUCUUGAGAUCUAAACUUGUAAGAAUUUUUCACCCAUAACCUUCUCAUUGUACAUUUGCCUAGGGUCAGGACCCCAGGUACUACUUAUGCUCGGGGUCUAAGCACAGGUACUGAUCACAUGAGGUCCCUGACCUGGUUUUUACCUAUUUUGUUCAGUCUUUUGAUUUAGGGUUUCCUAUUGUACUAUAAAUACCCUUUAUGAGUUUUUUAGUAGGAGUUACACAUUUUUUAUACUCACAAAUAUAUUUUAAUUCCAAGAUCCAAGUUUGAUCUUGGGAUUCACUUGUGUUGAAUUCAGAUGAUUAAUUCAAUUACAAUUGUGGGUUUUUAUACUUCUUGUCAUUGUGAUUUCAUCUAUGCUUUCAAUCAUUAAUGUUAUUGAUUUCUUCACAAGAAUGAGCAACUAAAACCUAUAGCUAGAGUUGUGGAAACCCUAAUAGAUUGAUAAAGUAAGGGAAGUGCGAUUGUUGAAUUGAACCAUACCCAUGCAUGUAUUGAUUUAUCUUUGUUAUAAUAGUUUUCUUAAUCAGUGCACACAUUAGGAUCCUGCCGAGAUAUUUUUGCUUAGUCUAAAAGAGGAGUAGUGACUAGGAAAAGUUGAAGAUAAUAGUAAGUUGGAGUAUAACUGUUGAUCCACGUUUCUAGUUUCUAUCUUAGAAAAAUGGUUAGGUUUCAUCUAAUAACUAGAGAUGAAAAGAUAAUAGUUAACACGGAUCAACAUAAUGGUUAGUAAGGUGACAUCCUGAGACUCAAAAUGUAAAGGGUGAAAUCCUUUUGCUUAUCCAAAAUAUUAUAGAAGGUACAUAACUUACCGAUUCUGCAUAUAAGGUAUUAGGUUGUUUCAACAAAGCACGAUAAUUCUACGGAGUUGAGAAGUCUAGGGGAACACAAACCUAGUGUUCAACUACACUAAUUAAUACCAAAGUUAAUAUAGUUACUUGCUCAAGAUUACAAUAUCAAAACCUCCCAUUUACUUUUCUUGUUCUGUCCAUUGACUAUAACUGCUGAGAUUUGCAAUUCCAUGUAUUCCCUUGGGAUUCAACCCCAACUUUUUUUGGAUUACUAUAUUUUGAAAAAGGUUGCAUCAACAUCUAAGAGGAGGAUUUUCUUAAACAUCAUCAAAUUUUUGGCACCAUUUCUAGGGAACAUGGUAUUGAUUUAUGAUUUUAAGUUGUUGCAGUUUUUGGGUUUUUUUCUUAUUUCUGUUUAUUGUUGGCUAUACGCCAGUCUAUGCCUAGCAUAUAGAGUAGAGGCAAUCCCUUACUCCCAGUAUAUCCAAAUGUAGAAAGGAUCCUAUAAACACCUAAUAGUUUGUCUGAGCAGAAAAGAGAUGAACCUUGUAAAGAGGUUUAAGAUAUUGUACCUCCCUCUCUUCUUGAAGGAGUAUAGGAUAGUAUUGAUCAUCAAAUUGGUGAGUUGUUAGCUCAAACUAAGGCCGAGAAGAGGGCAAUAGAAGAAGCUCUGUACAGAUUUCACCCUUACACACUUUUCCACCUAAUGAUGAUGAUGAAGAGGAUACUGAGUCUAUGUCUACUCCACAGGUUCUUGCUUAUGACCUCUAGUCUGAGUAGCGGUCCCAAGAUUCAUCUAAUAAGGAGCCAUCCAUAGUGCCCUAAUCUGAGGAUGGUGUCGCUAUUCAGGUUUAGUAGUCAGGGGUACCCUAGUUUGAGGAGGGUAUAGAAUAGACUUCCUAUGAUGCAUUAGUACAACAGAGUUCCACUCCUGCACAUGCCUCAAAUGCACCUCCCAAGGAGGGACAUCAUAGGUGGUGUGUGAAAGGAAUGCGGGAGAUAUAUGAUAUCGAUAAUCAGGGCUAGAUCGAGUACUAAGUUAUAAACAACACUUGAUAAAUAUCAGAUAGAGUGAAUAACUAGGCCACUUGGUUCCUAUAGUUCGACUAUGGUAAGGGAACUUUUGCAUCCUAUAGAGCUACGAUGGUUAUUCUCUUACACAUACAUCCAGGCCUGGUUAGAAUUGGGAGGUAGCCAGAGCUUGAUCAUACACUAGUUAGCGAGGUUAGAGUUGACAUUUCAAUGGAGAAUAUCCAUAGAGUUAUCUUCAAACUAGAUUACAUCACUCCUUCACCUACAGCUAAGUAUGACCAUAAAAUAAGGGUAAUACAUGAUCGACAUAUUAUGUAGGAGUCUAAGUGCUAAAGAGAGAAGGUUUAGAUGAUCAAUAAGCGCCAAUUGACAUUUCAGGACAAGUUUUGGUGGUUGCUGAUUUAAAGCUGACUGUUACCCACUUCUUUGAAUAAUAAAUUUAUGUAUGAGGGAGAAGCAUUAUUAGCUUGUAUGAUGGUCAGUUAUGCCAUUGAUUUUGCUGCCAUCCUUAGGUUUGAUUUACAAGAUAGAGUAUUUGGGGAGUUUAAUAAUCAUCAAUUACCUUGCAUGAUUUAGAGGAUGUGUGAUAAAACUAAUGUGCCUGAGAUCCCAUGAGUAGACGAGAGGGUACUUACAAUGGCAACUGUAUAGACAAAGACUAUGAAAGAUCUAGCACAUCCAGAAACUUCUAGGAGAUCGAGAUAACAAGCAGCAGUACCACAAGCCUAGACAAAGGGCCCAACAGUUUCCACCGAGCCUGAUAAAGCAUAUCAAGGUGAUAAGGAUAUUAGUAUUGACAUGGAUAUUGGGGAGCAUAUAGAGGCUCCAGACUUUAGUACAUAUGGCAAAGGGACACCAGCUACGUCUUAUUCAGCUUUGGUUUUGGGCUCAGAGCCGGUGGGUAUACUUUCAGAGCAUACUCUUCCAUCCACUAUAGCUCCUACUUUAGGUAUAAUCACUAUAUCUAACAAGUUUUUGUAGAGGUUAGUUGAUAAAUAGAGGGAUACCAAUGAUAGAGUGAGGCUUGUUGAGACUAAGAUGGAUACCCUCUACGAGUAGAUAAAAUUAGGGGUUAUGACUAGAUUUGUGUAGGAAGAGGCCUGAUGGGAGGCUUCACUGAGUACUGCACUUUUCAAGCUAUGUAUGCUGACUUCUAGACACAGCUCAAUGAGUUUGAGAGAUAUGUUAUAUCCCAAAGCACAUAGACAGCUUCAUCAAAUCUAGCCUAGAUGAGGGACGAGUAGAGAUGCACUCUUUCAAAGAGAGUUGUGUAGUAGUCACUCCCAUAGUUAUACCCCAGGUGGUCAAAAUAUCAUAUCCAUGCACACCGAGAUAGUUUGAUUUCUUUGUGAAGGAGAAAAAGUAGGUCCCAAUAGUUGGGACCAAGAGAGGUCAUAUAGACGACUUGCAGGACCCUGAUCUUCUAUAAGAAUAGGCUGUUAAAAAGACCAUUCUUGAUUUAUGGAGUAUGUAUUCAUUGAUAGGUAGAGUCAUGCAUUUAUAGCAGUGGGUGUAUCAUCUAGUAGUGCACCGCCACCACCACCACCUCCGUUAUAUAAUAUUCCCCAGUCUGGGGAUGCUAAGGAUUUGGGCUCUUAGUGCAUCCCAAGUAGGUUCUCACUUCCCUAUUUUUUUACUUUGUUUUAGCGUGUUGAGAACAAUGUGAAGUUUUUAGUUGAGGGUGGGCAUACCUUUCUGCUAUAGGUUUUUGUUGGCGUGCUUAUUUUCCUGUCAGCUAUGGUAUGGUUAUAGAACCGGCAUGUCUAGGAUAAUUUUCUGUCGUAUUAUGUUUUUCUUUGUAUUGUGUUUUGUUUUUCUGUAAUUAGGAAAUUUGUAAGUAUUUAGGGGAAGUAGUCAUGUUUUGAAUUAUUUUUUAUACCCUCCAAAAUUUUGUGUGUUAGAACUAUGUGAAUGUAUAUAUGUGUGAACAUUGCACAUCAUGUUAUAGCAUUAGAAUUAGGGAUAUGAUAAUCACUCGCUAACAAUUGUACAAACUGGAUAGUUAUUAGUUUGUAAUAUUGACUCUGUGCCACGUGUGUGUGAGAUGCUACCGAGUUCCCUUUGUUUGUUGAAUUCAGAACUUGCUUGGUUAUUCUUGCCUAUGUUGAAGGAUAGUUGGUUAGGAAAGGAUCAUAUGUCAUUUUUUAGUUUCAAUCUACUUUUAGAUAAAUGACCUUCAAUGUGUUAAUUGUAUCCUUGGAUCCCUGUUUUGAGCCUGGUAGCCUAUUUUUCUUAUUUCACCAUCCACAUUCCCAUUUAUAUUACAAUGAACCUGUUUUGGCCCUUGUCCUCUUUGGACUUUGUGCACCUCAAUUCUAGAAAAAUACCAAAGUUGAGGGUGGCUAUCAUAGGGGUGUGUAUCGUAUAAUGGUUAUGAAAGAAAGGUAAAGUAAGAGAAAAAGGUAGCGGGGUUGGGUAUGAUAGAAAAAGAAAAGAAAAAAAGAGAAGAAAAUUUCUAAAAAAGAUAAAAAGAAAGAAUAAAAGACCACAUAUAACUUGAAUGUGCAAUAAAGAAUAAAAAGGGAGAAAUAAGGGUGGAAUAAAAGAAAAUUGUCUAUUAAGUGAGACCCCAAGGUUAGUAUAGUGCCAAGGAGGAUAAGUCACUUGAUAUGUCUAUAUGUUCCAUACUAGCCCCCAAGCCUACAUUACAAGCCGAUAAAAGUCCUAUAGUGAUCCUAACUUGACUAUCUAAAUGCUAAGGUAAUGAAAAUAAGGAAAAGCCUAUGGUAUUUGACAUGCAUUGCGUGGAAAUUCUUUCUGAGUGUGAGUAUCUCGUGACCGUCCCUUCAUUGACAUGCAUUAUUUCAAAUGAGUGAGUGGGACAUCUUUGUUGUGAGGGCACUUGAAGUCAUAUUUUUUGCUAUUUUCUUAUUUCAGGUAGUGUAACUUCUAUAUAUGAGUGGUUGUUUGUUAUUAAUGCAAUUGUCAUACCUUGAUCCCAUUGUGUUACAUUUUUGUACUUCAUGUUCAUAUAUAGUUGUUUUGAAAAGUGAGAUUUAAGGGGAUUUGUGCUCUAAGUUGUAAGUGUUGACUGACUGCCUUGAAUAACAUAGACUCUCCUAGUUAAGCAUCAUUUUUUAUUUUGUUGUGUUUCAUUUUUGGAGGACACACAAGCAUUCUAAGUUGAGGGUGUUGAUGUGCAAUAGAAAUAUAGCACUUUUGAUGCUUAAAACAAGGAAAUUAUGCAAGUUUCAGAGGUUAUUUUGGUAGAUAUGAUGCUUUUUGGGUAUGUUUUGAAGAAAAUCAUGUUGUGGAUGCUAAGUUCAUGAAAAAGGUUUUAAAGAAAGGUGUUUUGGCUACUUUUUGGAGCAAUUAUAAAAGUUCGGGACACUUUCCAGCGUGAUUGUUAUCAAAGCAUGAUCGAGAAUCGAAGAAGAGCUGAAAGUAUGACUCCCCGCACCUUCUAUGAUACGAUCUGCACUGAGGACUUGUCGUAAUAGGCAUCCAAAGUCCAACCAGGAUAUGGGACGACCGCCGAUACCCAACCCAACCGCCAAACGAAUACCCUAAGUCGGAUGAAUUCCGAACAUAUAAUAAGAUAGCAUAUUUGUACCAAUCUAGACUCUGGAAUAGGUCCAUAACCGUGACCAACCCAAGCAAGUCCAACCAUCCAAUACCCAACCAAUAACUAUACAAAAACCAAAAUAUUACAAAGUAUGAGUCCAUGACAUAGGAGGAUGAAACAAUUAUAAAUAUAGCCUACCUAUAUCAUCCAUAAUACCAAUGCUAAAACUAAGGCUGACACUACUACCGACACCACCCAUACCAACCAAUAGUAGUCCCAUAAAGACUCUAACCAAAAGUAAAAUAAUAUCCGGUCGGAGCAUGCCCCCGACCAUAGCCAAAACCAUUAUCUAUGUAACGAUAAAAGUAUGUAAAAAUAUCUGUGACAUGAAAUGGAGACUUUAGAAAUAUGAAAGAUCGAUCCUGAAUCCAAUCACUAAGCAAGAGGAGUAGAAUGGCGGAUUCUUGAUCGCAUGGAGAUAUAGCCGCCCGAAUAUGGGUUAAUGGAGAAACGCUAGAAAGUACUCAGGAUAAGGAUAAAAUAAUGAAAACCUUUAAAACCAAGUAAACCAGCCAUAUGCAUUCACAACCAUACAUACAUAUAUAUUACCAUGCAUGGAAAGGGAACUAAGUUUAGCACACCUUUAAAACCAUUAACCUCGGUAUAUGUAACUUAACUGUCCUAGAACCAUCACGUGCUAUAUGGGUCCAGUGUAACCCCCUGAAAGAGCCCCAAUAAGUGUAGCCACACAAACCAGAGAUACCAUAGGAGUAGGGAACUCCCGAGUACACUUUGUUCUCCAUGAUACAUAUGUAUAAGUGUACUUAGGUGAUUCCCAUGUAUCCCAUAAGUAUCAUAUACGGUCGCCAUGAACAAUCCUCAUGUCGUCAAACAUGAAUUUCUAGUGUCUGUCCAUAGGACUCACACUUUCAUGGUUAACUAUCACACCCCGUCAUUACUGCCCAAUUAAAACCAUUACCACAAAACCAAACCAUCAUUCCAUUUAUUAUUAACAAAGGCUAUAAGUAGUGGUAUUGUCAUACCAACUAUAUCUUGCAAGCAAUGUCUUUAGCCAAUCUUUUUAAAGAGGACGAGAUUCUCAUGUACCCAUUGAUUACAUAAUUAAGUUGAAUUGGGGGAGUCUCAUGUACCCCACAAGAUGUUUAUUAGCAAGUUUUCCUGGGGGAUUCCCUUGUACCCCACAAGGUAUUCACUUAGAGCAACCAUAAUCACCAAGACCUUAACAUUUAACCAUUCCAAACCAUUUAUACGAUUUAGGGUUCCAUUACAAAGUUAUACCAUGCAAUAGUUUAAUAAAAGUCCAACAACUUAACACAAAACAUUCUCAUAGGAAUUUUAUCAAACAUGUUAGGUGUAUAGUGUUUCCAAAGCAAAAAUCACGUACCAAUUGACCAUUACUAUGCAACCGAAUUUUCAAACCACCAUAAUAAUAUGAAAACCAUACGUAAAAGACAUAGGAAAACCAUAACCAAUCAUUGUAAUCAAAACCCCCAACAUACAAUUUAAAACCUAAAACCAUACAACAAUAAUGCAAAUAAAUAAUUCAUAAAACAUGUCUUUAGUUGGAACUAACAAUGAGGGAGGAGUAACAUGCCUUAAAUUGAGAAGAAUAUGAGAAGAAAUCACUCUUUUGAGCCUCAAUUGACUACCUUGAAGGAAACAAUAACUUUCCUUAAUCCAUGAGCCUUUGAGUGUGUUUUAAGAUAGUUUGAGUGAUUGCAAAUAGGUUAAAUAAUGUCCCAAGAGUGAUAUAAGUCAUGCGGCCUUAAAGGGCUAAGAGGGGAAAUGUCUAAAUUACCCCUAACUCAAAUUGCAUAAAAUUACCGCAGGAAAGUACAACUCCACCAUACUAUUUGAACCCUAUCAUACAAGCGGUACCACCACUCGUACCCUAGGCAUCCCUUGGACCCCUAAAAUUGACCAACAUAUGACUACCAGGCUCAUAUUGUACCCAAGAAUAAGACAAGUACCCUUAACCCAUACCUUAGGAAUAAUCAAGAGGGGUUGACACUGUCCAACAUACAAGUUGGAUUAUACCACUCGUACCCUAUCUCAAGACUCAUGGUGAGCCACAUGUACUUAGAUCCAAGUUAAGUUACUAAGUUUCAUAUUAAGUCAAGGAAAACCCAAACCUAUGACCCAUCGCCCACAAUAUGACUAGUACCUACCCAAGUGGUACCCAUUCCAGAAACUCAACCACCCAAUACUGGACAACGUAUGAAUGGGUCACCUUACCCGUAGCCUCACCAUACGACUAGUAUAGUGAGUCGUAUGAUUUACAGAAAGUCUAAAACCCAGGAAAUUUCUAAGCACCAAAAACCAGGGUGUUUCAGGCUCCCCCACUAGGAUCAUUCAUCCCAUAAUAACGAAAAAGGUAGUACAAGCAUGGAUUAUACAAAACAAAAACAUUCCAACCUUUGACUGAGUUAGAAAACAAAUAUGUGAUCAAGAACACAUACCUUCUGCAUAAAUAUCUGGAGCAGAAAACAAAUGCGGAUACUUAGACUUCAUGACCUAUUUCACUUCCUAAGUAGCUUCUUCCACCUUGUGGUUCUGCCAUAGAACUUUAACGGAAGCUACAUCCUUGGUCUGCAAUCGAUGAACCUAUCAAUUCAAGAUCUAAAUCGAGAUCUCUUUAUAAGACAGAGAAUCCAAUAUACCUAAUCCUUCCAAAGGAACAACCUAUAAAGGAUCACCUAUAAACUUUCUCGACAUAGAGACAUGGAAUACCAAAUGAAUGGAGAUCAAAAUCAUUACCAACCCUCUGCAAAACUACAUAAGGACCGAAAUACUAGGGACUGAGCUUACCCUUUUCCCAAACCACAUUACUCUCUUCAUUGAAAACAUCUUUAGGAACACCCUAUUACCAAAACCAAACUACAAGUCCCUACGCCUUACAUUCGUAUAGGACUUUUGGCAACUUUGGGCAGCCUUAAACCUAACUUGAAUUACUUUUACCUUCUCUAUAGCUUUAUAAAACAAACUCGGUCCAAACAUAUCCACCUCACUAAUCUCAAAUCAUCCGAUAGGAGAUCUACACCUCCUACUAUACAUUACCUCAAAAGGGGCCAUUCCAAUGCUAGAAUAAUAACUAUUAUUGUAAGCAAACUCUACAAGAGGUGAAUACUCAACGCAAUUACCACCAUAAUAAAUCACGCAUGCAUGAAGCAUAUCAUCCAAUAUUUUAAUAUCCCUCUCUACUUGCCCAUCCAUCUAUGGGUGAAAAGCAGUACUCAGAGUAACCUUAGUACCUAACCUCUUCUAAAAUUACCAAAAAAGUGAGAUGAAAACUGCAUACCAUAAUAAAAACUGGUACCUGAUCAAGCUUCACAAACUCCUGAAGAUACAACCUCGCAUAAUCCUUAGCUAAAAAGUUAGUCCUCACUGGUAAUAAGUGAGCUAACUUUGUCAUCCUUUGCAAAAUGACCCAAACCAAAUCAAAUUAGUUUCGUGACCGAGGGAGUGCAGUAAAGAAAUCCAUAUUGAUCACUUCUCACUUCCAUUCUGGCAAUUCAAUUUUAUGAUAUAAGCCUCCAGGUCUCAUGUGCUAAACUUUUACUUGUUCAUACACUAAACACUUUGCCAUAAAAUCAGCCACAUCCUUCUUCAUAUCAUUCAACCAAUACAUCUUCUUGAGAUCAUGAUACAUUUUCAUCUAACCGAGAUGAACAAUAUGAAGUGCCUCAGCGAAUACCCUUUCUCAAAAAACAUCAAUGUCAAGAACAUAUAACCUACCUUAGUACCACAAGGUACCAUCACCAUUGAUCUCAAAUACCAUUACCUUUUGCCCACCUACAUCCUCUUUGACUUUCAUUAAGACAGGAUCUUAUAUUUGCUUCUCCUUGAUGUUAGCGCCAUGAGACAACUGCACCACUUCCUAUACCAACAGAACGCUAUCCUCGAAGUCUAAGAGACAAACUCAAAGCUUAUCCCAGUGGUUAAUGUCCUUCACCAACUCCUGCUUCUUAUUUUCCACACAAGCUAAACUCCCCAUGAACAACCUGCUAUGAGCAUCAGCAACCACAUUAGCUUUACCUGGGCGGAAGUGAAGACUCAUUUCAUAAUCUUUGAGAAGCUCAAGUCAUUACCUUUGCUGAGAUUAAGCACUUUCUGAGUGAACACAUAUUGCAUACUUUUAUGAUCCGAGAAGAUGUCCAUAUGCACACCAUACAAAUAGUGCCACCAUAAUUUCAAUGCAAACACCAUCGCUAAAAGCUCCAAAUUAUGAGUAGGAUAAUUCCUAUCAUACACCUUCAACUACCUAGAAGCAUAGAAAAAUCUCCUUCCUAUACUACAUCAAAACACAACUAACUAUAACUUGGGAUACAUCACAGUAAACCCAAAACCCCUCAUUGCCUUCAGGCAAGGUCAAAACGUGAGUCAAAGUUACCUUAUCCUUCAACUUCUCAAAACUACCCUCAUAAUCAUUCGACCAAGAAAAAUUUACCUUCUUUUGAGUCAACUUGGUCAAUAAGGUAGCUGUAAUCAAAAAAUAUUCCACAACUCUCCUAUAGUAGCCAGCCAAACCCAAGAAGCUCUUAGUAUCGAUCGGAGUCAUGGGUCUAGGCCACUUCUUAUCCACUGCCACCUUUUGUGGAUCCAUCAUGAUCCUCUCAGUAGAAAUAAUAUAACACAAAAAAGUAAUAGUGUUCAACUAAAAUUCACAUUUUGAGAAUUUAGUAUACAAUUGCUGUAUUUUUAAGGUCUUCAACACCACAUAGUGGAGAUAGGCAUGAUCCACCUCACUCUUAAACUAAACUAAGAUGUCAUUAAUGAACACAAUGACAAAAUGAUCCAGCAACUGAGGGAAGACCCUAUUCAUCAAAUCCAUGAAUGUCAUCAGGGCAUUAGUCAAACCAAAUAACAUUCUAAGAACUCAAAGUUCACAUACCGAGUAUAGAAAGCUAUCUUAGGCAUAUCCAUCUCCCUAAUCUUAAGUUGAUGAUACCCAGACCGGAGAUCUAUCUUAUAAAAGAAUUUGGCACCUUGUAACUGAUCAAACAAGUUAUUUAUCAUUGGAAGAGGAUACUUGUUCUUAACUGUCACCGUAUUCAACUGUCGGUAAUCAAUACAUACCUCAAGGGAACCAUCUUUCUUAUGCAUGAAUAAUACCGGUACACCGUACAAGGAUACACUAGGAUGGAUAAAACCCUUAUCCAAAAGAUCUUUAUAUUGCUCCUUGAGUUUCCUCAACUCAGUUGGUGCCAUUUUAUAAGAAGGGAUAGCUAUUGAAUGAGUGUCUAGAACUAAAUCAAUAAUCAGAGGAACAUCAAGAAGAUCAUCCAAAAAUACCUCACGAAACUCAUUUAUCACCAAAAGCAAAUACAAUGAAGGACCUUCAGAAUUAGAGUCUUUAACCCGAACCAAAUGAUAGAGACACCAUUUAGAGAUUAACCUCUAGCUCUAAGAUAUGACAUAAACUUUCCCUUAGAAGCUAGGUAACAACCCUCCCAUUAAAUAAUCAGUUCACCAGGGAACAUAAAGACAACCUUACGAAUCUAGCAAUCUAAGGAUACAUAGCAUAAGGAUAACCAAUCAAUUCUCAAAAUGAAAUCAAGAUCCUUCAUAUCUAUUUUGAACAAAUUCACCAAUGUCUUUGUACUACCAACAGAUACUGCACCCCCCUUAUAGACUUUUUUAACAACCAAAGAGUCACCUACCGAGGUAGAAAUAGAAAAAGGAUCCAAAAAAUAGGGUCACAUAAGAGAGAAUGGACCCCGAAUCAAGUAAAUAAUACACAUCAUGAUAAAAAAGUUGUAAUAUACCAGUGACGAUAUCAGGUGAAGCCUUAUACUCCUGUCGGAUAGCAAGUGAAUAUAACCUAUUCUAAACUGUGUUGGUAACAGAAGAAGAAACAAAUGCAGAAGCAGUACCCUCCACUUAUCACAGAAACCCCAACCCAACUAACCACAGAACCUACAAGGAAGACAUAAUAAAGCUAACUAAGCCCCACUAGCCUGAGAUUAGGCACCCUAUGCCCUUAAGUUCUAUCCACUCUGCUGAUGUCUGUCACUCGAUUGCUUCAGGUAGGGAAAACUAGUUGUAGAGAAAGGACUAUAACUCCCCCACUACUUCUUUGGUAAUUUAACAUUAUCUCGUCCACUUUGUUAUUGUCCACCUUGCUCAGAGAACCUAAACUUGUUACCUUGCCUUUUAUCUAUCUCAGCCAGCUUUAUUUUUUCCUCAUCCACCUAUUGCAUAUGAAUAACUAACCUAGAGAUAUCUAUGUACUUGAUCAGCAAUGCAAUCUUGCUUUAAAAGAUCAACUAACGAGACAGUUCUAAAGUGAACUUUCUUAUUAUGGCCCUCAUAUCAAACACUAAACUCAAAAUAUACCUAGACAACUGGUGAAAUUUAAAGGCAUACUCCUUGACUAACAUAUUUUUCUAUUUUAGAUUAACAAAUUCCUCCACCUUUGCUUUCCUCAACUUCUAAGGAAAGAAGUAGAACAUAAGAGCAUUAGAAAAAGUGUUCCACAGAGAUGACUCAUCAAUAUCACCCGUUGCCUAAUCCCAUUCCUUGUACUAUUAGUAUGUCAUAUCCUUAUCUGAUAGGUAGAAAAAUUUACCUUGUCCACAUUUGUGACCUACAUGACCCUAAAGAUCUUUUUCAUCUCAGCCAGAAAACCUUAAGGAUCCUCAUUCACCUAAAUACCAGUAAAAGUUAAAGGAUUCAACCUCAUGACUGGACAAAUCUUAUAGCCUCAGAAGAUGCAAUACCCAUACACCAUACUCAACCUGAGAAGAUACCAACUUAGGAACCACAUGAAUCGACUAACAAAACUUAGUAAUCGUUAUGUCUUCCUGACAAUCACUAGAAAGAACUGGUAGAACUCUAAAAAUAUUAGGGAUUGGAACCCUAGACUAAGUAUGGAUACUAUGAGAAGAGUGUGUCCCAUCAACAUUAUCCCCAGUUGGGAUAGAAAAGUUUUAGUGAACUUUAGAUCGUUGAGGCAUGAUCUGAAAGGUGAGCAAACAGGAAUUAGAGAAGAUUUCAAGACUUAGACUACAAACUUGAAAAGAGAACACAAAGAAGUGAAAUAUUCCUAAAUUCCUUGUAGCCUCUCCCUUAUGAGUGUGGCAUACUAUACACCCUUAAAAGAGACUCUAAUCGACAUGGCUUUAUGGACUCCCAAUCAACUAUGAACUGAAAACUUUGACACCAACUUGACACAACCCAUAUUGGGGCUUUGUUAUAAUAGGCAUCCCAAGUCCAAUAAGUACUAGGGACCACCCCCAAUACCUAACCCAACCACAAAAUCCAUACCCUAAGUCGAAUGAAUUCCAAACCUAUAACAUGACCGAGUUUUGUACCAAUCCAAACUCUAGGAUAGGUCCAUAAUCGUGACCAACCUAAGUAAGUCUAUAACAUAAGAGGAUGGAACAAUUACAGUAAACCGAUAUCAUCCCAAAUACCAAUGCUAAUACUAAGGCCUACACCACUACCGACACCUCCCAUGCUAACCUAUAGUAGUCCUAUAAAGCCACUAACUGAAUAUAAAACAAUAUUCAAUCGAGACAUGCACCCUAGCACAGCCAAAAUCAUAGUCUAUAUAAAGACCAAAGUAUGUAAAAAUAUAUGUGACAUGAAAUAGAGAAUUCCAAAAUAUGGAAGCUCAACACUUUAGUCUAACUAAGCUGAUCUUGAAUCCGAUCCAAAGCAAGAAGAGUUAAUUCCUAUAUCGCGUAGGGAUACAGCUUCCCGAAGAUGGGUUAGUAAGUGAUGCUACCAAGUACUUAAGAUAAGGAUAAAAUCAUGCCAACCUUAUAAACCAAGUAAGCCAACUAUAUGCAUUCAUACCAUACAUACAUAUAUAUAACCAUGUAGGGUUUAGCAUUCUUUUACAAUUAUUAACCUGGGUAUGUGUAUCUUAACCAUCCCAAAACUACCCAUGAGUUAUGUGGGUCUAGUGUAACCUUCUGAACGGGCUUCAUACGUGUAGGUGCAUGAACCUAGGAUACCAUAGUAGUAGGGGAUUCCCAAGUACCCUUCGUUCUCCAUGAUACAUAUGUACAAAUUUACUUAGGGGAUUCCCGUUUACCUCAUAAGUAUCAUAUAUCAUUGCUAUAACCAAUCCUCAUAUUUGCAAAUAUGAGUUUCCAGUGUCCAUCCAUUGGAAUCACACAUUCUCUAUUAGCUAUCACACCUCACCAUUAUUGCCCUAUUAAAAUCAUUACGACAUAACCAAAACAUUAUUGUAUUUAUUAUUAACCAUGUCUAUAAGUGGUGGUAUCGGCAUAGCAACUAUAGCUUGGAUGAAAUGUCCUUAGCCAACCUUUUUAAAGAAAAGAAGAUUCACAUGUACCUAUAGAUUACAUUACUAAUUUAACUUGGGAGAGUCCUAUGUACCCAAUAAUAUGUUCAUUAGCAAUUAUUAUUGGGGAAUUUCCUUGUACCCCAUAAGGUUUUCAAUUAGACCAACUGAUGUUGGGUGAAUUGAUGCAUUUUAACAUUACUAUUCUAGCCUUUUUACCCUUGUUUUAAGGAUAAUUCAUGUGCUUAAUGUGUUAUACUUAUAUAAAUGUACAUCUAAGUAUCCAAGUAUGUGUUUAAAAUGUUUAAUUGUGUUUUCACAUGAGUUUUGAUUCAAUUUGAGCAUUUAGAGUUCAACCGAGAGAACUAGCGUUACUAACUUCAACCAGGUAUUUGUCUAGUCUAUCAUGUUGGGUUCUAAUAUGUUUAAUAAGUUCCUCAGAUUGUUAUUAUGUUUUAAAAUGUGAAUCAAAUUGGUUAUAAUGUUAAGGGGUCAAUUGGAUCAAGACAAGAGUCGAAACAAUGAGUUAAAGAUCAAAGUGAAAUUAGCCUAUGCUUAGCUCAUGUUUCUAGUUCACCGUUGAGGAUGUUGUGUUGUUUCGAGCUCUAAAUUAUUGUGUUUAAUGCUAUAGUAUUCUUGGUGAAUGUAUUAUUAUUAUAUAUGAAGAAUAAAAAAUCUUCAAAUUAAGUGUAAACAACUCAAAAAGGCUUGUAAUGGCUCAAUGGAAGCACAAUACACAAAGUGAUGCAAUUUGGACCCCUGAAAUGUAUGGGACGUGUAUGGUCUGUAGGAGUGGAAAAUGGAUGAGUGGGAAACAGAAAUAUAUUCAGAAGAGGGCUAAAAUACUGACCCAUUGGCAUGUAUGGGUCCUAAUAGAGUUUAAGGAAGCGCCGAGAUGCACAGAAUUAGGAUGAGAUUUUGGAUUUUGACAGAUUUUUUGACAAUUGUGAUUUGGCUCAACACUGUGAAGCGGUGAUGCCCAAAAUUAAGAUACUUCUUCCCAGAUGAAAUAAAAUAGUGUGGAAACCCAAUCCAAGUUGGUUUAUGACUUGUAUACUGAUGUUUCGACUUUUGAUGGAACAUUUUACAUCUAUUUAAAAGGAUAAUUAUAUGUUUUCAAGAAACUAAUGUUGUGUUAAGUACUGGAUUUUAGUGUUUCAGGGUAAGGAGUUAGCUAAAGGAGAAAACAAGAAAAAAUAAUAGAAAAAGGUCACUGAAGGUAAAACUAACGGACCAUCAGCCAUGCGACGGACCGUCGGGGUAACCAUCAAAGCUAAAUAGAAUGAAUCGAGUGAAGAACUCAUCUGAAGGUCUAAAUAGCAAACCGUCAAACUUCCGAAACAGCUCCAACUUGUCCAUCAAGCUUAACCAAAACAUAGGAUUUCAGAAGAUCAAGUGACGAUCCAUGCGAUGGACCACUGGGCGAGCGACGGGCUGCCAACAUGAGCGUCAUCCCUUAACAGAACCUAACUUCCUGGGACAUUCAAUAAUGGUCCAAUAGACGGACCAUCAGGCUUUUGACUGGCCGUCAGUUCGACCGUCAACUUGGACACGACUUUGUUGAGCUCAAAUUUUAAAUCCUCUACACCUGGGAACAUAUAAAUACUCAGUUUAGGUUUUAUUUUAGGUAUCUUUUAUCCUAUUUUCAACAUUGAAAAACUUAUUGUAACGUAGUUUUCUCUGAGUAUCAAGUUAGAAUUGUGGAUUUAAACAUUUCAUGCAUAUUUUUUUCUAAAGAUUCAGGAACAAAUCUUGUGAUUUUUGUAAGUAUUUUCUGAACUUAUUUUUGAAAAAUACAAUGACAACUUCUUCUUCUUCUUUGGAAAUGUGUGGAUAAGCUCCCAUAACUAGGGUUAUGGGAGACUAGAUGUGAAAAACUAAUUGGGGUUGUGAAAAUAUUUGAUUUCCAUGGUUAACUAAAGUUAUAUAAACCCUUCUUCAUAAUAAUAACCUUUCUUGGUUGCAAACUUGAAGGUUAAGCCCAAGAACAUCACUUAUUCGAAUAGAAAAGUGUUUGUUGGGAAACGAAGAGGUUUACAUAGGAUCUAAAGGCUUUAACCUUUGGGUCAAGGGGUGAUUCCUUAACGGGAUCAACCAAUAUGAGAGAAUAAUUGAAUAAAUUAAUGUAUCUAUAAGUUUGAGAGAAUUGAAGGAUAAUCUACUCAUUUAUGUUGAGAAACAAAUGGGUAAAUUAUAGGAUUCGAUAACUCUUGCAAUUGAAGCGAUUAAUUAGAAAGACAAAAUAAUUCACAACCCUAGCUGCUUAAACAUCUUGGUAACCAUAACUCUAGUUUGUGCAUUCUCAUUGAAUUAGCAUUUGCAAUAAGAAUCACUAUCUGGAACACUUUCUAUUACAAAUAAAGAGAUAAAAUUUGCAAACCCAAACCCCCCUUUAACUCAAAACGUUUGAUCAACAGUCUAGUAACAACCACAAUACUUAGUGAAUGUAGUAUUCCUUGUGGUAUUCAACCUCAACCUAGUUGGAUUAUAUAUUUAACAAUUCCCACUUACUCUCUCAUAAGAGAGGUGUAAUUUGGGCGUAUCAAAUUUUGGUAUCGUUGUCAGGAAAUAUAGUUGUCAAUUAAGUUUGUGAUUAUUAAUUGACCUUUGGUAAAGUUUCCCAAAUUUAACUUUUAUUUAUUAUUUUUGGUUCAUUACAGGUUCAUUGUUGUUUAUGUCACGCACCAAAAGUUCAGGAAAACUACUAUUACCCUUUAAUCCCGAACCACAUCUAAUUUGCAGAAUGAAGAACAAUAAGAAGCUAAGAGACUAGCCAACUUGGCUUGAGCACAGGUUAAUCGGCAAAAUAAUGGGCAACCAGCUCCUGAUCCUAAUCCUGAUGAUGAGGAUUUGGGAGAUGAUGAUUUGAUUAACCCAGCAAAUAAGAGGCAUGUGGAGAAUGCAACGGUAGCUACCAACAAAAAUCAGGUAGCUAGAGGGAGAGCGAACCAUCAACCUAUUAUGAAAUUUGAUCUUGAUGAAAAGGAUGACGACUUGGAUAAUGCUAGUGCUAUAGGAAUGAUUAUUCCACCUCCACUAGUACCUGGGGUUAAUUUCAACAUAACCAGCACCAUGAUACAGCUGCUUAAUCUUAAGGGGUUGUUUGGAUAACUUAUAGGAGAUGACCCAAAUAUGCAUUUGGUGAAUUUUAUCAACAUUCGCAAGUCAUUUGAUAACCCUGGUGUUAGUCAAAAUGCCAUUCGUCUUUUGUUGUUCCCAUUUCUGUCUGGGGAGACCCAACAAUGUGAUUGAAUGAGUUGGAACCUAAUUCUAUAACAAACUGGAGGCAAUUAAAAGGAGCUUUCCUAGAAAGGUUCUUUCUACCCUCCAGGAUGAUACAGUUGAGGGAUAAAAUCAGCAACUUCAGACAAUUACCAAAUAAGGCAUGCAUAAAACUUGGAUGUGAUUCAAGAAAAAGUUGACACAAUGUCCCAACCACAAAAUGACUGAUAAGCACUCAAUAGAGACUUUCUAUAAAGCUUUGAACUAUAUAAACAAACAAAUAAUUGACCACGUAGCGGGAGGAGCAUUCAUGGAUCUUACAUUCAAUGAGGAUACAAAUAUGUUGGAACGGUUGACUAGGACAAGUAGAGCUUGGCAUACCAUGGAUUCAGUAGUAGCAAGCCCUACUGUGUCUAUUGGUAUGUUGGCAGAGCAACGUUAAAAAGAGAAGAAGUAUGACCAAGAUAUGGCAUACAUGAAAACACAGAUGGGUAUGCUUACAAAAUAUUUAUUGAACUAGUAAGCCUGAGAAGGUAAAUGCUAUAGGGUCUUAAGGGAAAGCUAAUUUUGGUUUUGAGAAGGAGGCAAACUAUCUAAAUAAUCAGGGAGUUUUCUGAGGCAAUAGCCAAGGGAAUCAAGGUUGGAACUAUUACGACAAGGUUGGUUACAAAGACAGGGACAAAAGGAGUUUGAAGAACAAAAAUAAUAGGAGUGGACUAUAUGUACCUCCUGGAAACUGGGAUAAUGCAGCUACCAGUUCAGGCAAGAUAUCUAUGGAGGACAUGAUGGAAAAGUUGUUAAAGGGAGUUGAUACUACCAAUGCUGGGGUGACAACAAUAAAGAGUGACUUAUCUUCCAUGCGUCAAUUAGUGAAUUCAUACUCAACUUCUAUUCAGCAGUUAGAGUAGCAGAUUAGCUAACUGUUGGCCUCAUUUAAUUGGAGGAAGAGAGGUACCUUGCCUAGCGAUGCACUAUAAAUUCCUCAGAAUUAUAGCUCUUACAUGGUAGAUACCACUCAGAGUGGUAAAAUAUUACAUGGCCCUUCUAUAGGAAAAGUUGUUAUCGAUGAUGUGAUUAAAGAAGAGGUUGAUAAUGAUGAAAUCCAUACAGAGAGUCUGAGGAGCUGGAUGGUAAAGCGAGGAUAUCUAACCAUCAACGGGUUGAUAAGUUAGCGGAAACAAAUAAAAAGAAGAAGGAGGCAGUGGUUACUACUCUUCCAAAACCACUGCCACCCAUCCAUAUAUAUUCAAAAAAAUGUGGAUGAUACAAGGUUUAGAAAAUUCAUGGCUAUGUUAAAGUAGCUGAUGGUGAAUGUACCUUUAGUAGAGGCAUUAGAGCAGAUGCCUGGGUAAGCUAAGUUUAUAAAAAAUUUGGUGACGAAGAAGAGAGAAGUGAGCUAUGAACUGGUAGAUAACCUUCAUCACUGUGGUGCUAUUUCAACAAGGUCCUUGGUAUAAAAGAAAGCGGACCCAGGAGCCUUCACUAUUCCUUGUACUAUCAGGUCUCUUGAUUUUGCUAAGGCCUUGUAUAAUCUGAGAGCAAGUAUUAACCUGAUGCCACUUAUUGUCUAUAAGAAGCUGGGUGUAGGGGAUCCUACACCCAUAAACAUACGACUAGUAAUGGCAGACAGGUCGAUAAAGUGGCAAGUACGUAUUUCGUAUGAUGUGCUAGUGAAGGUGGCUAGUUUUAUAUUCCCUGCAGAUUUUGUUAUUCUAGAUUAUAGGUGGACUUUGAGGUGCCCUUAACUUGGGUCCACCUUUCCUUGCAACUGGAAGCGUGCUUAUUGACUUGCGAACUAAUGAGCUCUUAUUCAGGCUUAAUGAUGAAGUUGUUCGAUUUGAUGUGUGUGAAUCUAUAAAGAAGCACAAGGAAAUAAGUGUGUUCUCUAUUGUGGAUGUUUAUUAAAAGGGUGAGUGAGAAGUUCCUAUGUAGGAGAAAUUUUUUGUCGAACCUUUAGCUGCUGUCUUAAUGAAUUUCGAUAGCAAAGGCAUCAAAGAGUAUAGGGAGACUAUUUGUGCCUUGACUGGAAUGGGAUAGUAUUGUUAAACUUCCAAAAAGAUGGAUCUCGAUCUUAAAAAUUAACCAACACCACCGGCGAAGCAAUCUAUUGAGGAGACAACAGUGUUGGAGUUAUAGGAAUUACCAGGCCAUCUGUGGUAUGUGAUUCUAGGUAGCAAAAACAUGUUACCUAUGAUUAUUGUGGUAGACCUAAGUGAGCAGCAAGUGGAUGCACUUAUUUCAGUACUUCGAAGGUACAAAGGGCCGAUAGGCUGGACUAUUAUAAAUAUUAUUAGUAUCCCUUCGGGUAUUUACACCCAUAAGAUUGAACUUGAGAAAGAUUGUACACCAUCCAUUAAGCAUCAACGCCAUCUUAACCCACCUAUGCAAGAGGUGGUUAAUAAGGAGAUCAUCAAAUGUCUUGGCGCAGGAGUUGUAUAUCUUAUAUUCGAUAGUAAGUGGGUAAGUCCUGUCCAAUGUGUGCCCAAGAAAGGGGGCAUGACUAUUGUAGCAAACGAGAAAAAAAAGUUGAUUCUGCUCAGGCCUGUAACUGGGUGGAGAGUUUGUAUGGACUAUCGCAAGCUUAACUCGUAGACUUUGAAGGACCACUUCCCAAUGCCUUUUAUGGAUCAGAUGCUUGAUCAGUUGGUAGAAAGAGGUUGGUAUUGUUUCUUAUAUGGGUAUUCAGACUAUAACCUAAUUUCUAUAGCCUUAGAGGAUCAGGAAAAGACAAUAUUCACUUUCCUGUAUAGGACUUUUUCCUUCAAGCGGAUGCCGCUUGGUCAGUGUAAUACACCCACUACCUUUCAAUGGUGCAUGAUGUCUAUCUUUUCCAAUAUGGUUGAAGACACCUUGGAGGUGUUUAUGGAUGACUUCUCAAUAGUAAGUGAUUCUUUUGAGCUGUGUUUGGUGAAUCUGAGUAAGGCAUUACAGCGGUGUGACAAUUUUAAUCUUGUGCUUAAUUGGGAGAAAUACCACUUCAUGGUGAAGGAGGGCAUUGUCCUUGGUCACAAAAUUUCAGCCUAGGGAAUUGAAGUCGACUGGGCUAAGAUCUAGGUUAUUGAGAAGCUACCACCUCCUAUUUCAGUAAAGGGAGUGGAUAGUUUCCUCGGUCAUGUGGGCUUUUAUCGGUGAUUCAUAAAAGACUUAUCAAAAGCUCAAAACCCACUCUGCAAACUUUUGGAGAAGAAGGCCAAGUUCAUAUUUCAUGACAAUUGCUUGAAGAUAUUUGAAUGCCUUAGAGGGAAAUUGGUUGAUGCUUCUAUUAUUGUUGCUCCAAAUUGGUCAAAGCCAUUUGAGAUUAUGUACAAUGUAAGCUAAGUGGCGCUUGGGGCUAUACUUGGUCAGAAUAGGGAUAAGCUAUUUCAUCCUAUUUAUAAUGCAAUAAAGGCCUUAAAUGGACCUUACACAAAUUACACUAUUACUAAAUAGGAACUUCUUGCAGUUGUUUAUGCCUUUGAGAAUUUUUGGUCCUACCUAUUGGGAACCAAGGUGGUGGUAAACAAAGACCACUCAACCUUAAGAUAUUUGAUGGAAAAAAUGGAUACGAAGCUGAGAUUAACCAGAUGGGUAUGGCUCCUCCAAGAAUUUGACUUUGAAGUCAAAGAUAGGAAGGGAUGCAAAAAUCAAGUCGCAGACCACUUGUCUAGACUGGAGAGAAGUCAACCACUUAAGGAUGAGCUAGAAAUUGAUGAUGCAUUUCCAAAUAAAGAAAUCAUGGCUGUUGUGUUAGAAAGAGUAUUGUGGUAUGAAGACUUUGUAAACUAGGUGGUGAGUGAGGUUGUUUCAAAAAAUCUUUCUUUUCACCAAAAAAAGAAGUUUCUUCAUGAUGUGACACAUUACUUUUGGGAUGAGCCAUACUUGUUUCAGUAUUGUGCAGAUAAUAUUAUAAGGAGGUAUGUCCCAGAAGUAGACAUGCUGAACAUUUUAGAAGCUUGCCAUGCCUCUCCAUUUGGAGGUCACUAUAUAGGUGACCGGACUGCUAGGAAAGUGUUGCAGAGUGGCUAAUAUUGGCCAACAUUAUUCAACGAUGUUUAUGAUUUUGUGCAGAGAUGUGACCAAUGCCAACGACAAGGGUUAAUCUCAAAGGACCAUGAUAUGCCUUUGACAAAAAUAAUGGUAGUGAAGUUGUUUGACAUCUGGGGCAUCGACUUCAUGGGGCCCUUCGUGAGAUCUUAUGGGAUUAAAUACAUUUUGGUUUCCAUUGACUAUGUAUCUAAAUUGGUCGAUUCUAUUGCCUUGGCUGAUAAUGAAGGGAAGAGAGUUUUGGUUUUCCUUAAAAGGAACAUAUUCUAUCAUUUUGGGGUGCCACGCACCAUCAUAAAUGACGACAGAUCAUAUUUCUGCAACCGAGUGUUUAGGGCUGCCUUGGCAAAGUAUGGUGUUAAGUUGCAUAAGGUGGUAACUCCAUACCACCCAUAAACUAAUAGGAAAGUGAAGAUUUCAAAUCGAGAGAUCAAAGUCAUUCUUUCUAAAAUAGUGAAUGCAAGCAGACAAGAUUGGUCAAGGAAGCUCAAUGAUGACUUGUGGGCAUAUACAACAGCCUUCAAGACACCUAUUGGCAUGUCACCAUACCAAUUGGUGUAUGGCAAGGCAUGUCACUUGCUAAUUUAAUUAAAGCAUAAAGCGUUGUGGGCACUUAGAAGGCUAAACUUGAAUUAGAAUGAGGCAGCGGAGCUAAGAUUGGGAUAGCUGAAUUAGAUAGAUGAGUUCCGUCUCAGCGCGUAUAAAAGAGAAGACCUGUAUAAGGAGAAGAUGAAGAAGUAUCAUGACCAGAGAAUUGCAAAGCAAAACUUUUAGAAGGGUGAUUGGGUUCUUCUCUUCAACUCUAGAUUGAAGUUGUUUCUAGGUAAACUUAAAUCAAAAUGGUCUAGCCCAUUCAAAGUUAACCAAGUCUACUUAUCUGGAGUAGUUGAAUUUGAGAAUAAAGACGAAAGUGUCUUCAACGUUAAUGGGAAACGAGUUCACUUCUAUAUCGGUCCAAUGGAUUCAAUAAAAUGUAUAGCUACUGUCUAUCUUGAUGAAGUCUGAGUAAUUGAGACAACCGAGUUGUGCCAUGAUAUUAAAUCAGGCACUAGUGGGAGGCAACCCACAAAGUGUUGUUGUAACCUUAAUUAGGAUUUAUGCGUUAUGUUUGUGCAAUUUGAUAUGUUUGUGAAGUGGGCAGGUCUGAGGAUGGAGAAAGAAGAGAUUUUCUCAAUAGAAAAAAGGAUGAAGGAAAGAUCGAUAAAUUGUUAGUAUAUCGACGGACUGCUAUAGCAACCGUCAAGGUCAUGGUAAAACAAUGACAUUCUGGAUAAGGCUUGAUGGUCGAGUUGGUAGACUGUUGCUAUUUCGAUGGACUGUCACUCCCUCUAUCAACCAGGUGUUGAAAUUCCAGUUCACUAGAAUAUACUGAUGGGCAAGUCGACGGACCGUUAUAUCAUCGAUGGACUGACAGACAAGCCAUCACAGCAAAGCAUAAUAUCCUGGUCUCUGGUAAGUUACGAAGGCCAACCAAAUAGACCAUCGGACACCUGACAGACUGUCAAGUAGGUCGUUGAUGAAACCCUAAGUUCAGGUUAGGUUGGGCUAAUCUGAAUUAUUAUUUAAAUCUCAAGAAGCUGACCCAAUUAUCUUUUAAACCGAUAAGAUAAAAUGGUUACAAAAAUUGAGACCUUUUCAAAUUCUACAACUGUUUAACUUCAUCUGAAUUUAAAGAAUUUGGAAUUACUUAUUUCCCUCUAGGAGUCUUCCUCUUCUUUUCCUCCCCUAUUUAAACAAACCUAUCCUUCUUUUCUUUUCAUCACAAAAUUAAGAUUAGUUUUCCCUGAAAAAGCAUGUUUUUACUCUGUGUGGUGUGCAAAUUCUGUAAGUUGUUUAGUAAACACUCGAAAGUCAAGGUAUGAUAAAAAUUCUUCUUCUUUCUUGUUUAAAUCAUGAAUUUCACUGUGUAAAGAUUGCAAUAUGUUGAAAAGGAUUUUAUCUUGUUUUCUUCUGCUGCCUUGUGAUUGAUGUUUUUGUUUGAAGUCAAACUCUAGUAUGCUAUAUUUUUGGUGAAGUCUAAGUAACCCCUGUACCAUGUACUCAAAAAUAGAAAAAAUUUGUGCUUGAAUGCUGAAUUGAUGUCUUUUCUAUGUUAAAAUUGGACUGAUGCAUACUAAGUGUUCGAAAAAAUAUCCAAAUGAAGUUUUAAACUGAAAGGGUUGCUGAUGAUCACCUUGGUGGACCAUUGCUAUUGUAAUGAACCAUCGGGUAGGCCAUCACAAUGAUGCCCAGUUUGUUGUUCACUGGAUAGGCUAUGACGGACAGCUUAGCAGACCGUCAGUAACCCAACAAACCACCAAUUCGACUAUAUCAACCCUCUGAAGGGACUCACUAUUUAAGGCCUGAUGGCCAGAUCAGUGGAUCGUCACAUUAGUGAUGGGCUGUUAGGUUGACCGUCAAGCCAUAUUUUCAACUUCUUUCAAUCUGUUUUACCUAUAAACUGAUUCCUAGACUUUUUUUCUGGUAUCAUGGCACUUAAAAUCCCUUUGACCAGAGGUGGGAGUAUAGCACAAGUGAUAACGCUCAAAUUACACUCUUAAAUGGGUGUAAGCGAUCAUUGUUAAUAUAAAACCUAACUAGGUUGGGGUCGAAUCCCACUGGAAAUAUGGUGUGAACUCAAGUUGUUUGCAAUUUACUCCACUGAUAGUUUAAUGUUUCCUGAAAUAAAGGGUUUAGGUUUAAAAAGUUGUUUUUCGCUUUACUUUCGGUGUUUGUAAAUCAAGAGUUUAUGAAAUAACCAAAAUUAUGUUCACCAGGGAUUCCGGUACAUGACAAAUGCUAAAACUGAUUCAAGAUUCUCACGGUGGGUAGGAUAACAAGCUAUAUUUAUCAAUGUUAUUCUUAAAUGUCUCUCGACCUACUCAAGCAUUUAAUUCCCUAAACCUCUCGAACUCAGGGAGUUUCUAUUUACUGCCCAAAUUUUACCUCAAGUUAACCAACCUUUUUACAGCGUUGAUUAUUAAAUGAAGUAUUUUCGAGUCCCUAUUGAUAAUUCACUUCCUACUAUAUUUUAUUUCUUUCUCAACAAAAUCAGAGCAAGUAUAUCUACUAUUUACAACCAAAAGGCUUUAAUUAAAACUUCAGAAUUAUCAAGAAAUCCUACCACCUUUUGAAUCUUGAAUACUUAGCACCUCAUCAAGACCUAAUUCUAGAUCCCAUAACUCAGGUUAAUAGAGUUUAGCCACUCAUGAUGUAACGAACAAAACACAUAAUUGAAUUCAUGAUUUGAAAGAUAAAUUUACAAAGAUGAAUAAUAACUAGUGAAUCGCUGAUUAGAUCACAAAAGAAAAAUCCCAAAAUACUGAUAAUAAUCUCUCAAAAAUAGUUGUGUUGUUAAAGUCAGGAAGUAAAGAGAGAAAAUAUCAAAAUAUGCUAUCCAAAACUCAAGGUGUCGACCUUGUGUGGAAUAAUAUUGAUAAUAACAACAACAAUAAUUCUCCCUAGAAAACCCUAAAAUAAAGCUUUAAAUAGUUUACCCCAAAUAAGGAAACAAAUCAAGGUUACAGCUUUUUCUCGAAAUAGACGACGACUAUUGGUGAUGCCUUAUCAGGAUCUUGAUGACUUAUCAAGAAUGCCAUCAGGUCUUCUUCCAAUCUGCACUGGUCCUGUCUUAGGUUGAUGGAAACUUCUGACGGCUUAUUAGGUCUAUAAUGACUUAUCAGAAAUGUCAUCACACUUUUUCUCCAAUUCUCAUGUCCUGCCUUAGUCUGAUAGCAUUCCUGAUGACUUGAACUCAUUUCCUAUUUAAGGCAGACGACAGACUUGAUAACUUAUUAGACCCUUGACGGUUUGUCACAAAAUGUCGUCACAACUUCCAUUUUAGGCCAAAUCUCUGUCUACAAAUGACAACCAACCUGAUAGCUUAUCACAGGGCUGACGACUUGUCACAAAUAUCGUCAGCCACACUUGUCUUCAGAUUUCUUUAAAUUGUAACUUCUUUGCUUUAUUUCAUGUUGGUUCUCUAUCAUAUCAGUUUAAACUACAAAAUCAAACCUAAACUAAUCAAAAAUAACUAAAUUUGCCCAAGACCUUGUAAUUAUUUAGAGUUAAAAGCUUCAAAUGUGUUAGCAUAUGCUUACAUAUCAACAAAUUCAACUUAAAACAAUUACUUGUCCUCAAGCAACCAAAAUAUAACUAAGAGAAUACAAAGUACAAUUUGGAAGCUAACUACUCAUAUUAGUUUGGAAUAAUAUCACCAUCUACAUGGUCAGUCAAUUUAAAACUCACUAUUGAUAUUUUGAAGAACAACCGUGCAACUCACAAGCAUCAAGAUACGACAAAAAUUCAGCAAUAACAAGCAUGCCAUACCAAGAUCACACUAUAUGAACAAGUCAGUGACUUAGCAACAUACCUAAUGUGCCCUCACAACAAAGAAAUCCCUUUUUUACUCAUAUUAGAAUUCACAUACAUAAACAUAGGGAUAAUCAUAAGUCUCACUCUCAGAAUGAAGUGCCAAACACUUCAUGUAAAAUGUCAUAGGCUUGCCCUUAUAGUCAGUGCCCAAAUCUUCAGGUAGGCCAGUUAGGAUCACUUUAGGGCUUUUCUUAGGCUUGUAAUGUAGUCUAGGGGCUGGUAUAAUAUUCAUGGAUAUUUUAGAGUGACUAUGCCUCCUUGACACUACACUAAGCUCUUAGGGUUUCACUUCUCAACCUUCUUUACUUCCUCUUCUUUUAUUGAUCACACAUGCUCAAGAUGGAUGCGGUCUUUUUAAUCAUCAUAUUUUUUUAACACAACUUUAUCUUUUCUUAUUUAUUGUUUUCUCUUACUCUACCUCUUUUCAUGUUCAUUUUGCAUUACGCACCCCUAUGAUAGCCACCCUCAGCUUUGGUUGUUUGCCUAAGUUAAGGUGCACAGUGUCCAAGGAAGACCAAGACCAAAAUAGGUUCAUUGUGAGGUAAAUGGGAAGCUGAGAGGUUUCACAGAAAAAUAGGCAUAUAGGCUCAAAUCAAGGAUUAAAGAAUAUUAUUCACAUUGGGAAGGUCAUUUAGGCUGAAAGUGGGUUACAAUAAAAAAUGGCCUAUGAUCCUUUCCUAACCCCUAUCUUACAAUCAAGGUAAGACUAACUGGGCAAGUUCUGGAUUUGGCACACAGCAGGAGCUGAGUAAGACCUCACACACACAUAGCACACAAGUACAUCGCAUAUCACUACUUAUCUGAUUCAUGCAUUUUGUUCAGCAAAAAUUGUCAAGUUGCCAGACUAAUACCACAAAAAGAUGCACCGCAGUUACAGGUGAAUGCAAUUCACAUAGUUAUAAAAUCACAACAAUAGAGAGGUUUUCGAAAGUCACAAAAUAAGCUUACUAACUCAAGUACUUGUAUUACUUCUAACUAUCUACCAAAAGUUGUUACAGCAAUAUCCUACCUUACACCCUCAACUUAAAAUUGAAAAUAAAGCUAAACUAAGAAUUAGAGUAUACCUGGAAUGGAUCAACCCCAGGGUUCAUGGGUUUUCUGACCCUGCUGCUACAUCAUCUACUACCUUCUCUCCAUUAAGACCUUCUACUCUUGCAGUGGCAGGGGGUCUGCUAGAUGAGGCACCUGCAGCCCUAGAUUUUAGAGCCUCCUCCCAUCUCUCAUUAUCCACUAGGGACUCUAUUCUUGCUUUCUUUAACUCCUUUUUUUUGGCCUUUUUUUUCGCCUUCUUUUUCACUUUUUUUUCUUCCUCGCUAUCAGGAUCUUCUCUCUUAUCUUUUCCCUUUCGCUCCUCUUUUUUCCUUCUUUUUCUUUAGUAAAUAUCCAGUGACGUCAUGCAUUUGAAUUUUCUCCUCAAAUUCAUGCAUAGUUGGAUCUGUCGGCACUAUAAAUUAGUGAUGCUGUAACACCUCAACAUAUGCCUUUACAUUGUUCAAGGCCACUCUAAAUUUAGCAAAAUCGGCUCCUAACAUUUCUUUUUCCCAUGUAUUAAAUUGAUUCUCCAAAUAUGCAACCCAUCCAGGAAAAGUCCCAAAAGGCUCAAGGGCAGCCUUGAUUCUCUUGUCUACUACAGUGGCAAACUAUUUGGCAAAAGCAUGUAGUUGUGCCUCACAUCAUUUGGAUUGUUUGGCCACUUUUCUAGUAUCUAUCAGAUGAAAUACAAAUCUUGCUGAUGCUGUAGGAGCUGAGGGAUUGCGUUCAUUCUCAGGCACUGAACCUGGUUGUGCUAAAAAACUUGGCUACAUAGUCUCAGAAUCUUGCACUUUCACAUUAGGUGUUGCAUCAGCAUCUGUAACUGGAGGGUCUACUGAUACCUCUACACCUCUAUCAAGUCUCAGUUCUGGAUAAUUUUCAUCAUAUCAUAUGGGAUUGUGAGUCUUUCGAGAAGGAUUGUCAUUAUCAACCCCUACAAUCUCUAGAAGAUUAGCAUCUCGGUACAACUAUGUGAUAAGACAAGGGAAAGGAUAAUCAGUGUUGGUUCUUGACAUUCUAAUCUUCAUCUCAUCAGCAAUUAUUUCCCCAAAAUUAAGGGGGAGCUGUUGCACCAUGCUUGUUACUAGGACAGCUCGGUCGUCACCCAAAAUGUUAUCUCCAUCAAUGGGCAUCGUCCAGAUAUGCACUACACCCCAUAAAAACAUUGCCUCUUGAUUCAAAGAGAACUUAUAGAUUCUCUAAUUUAGGUUGGUCACCCAUGCUACUUCCUCUUCGGCUAUGAUGUUGGAUAACCACGGACGUUGAUUUGCCCAAUUUUUAAUCUGAGCAUAGACUAAUGGUGAAGUGGCCUGACGAGCAAAGUUGGGGCCAUGCAAGAACCUGUUAAUGGUUCUGAUUGAGAUAUCAACCCUUACGCCCCUUACCUGAACUGUCUCCAAUAGGGGCUGGUCUGCAACUCUUUCUCCUGACCUACACAUGUUUUCCAACUGAACCUGGUAGUUCACAUAAAACUCUCAGACCAGUGCAGGGAAAAAUGAGCUUCCCCUUUUUGUGGUCUAUCCCAAGCCUUACUCUUGGAACUUCUGUUCAACUUCAGGAUACCUACACAGAACUUUAGUGAUAAUCCUUUUUUCUUCUUGAAUUGGCCUUUUAGUCCUUACCUUUAGUGAUCAUCCUUUUUUCUUCCUGAAUUGGCCUUUUAGUCCUUUUCUAUCAGUUCUGUGCAGCCCAGCAGUCAAGAUGCCCUCUAUCUUAGGAAUUUUCCAUCUAGCAUUGUCUUGAACUUUGGGGUUCAUAAAUUUGAUAAGUGUUCCCCAAAUUGGAGACUCCUCAUUAUCUAGUUAUUUAGUGGAAGGAGAUUCAGAUGUUGCUCCCUCAGACUCAAGCUCCUAAGACUUUUCAUGUUCUUCCUCUUCAGAUAGAACCUACAAAACUUUAUCAACUUUUGAUGACAUUUCUGAUAAGCCAUCACAAAUGUUAUAGCCUAUCACAAAUGUUUCAGCUCUAAAUAGAACUCACUCAUUCUUAGUAGCCUUUGAUGAUGUUUCUGAUAAGCUGUCACAAUUGUGAUAUAUUAUCAUGAGUGUUGUCAGCUCUCAUCAAAACCCUACUUUUGAUUUUAACUCAAUUUUUGGUCCCAUUAUUUCUCAAAAUCCACUCGAGUUCUGAUUUGUAAGAUGAAUUUUAAGCCUUAGGCUUGUACAGUAAACCCUAGUUCUGAAUUUCAGCCCCUUUUCUAGUUGAACUUGGUUCAACUCUCUUGGAAACUUGGGUUGUCAUAAAUGUAUCACUUAUCACUUGAAAAGAAAAUUCAAAUUUAGAGCAUACCUGAUGGAAGCCUUCAAUGUGAUUACACACACAAGAGGAAGUAGGAAGAAAUUCUUGAUUUUAAUUACAAACCCACACACAAGGAAACUUACCUUUUGUUUUACUUGGAAAAAAUUUUGAAUAAGGAAAUAAAAUACUCUACAUAUUGAAGGGAACUAACUUAAAAGGAAGUAAAAAAACAAGCGGGAAGGUGGAAAGGUUCGACUGGUCCCAAGUCGGAUCUUUAUAAUUAGCCCAGAUUUGGUAGUUAAGUGACUUUCUGAUGACAUCUUAUGAUGGCUAGUCAUAGGUGUGAUGACCUAUCACGGAUGUCGUCAGCCUUAAUAGAACUUCAAUUCAAAAUUGUCCUCUCUGACGACAAUUAUGAUAGCUUAUCACAGUUUUGAUGGCUUAUUAUAAAUGCCAUCAGGACCUUUUCUAUUGAUUUCUUCAGUUUUCUACCUUCUGCGAACUAAAUACUAACUAUAAAAAUAAACACUUUACUAGAAUAUAAAACUUUAGGUUGCCUCCCAAUAGUGCCUAAUUUACUGUUGCAGCACGACUUGGUUAUCUUGACUACUCAGACUUUGCCAAGAAAACCUGUUGAUACCCCUUUAUCAUCUUCUAGAAUACAUCAACAAUUAAGAAAAAACCCAUCUCUUUUUGCUGAGUCAUGUAUAAGUGUAUCUCAAAGCGUGUUUCUUUAUCAUUUAGCCUGAACUUCAGCUCAUUCAGCUCCAUGUCUAUGAUCACUUUCCCGGUUGCAAGGAAUGGUCUACCUAAGAUGAUGGGAUACCUUUAUUAAAACAUUAUGUAAUAUGCCCACAGGCUGCUUCACAUACCUAUUUGCCAUCGCCAACUGCAUAUUUGUUGGGGUAUGAUUCCCCAAACCCAAUUUCUUGUACAGAGCAAGUGGCAUUAGGUUUACACUGGCUCCUAGAUCACAUAAUGCUUUGGUAAAUUUAAGGGAACCAAUAGUACAUGGAAUGGUAAUUGCUCUCAGGCCUGCCUUUUUUGACACUAAAGACCUUGUAGAGAUAGCACCACAAUGGAGAAAAUUGUCCUCCAGCUCAUGGAUAACCUUCCAUUUCUUGUUCACAAGGUACUUCAUGAACUUUGUGUAUCUUGGAAUUUGCUCAAGUGCCUCAACCAAAGGCACAUUUAUUGCCAAUUGCUUGAGAAUUGCCAGGAAUUUGCUAAAUUUUGCAUCCUCAGACUUCUUCUUCAAUCGUUGAGAAAAGAGGGGUGGUGGUCUUGGGAUAGUUUUCAACACCACUUCCUCUACCUUCUCUCUUUCCUUCUCCAAAGCUUUAAUAGAACUAUCCAACUUCUCAGACUCUACUGGAUUGCUUUUUUUGGAUUUAUCAACAACUAUAUCACAAUCUAUAGAUUUGCCCACAAAAGGUCUAGGUAAUAUCUUACCACUCCUAGUGGUAAUCGCCAUACAUAAGAUAUAAUUUUGUAGAUUUUGAAAUGUAUCUCUUGGUAAUGUUCUGCUCUUUCUAUGGUUAAAUACAGUUUAAAGUUGGCUCAUCUGCUGCUCCAAUUAUUUGAUGGCAGUGGAGUGUGAGUUCACCAACUGACCGAUGGAUGUCAGAUCGGUCGUCAUAGUGGUUACACAGGAGUUGAUGGCCUCAACUUCCUUCAAUAAUUUAUCCAUCAUGUCCUCCAUGUACAUCUUUCUAGAGCUAGUUACAGCAAUUUCCCAAUUUCCAGGAGGAACAUAUAAACCACUACUGUCAUUAUUGCUUCUCCAAUUUCCUUGCUCCCUGUCUUUUUAGCCAAGCUUAUCAUAAAUGCUCCAACCUUAAUUCCCUUGUCUGUUGUCCAGAAAACCCCCCUUAUUAUUAACAUAAUUUGCCUCUUCUUCAGGCUCUACAUCUACUCGAUCUUAAGACAUUACAGAUUUCACUUUCUAUCUUCCCUGACAAUAAGUGCUUUAUGAGCAAGUCCAUCUGAGUCUUUAGAUGGGUCAUAUCUUGAUCCCACUCAUCAUCUCUCUUAUAUUUUUCAACAGACAUACCAAUCAAAAUAGUGGAUCUUCCUACCAUAGACUCCCUGGUAUGCCAAGCCCGACUCUAUUUGGUCAUCCUAUUUAGCAUAUCUGAGGCAUCUUGAAAAGACAGAUCAACAAAUGAACCACCAAUAAUAUUAUCUACAAUCGGCUUUAUUAUAGAGUUGAGGGCCCUGUAUAAAGUCUCCAUCAAGUUUAGAUCUGUCAUACUAUGGUCCGAACACUAUUUUAGCUUUUUCUUGAAUCUCUCCCAAGUCUUAUGCAAAGCUUCAGUAGGAAGCUGUCUAAAAUUAUUGAUUUUGUCCCUCAACUAUACCCUCCUGAAGAGUGGAAAAAACCAUUCUAGGAAUUCUUCUUUCAAUUUCAUCUAGUGUGUGACGGAAUCAGGCGUAAGCUCAUUCAGCCACAAUGUUGCCUCCACAAAUAGAGACGACGGGAACAACCUCAAUCGGUAGCAUUCUAUCCCACUUCUGGGUUAUAAAAAAAUUUGCAAAUAAUGACUAGCUGCUGGUUCGGAUUAUCCCCAUGAAGACCACUAAACAAUCCCUUCAGAAUAAGGAGUUGGAUCAUAGUACUCGUAAUGUUAAACUUUGCUCCAGGUGCCAAAUGUGGAGGAAUAAUUUCACCCGUUGCACCUGCCCCAUCCAUGCCAUCAUUAUGAUCAUUCAGAUCAUACUGGAUCGGCUGGUACUCUUGUCUUCUUUGGAACGGACGGUUCCAAUUAACAUUAUGUGGCACUUGUGUAGCUAUCUGCUCUGCAUGCUUUAGGUUACCAGGUUUCAAUAACUCCUCGUCCCCUAAAUAUUCUCCCUUAAGGUUUAUAUGCUGUGCAUGUUGCCCGACAUUUUGCACAUUCACCUAAGCUCUAGCUAAGGCUGCCAGUCUAUCAGCCUCUUGCUAUUCUGCCAUUCUUUCUAUUUGUUGUGUUUCUAGAUUUAGUGGUAAUAAUGUUUCUCCGAAACUUCAAGUGCUUGGCAUACACUAUAAAAUCCUUCAAAUAAACAAAAACAACAAAUAAACAUAAAUCUAGGAAACUUAACUGACAGUCAAUUAGCGCAUACAAACUUCAGCUUACAAUCGUAUUCCCCGACAACGGCGCCAUUUUUGAUAAUGCUCAAAUUAAACUUUUGAAUGGGUGUAAGUGUUCAUUGUCAAUAUAAAACCCAACUAGGUUAGGGUCGAAUCCCACAGGGAGUAUGGUGUGAACUCAAGUUGUUUGCGGUUUAAUCCACUGAUAGUUUAAUAUUUCCUGAAAUGAAGGGUUUAGGUUUAACAAGUUGUUGUUUGUCACUUUACUUUCGGUGUUUGAAAAUAAAGAGUUUAUGAAAUAACAAGAAUUAUGUUCACCAGGGAUUCCGGUACAUGACAAAUGCUAAAACUGAUUCAAGAUUCUCACGGUGGGUAGGAUAACAAGCUAUAUUUAUCAAUGUUAUUCUUAAAUGUCUCUCGACCUACUCAAGCAUUUAAUUCCCUAAACCUCUCGAACUCAGGGAGUUUCUAUUUACUGCCCAAAUUUUACCUCAAGUUAACCAACCUUGUUACAGCGUUGAUUAUUAAAUGAAGUAUUUUCGAGUCCCUAUUGAUAAUUCACUUCCUACUAUAUUUUAUUUCUUUCUCAACAAAAUCAAAGCAAGUAUAUCUACUAUUUACAACCAAAAGGCUUUAAUUAAAACUUCAGAAUUAUCAAGAAAUCCUACCACCUUUUGAAUCUUGAAUACUUAGCACCUCAUCAAGACCUAAUUCUAGAUCCCAUAACUCAGGUUAAUAGAGUUUAGCCACUCAUGAUGUAACGAACAAAACACAUAAUUGAAUUCAUGAUUUGAAAGAUAAAUUUACAAAGAUGAAUAUUAACUAGUGAAUCACAGAUUAGAUCACAAAGGAAAAAUCCCAAAAUACUGAUAAUAAUCUCUCAAAAAUAAUUGUGUUGUUAAAGUUAAGAAGUAAAGAGAGAAAAUAUCAAAAUAUGUUGUCCAAAACUCAAGUUGUCGACCUUGUGUGGAAUAAUAUUGAUAAUAAAAACAAUAAUAAUUCUCCCUAGAAAACCCUAAAACAAAGCUUUAAAUAAUUUACCCUAAAUAAGGAAACAAAAUCAAGGUUACAGCUUUUUUUCAAAAUAGACUACGACUAUUGGUGAUGCCUUAUCAGGAUCCUGAUGACUUAUCAAGAAUUUCGUCAGGUCUUCUUCUAACCUACAUUUGUCCUAUCUUAGGUUGACGACUACUUUUGACGGCUUAUCAGGUAUGUGACGACUUAUCAGAAAUGUCAUCACACUUUUACUCUAAUUCUCAUGUACUGCCUAAGUCUGACGGCAUUCUUGACGACUUAGGCAUUCCUAAUGACUUAUCACCAUUAUGAUGGCCUAUCACAAAAUGUCAUUGAUUCUACCAGCUGGAACUCAUUCCCUAUUUAAGGCUGAUGACAAAUAUAAUAACUUAUUAGACCCUUGAUAGCUUGUCACAAAAUGUCAUCACAACUUCAACUUUAGGCCAAAUCUCUGUCUACAGAUGAUGACCAACUUGAUAGCUUAUCACAGGGCUGACGACUUAUCACAAAUGUCGUCAGCCACACUUGUCUUCAAAUUUUAUCAAAUUUCAACUUCUUUACUUCAUUUCAUGUUGGUUCUCUAUCAUAUCAUCUUAAACUACACAAUCAAACAUAAACUAAUCAAAAAUAACUAAAGUUUCUUGAGUCCUUUCAAUUUUUAGAGUUAAAAGCCUCAAAUGUGUUAGCAUACGCUCAUACAUCAACCAGGAAGUAUUGAGUCAGCUAGAAGUAAGGAGGCACCCACCUUUAACACCUGGCAAAGAGACAGGGGAAUCCCUACACUCUCCCAGUCCAAAGAGGAGAAUUAAAGCAGUACUAGUUGUACCAGUUUAAGCCCAGAUAAGGAGAGGGUCAAUAUAUCUAACCCCAACUCCGUUGAAGCAGAAACUUGACCUGUUGAAAUAAAUACUGAGGAGGAAAAUCUAAUUAAGAGCAAGGACCCUCAAAUGAGGAAAGAACUUAGGUGACAAAUCAAGGAUCAAAGGAUAAAUUGCUUAACGAAUUAGAGCCAACAGCAAGUAGGGCAAUCAAAAGGCCAUUUGCUAAAGAGUACCAGAUAGUGAAAAUAGAGUAGCAUGAAUAUCCUGAGCUAGAGCGUCAUUUCAAUAAGUAUGAAUUAUCCUGGAUGAGCAAGCAUCCCGGAUCAUAUUAGCCAAAUAUGGUAAGAUAGUUCUUUGCUAAUUAUUUGGUGUUGGCAGAAAAAGAUUAUCCAAAAGAUUUGAAGAUCCCAGAUUUUCCCAAUAGGUAUUCAGUCCCUAUCUGAGGUGUUAACAUCGAUAUAUCGUCUCGAACCAUCAACAGGAUAUUAUUUAGGCCUGACUAGGAAGUGCCACUUGUUGUUCCUGAUCUUGAGUACCGACUAACAUCUGUAUCUACUCAAAGACCUUGGUUGGCUGGGCUUCUGACUGCAACCAACCCACAUGAGCACAUUGCUAAGUCCUCUCUUAGCUUUAGAGCUAAGUUUUAUGGGUUGCUGUUAGAUUGACGUUGAUGCUAACCAGAGAUGAUGCAAAUUUAGAUACUUACAGUGUUAUUUUAGUGGAUAGUUUAAUUUUAGGGAUGAAGAUUGAUUUUGGCAAAAUAAUUAGUGAUGAACUAUUUGUGAGGGCGCAUAAAAUGGGAAGUACACUACCAUUCCCAUGUCUAAUCACAUAGUUAUGUAGGAAGGUGAAUAUGCCUUGAUUUGAGGUAUUGAUAAUAAAGUCUGAGCGACACAUUGGUAAGACAUUGAGAAAUCAAAAGAAUAUUCAAAGUUCAAGAUGUGGGUCACUAAACCUUCAGCCUAUCAAAUGCAAUCUUUGCCAGCCCCAGAUACUUCAGAAAUCCCCACACGUAUGUGGUUUCCCAUUGCCACUUAUGUGCUUCCUGGUUAUGUGCCACCAAGUACUUCUGCAGGAUUAGGGUCUGUACCAUCAAUGGGUAGGGCAGAUUAUACAGAAUAUAGGUUGAUGCAGGAGAAUUUCACCAAAUUGGUGAAGUUGCAAAAGAAAUUUCAGAAACAACUGGACAUGUGGGCUUCACAAUUUGAACCUUUUAUUGAUCAAAUUAUGGCAGAAUAAUUCCAUCCAUUCUUAAACAUUCAGCUGAGGAUGGAUCACAUGGAAGAAUGUAUUAACAAGAGGUUGGAUGAAAUAUCCAUUCAAGAUCUGGUCAAGUUCAUGGUGGAGUUUAAAUAGGCACAGGCUGACAUAGCAGAAUUGAAAAACAAACAGACUCAGCAGCCCAUCUUUGACCCAUUCCUAGUGAGAAGUGAUGAAGAUAAGGGAAUUAUUGAUUUGAUGGGAAAGCCACUGAAAGACAAAGGAAAAAACCAAAUUGAUGAAACUGUAGAAAAGAAAGCUACAAGAAGAAGAAAAAGAGAAGCAAUGACACCUAAAGAGAGAGAGAAGUAUGAUAUAAGGAAAGCUUCAAAACGAUCAAGAAAAGACAAGGAGAGAAGAUAGAAGAAGGCAGCAGAUGAAGCUACAAGAUUUUCUAUGAGUUCUACCCCAGCUAGGGGGCCCAGAUCAGACCCAACUCGGGUCAUACCUCCAAUUCUGAAGGAUAAGAUUAUGAGUACCCCUACCACCAUAGGGGUAAAUAUUAUAUCAGGUGAGGACACUGGAUCCUCACUAUAUUUCACAGAUGCCUCAGAUUAAUUAGAGGCAUUACAAGUAUUUCCCCUCCUCUAUUCUUUAUUUUUAUGCAUUGAGGACAAAGCAUAUGUUUUUUGUAGGGGUGAGGUGUACUUGUACCACAGGGUUUUUUGUUGCCGAUGUUCUUUUCAUCCUGUGUGCUAUCUAGUAAAACUGGCAUGUCUAGGAGUGGAUUUUAUUUUCUUAGGUUGCUAUGUAAAUAUAUGUUUGUUAAUAUUUAUUUAUAAAAGUGUCUUUUUUUUUCAGUAUCUUUUUGUAUAUAUGAAUGAUAAAUGAUAUGGCACAAAACUUUGAACAUGUUGUGUAACUAUUUCUCUUUAUCAUUUAGUGUAUAUUGAAUAACAUUGGUGAUUCUAUAGUUGGCAUUUACAUAGAAAAUAUUCAUUAUCAUGUGAUGAAAAAAUAAAGAGCAGUAGAAAAAAUUUGACUCAGUUGCCUGUGUGUGCGAGUGGUUGUGUUAGUUCUUGCAUAGUGUAAUACCUAAAACUUGCCCAGGUCAUUGAUGUUGUCUUGUGGUUGAUUCAAUGAGAUAGGAUAGUAGGCCUCCUUGUACAUUCAGUCCAUUUAGCCAAAAUAAUUAACCCCACUAAAAAGAUUUUUUACAUUUUUGAACCUUUUUUGAGCUUAUAUUACUUUUAUUCAUCACCAAUAACUCUAAUUAACUCUCUUAAGGUUGUUCACACCUAACUCUAGCCUGGUCCAAUAGUUGACAUUGUGCAUGUUAACUUAGGGAAAACACCUGAGUUUAGGGUGACUAUUGUCAAGAUGUUAGCCGGCUAACAGAAAGUUGAUUUAGAGCUUAGUUUUAAGCAUUCGGCUCAGACCUAUUCAUGGUAUUAUACACCUUAACUGACUGUAUCAGCAUAAGUUAAGGGUGGGUGAUGCUUAUACAUAAAAAAAAAAGAAACAAGGUAGGGAAGAUAGUGGUAAAGUAUGAGUGAAUAAUAAGGAUUGUAAGUGAGCUGGUAAAGCAGUAGCCUUGGUGAGUACAAUUCACGGGCAAGGAGAGUUAAAGUGUGAAAGUUGAGUCAGUUUUCCCAAAAAUUGUCCUCACCUAACCCCGAGCCUCAUUAAAAUCCUAAAAAAACCUGUUUGAUCUUGGCAAAUCAACCAAAAGGAGGCAUUAGAUGAUAAGGUAAAGCCUAUGGGUAUGUAGAGUAUGUUUGUAACUUCUUUGUUGAGCGUUAGAGUCUUGAUUGUAUCCACAAGAUAUAAUGAGUGGUGGACUUUAUUGGCUAUGAGGGCAAUUUGAGUUACACUUAAUUUUGUUAGUCUCUGUAGGAUACAAUGUCCAUGAUUAUGUGUGUAUACUGAAUUUGAAACAAUGCCAGUUAUAGAUCCUCAUGUGUUAAGCACAUAUGAGUGGGAUGACAAGUGAAUGGUUGUGUAAACUUUAGUUCAAUAGUUGAUUGCAUGUCAUUGUGUUAUUUAUGUGUGCAAGUUGGUGUUGAGUUGCUUGAAGACAAGCAAUUGUCUUAACUUGAGGGUGUUGAUGUUCCUAUUGAAUCAACCAUAAGACAACAUCAAUGACCUAGACAAGUUCUAGGUAUUACACUAUGCAAGAACUAACACAAGCACUCGCACACACAGGCAAUUGAUUCAAACUUAUUCUACUGCUCUUGGGAUUUUUAUCACGUGAUCAUGCAUAUUUUCUAUGUAAAUGCGAACUACAAAAUCACCAAUGAUUGUUCAACAUGCACUAAGUGACAUAGAGAAAUAGUCACACAACAUGGUCAGAGUCUUGUGCCAUAUCAUUUAUCAUUCAUAUAUACAAAAAGAUAUUGAAAUAAAAGACAUUUUUAUAAAUUAACAUUAACAAACAAAUAUUUACAUCACAACCUAAGAAAACAAAAUGCACUCCUAGAUAUGCCUAUUCUACUAGAUAGCACAUGGAAGGAAAAGAACAUUGGCAAAAAAAAAACCCUGUGGUACAAGUACACCCAAACCCCACAUAAAACAUAUUCUUUAUGCAUAAAAAUAAAGUACAGAGAAUGGGAAUACUUGAAAUUCCUCUUAUUCAUUUGAGGCGUCUGUGAAAUAUGGUGAGGCUCCAGUCUACUCACCUGCUGCAAUGUUGACCCCUAUGGUGGUAUGGGUACUCAUAAUUUCAUCCUUCGGAAUUUGAUGUAUCACCCGAGUUGGGUCUGAACUGGGCCCCCUUGCUGGGGCAGAACUCAUAGAAACUUCUGUGGCUUCAUCUGCUGCUUUCUUCUGUCUUCAGUCCAUAUCUCUCCUAAAUAUUUUUGAAGAUUUCCUUAUAUCAUACUUCUCUCUCCCUUUAAGUGUCAUUGCUUCUCUAUUUCUUCUUUUUGUAGCUUUCCUUUUUGUACCUUUAUCAACUUCCUUUUUUCUUUUGUCUUUCAGUGGGUUUCCCAUCAAAUCAAUAAUUUCUUAAUCUUUAUCACUUAUCACCAGGAGUAGGUCAAAGACUGGCUGCUGAAAUUGUUUAUUUUUUAAUUUUGCUAUGUCAUCGUGUGCCUAUUUAAACUCCACCAUGAACUUGGAUAGAUCUGGAAUGGAAAUUUCAUCCAACCUUUUGUUAAUACAUUCUUCCAUGUGAUACAUUCUAAGCUAAAUAUUUUGGAAUGGAUGAAUUUCUUCUUCCAUAAUUUGAUCAACAAAAGGUUUGAACUGUGAAGCCCACGUGUCCAGUUGCUUAUGAAAUUUUUUUUGCAACUUCACUGACUUGGCAAAAUUCUCCUGCGUCAACCUAUAUUCUGCAUAAUCUGCCCCACCCAUUCGUAGUGCAGACCCUGACUCUGCAGAUGUACUUGGUGGCACAUAAUUAGGCGGAACAUAAGUAGCGAUGGGCAAUGGCAUACCUAUGGAAAUUUCUAAAGUAUUUAGGGCUGGCAUAGAUUGCGUAUGAUAGGCUAGAGGUUUAGUGUCCCACAUCUCGAACUUUGACUCAUCUUUUGAUUUCUCAUUAUAUUGCCUAUGUGUUACCCAUACUUUAUUAUCAAUACCUCAAAUCAAGGGCACAUUUGCCUGCCUGCAUAACUCCUUGAUUAGAUAAGGGAACGGUAGUGCACUUUCCACUUUAUGCACCCUCAUAAAUAGUUCAUCAGUAAUUAUUUGGCUUAAAUCAAUCUUCAUCCCUGAAAUUAAACUAUCCACUAACACAGCCCUCUGACUGUCUAAAUUUGCAUCACCUUCGAUUGGUAUCAACCUCAAUCUAACAAUAGCCCACCAAAACAUAGCUCUGAAGAUAAGGGAGGACUUAGCAAUGCACUCAUGUGGGUUGGUUUCCCAUGAGAGGUUACCAUCAUCAGUCAGUAGCCCAGCCAACCAAGGUCUCUAAGUAAAAGAAGAUGUUAGCCGGUACUCAAGAUUAGGAACAGCAGGUGGCGCUUCAUAGUCAGGCCUAAAUAGCAUCCUAUUGAAGGUUUGAGUUGAUAUAUUGAUUUUAACUUCUCGGACUGGGACUGACUCUCUAUUGGGAAAAUCUGAGAUCUUUGAACCUUUUGGAUAAUUCUUUUCUGCCAACACUAAAUAAUUAGCAAAGAACUACCUUACCAAAUUCAGUUGAUAUGAUCCGGGAGGCUUGCUCAUCUAGGCCAAUUCAUACUUACUUAAAUGAUGCUCUAGCUUGGGAUAUUCAUGCAACUCCAUUGUCACUAUUUGGUACUUUUUAGCGAAUGGCCUUUUGAUUGCCCUUCUUGCUGUCAGCUCUAAUCAAUCAAGGAAUUUAUCCUUUGAUCCCUCAAUUUGCCACCGAAUUGCUUCCCUCAUUUGAGGGUCCUUGCUCUUAAUUGUAUUUGUUUCCUCAGUAUCCAUUUCAACAGGGCCAUUUUCAAUUUCAACGGGGUUAGGGUUAGAUGUAUUGACCUCUUUCUUAUCCGAGCUCGAACUGGUUCUACUAGUCCUGCUCUCACUCUUCUCUUCAGACUGGGAAAGUAUACGGAUUACCUUAUUUCUUUGUCGGAUGUAUAAGCCAGGUGCCUUCUCAGUUUUAGCUGGCUCAAUUCUUUCUCGUGCUCUACCCUCACCUCUGGUCAAAGGGAGUUUACGUGAUGCCUAAAAAAGAUUCCAGGAAUUAGUUUGCAGAUCAAACUGAUUGAAAACAACUAAAAAUAUGGCUAGACGAUCAACUUGGAAGCUUGUCACUGUCCCGAUGGUCCGUUGCGUAGACCGCCGCUUGAUCUUCUGAAAUCCUAUGUUCUGGUUAACCUUGAAGGCCAAGUUGGCAGUCCAUCGAAAGGUUGAUGGUUUUUCCACUUAGACUGUAACAUGAGUUCUUCACUAGAUUCAUUUGUUUAGCUCUGACGGUUACCCCGGCGGUCUGUCGUAUGGCUGAAGGUCCACCGUUUGGCUGUCAAUGACCUUUUUCUUCUAGUUUUCCAAGUUUUAUCCUUCAACUAACUCCUUACCCUUAAACACUAAAAUUCAGUAUUAAAUACAACAUCAAUUUCUUGAAAUCAUACAAUUAUCCUUUAAAAAAGAUGUAAAAUGUUCCGUCAAAAGUUGGAACAUCAUAUACUAUUAAUAUAACAUCCCAAACUCCGUUUUAACCAUCUUGAAACAUCUUGGAACACCCUAUAUCAAUUGGAACAUCACUGGACGCUACCACAACAUCUUUUUAGGUUUUAUCAUUCUUUAAUUUAGUUUUUUAUGGUUUGUAUCAUCACUCCAAGGGAUUGGAUGAGGAAUAUUUCCAUUCAACGCUAAACUACUUUUAGGAUUAAAGCCAAAAAUAUGAUUAUUAUUGUUUUGGAUUAAUUUUGUUUAAUCCACUUAUCAUUAUUGGUUGUUUGUUUAUUCUUGAUGUAAUUAUUUUGGGGAUUGAUCAUCCUUAGAAUACAUAUAUUGGCGACGUUUUUAUCUCAGAAGAGGUAAUAAGGAGAUAGAACAAGGGAAUAAAUAAAGUAUGGUUCUUAUUUCUUUAUAAAAUAAGGAAUUCAAAUUAGCAUUUAGGACAGGGAUGUACUUAGAUGCCUUACUUGAUUCAACGUAGGAUGAUUUCUUUAAAACACUUGAUUGGAUUAUUACAUCCCCGCUCAACGAUGUAGUUGUAAGCUCCAAGUUAGGUAAAUGGUUAGUGGUUGGGAGACCAUGAUCAUGCAAUUAACCCUAUGAAUCAAUAACCAAGAUAAGCAAAUUAACAAAUGAAGUCCAAUAAUGUAGUAUAUGAUUGUUCUAAGUGCUUUAACCCUUGGGAUUUACUCCAUUGAUUGUUCCAAGACUUUUUCUUUACGCAUUCUUUACUUUAAUUUUUAGUUUGCAAUUCCAAAACUUUAUUGUCUACUUUUGCUCAAUUGUUAAACUAGAAUUGGAUAGUUGGCAAAACUAUGUACCUGUGGGAUCAAUAUUCGACUUUAUUAAAGGCCCCUUUACUUUUUGGUACCGUUGCCGGGGACUUGAAUUGACAACUAUCUUAUUUUUAGUUUUUCUAUAUUGAGUUGCAAAAUAGUUUUUGUUUUUUUAGUUUCUUUUUAUUUUUCUUUAUUUAUAUUUUUCUCAUAGUCUUCUUGAGAUAUCAGUCUUGGAUAGAUGGUUUUUUAGGGUUGAUGAUUCUUGUUACAGUAUAUAUCACUCUGCAGAUAUGUGUAGUUUUAAUAUUGAUUCAGUCAUGUUUAAGGGAGAUGCUCAAAAGACAACAAAGGAGGUUUAGGAGAUACCAUCACCACCAUGUCUGUAAAUUCUAACAGAAGAAAAAUAUGCGGAGGAUACUAGCCCAUUUAUAGAGCAAACACAAGAAUCAUAGCCACUCAACUAUCAUCUUUCUUUUGAGACUAAAAAUAAGAAGGUGAACAAAUGUGAGUGUAGUAGGUUGUGUAGAUUUUGAAGUGGGAUUAGUUGGGUCUCACUCAAAGCACUUUUCUACAUUAUAUUUAGAUGAUGUCUUGUCUAUGGAAUCAUUUAAAGUAGUGGAAGAGUAUGAAGAUGAGGAACAAGAAUCCUAUAUUCUUAAUUUUACACCGGAUAAGCAACAUAAAAACACACCUCACUUCAAGGCCAGGUGAUUUACCAUGAAUCAUCCAUUACUCAAUUCCUUAAUUUGUGUACCACCUCCUUAUGAUCGAGGCAAAAAGAUGGAUGCGAUGUUGGGGGUGAAAUUCAUAUCCUUAAGGUGGAGAAAAAAGUUGGUGUGGGUCAUGUCGCGACACUAAAUCAGGCGCUUCUUGGAAGGCAACCCAAGCUAAGGUAUGUUUUCUUUUUAGUUUUUGGUUUUUCAUUUUCACAUAGUUUUUUUUGUUUUUGUUUGAGUCGCGGGUUAAUGGGAAGUCUGAGUGCCGAAAACUUGAGCUAAGGAGCAUGGCAAAGACUAAGUGUGGGGUCCCCUAGACCUCUUUAUGCUAAAGAUGCUACUAGCUAGGCCUAGAGGCCUCAGAAAGUAUUUCUAUCGCUUACUUUUAAGUUCACUUUGGGGACAAAGUAGAUUUUUAAGCGUGGGGUUGGGAAAUUCUUAAUUUUUGCUUAAUUUAAAAAAUUUUAGGUUAGGAAUAAGUGAGAUAUUCUUGUUGGUGCUAUUUUUGAUUGUAUGGUUCAAGUGUUUUUUUAAAAAAAAGAAUAUUGAAUGAGUAAAUUGCUACUUUUGGGACUCUUAAGCUCAAGUUUUUGACUCUUGUAAUUUUUGGAUUCAAUUUGAAUUGAUGCUAUCAUUUGGUUGGGAGUCUAUGAUAAUCCUAUGUGAGUUGAGCAUGUGCCAUAUGCGUGUGAGAUUUUUGUAUUUUCCUUGUUGCAUAUGAUACUGGAACUUGCCCGUUGUGUGUGUAAAGAAAAAUAAAGAGUGUUGGUUUAGGAGAUAAUAUACGCAUUUCUUUGAUAGCCUUGUUUUAUACCUUCUAUUUGUCCUACCCUUUGUGCAUUAUCCUAGUUAACCCUCAUUGAGCCCUUAACGUUUUCUUUGGUAGCCUCAUAUGUAGCCUAAUCCCCUUCUUUGAUAGUCCAUAAUUUGAUCCAAAAAGCUCUUAAGUUCUUUAAUAAAAAAUUGAUUUAGUAAGAAGUUUGAUAAAUUGAAGAAGAAAAAGGUGAAAUUGAUGCCCCAAGGUAAUAGUUAUUGAUUCUUAUAUUUGUUGUAUGGUGGUUGGGAGUGAUAUAAAUGGUUUUAGAAAUAUUCCAAUUGUUGUACAAAAAGAAAAAAAUUGAAUCUUGAAGGAAUAAACAAUACACCCAUCAUGUAUUUAUGAAAAUGCUUAAAACAGAUAGGGCAAAAUAAAAGUGAUGGGUAGAUGGAAAAAGUGUAAUAUGGUUGUUGAAGAUUGAUUUUAAAUGUAUAAUAUAGUGAAUGAAAGCGCUUAGAGAGGUUAGUCACUAUUCCCAAAUAGUUCCUACCCAUCCCUUAGCCUACAUUACAACUCGAAAAAGACCUAUUUGAUCCUAAAUUCAACAUUCCAAUAUUAGUGGAGUACUACACUAAGGGCAAGCCUAUGGUUCAUCUAGUGUAAUUAGUGAAUUCUUUGUGAGAGUGAGUGUAACUUGAUCCUUGUACCCAAUGUAUAAAUUGCAUUAUUGUGAGUGAUUAUGGGUAACUCUCUUGUUGUGAGGGCACAUAUUUGAUGAAUAUGGGUGAUUCGUGUGAUGUCUUUGAUUGAUAAAUAUGCAUGAGUUUGUCACUUGUGGAGUCAAUUCUUGAGGCAAGGAUAUUUUGAAGUAGGAUUCUUAAGCUUUCAAUUGUGUAUGUAACGUGCUAGUGUAGAAACUUGCAUUCUGUGUCUUCACUAGCUUGAGUGUCUUGAUUUUAGUAGAAGUGUGGAGUCUACUCAGUUCAUGAUGCGUAUAUUUAAAAGUUGUUCGAGUACGAACAAGGCUUUAAGUGUGGGGUGGUGACGUUGAGCGAAUUUAUGCAUUCUAGUGUUACUAUUCUAGCCUUUUUAGCCUUGUUUUGAGGAUAAUUCAUGUGCUUAAUGUGUUGAUAAUAAAAUAAAUGUACAUCUAAGUGUCCAAGUAUGUGUUUACAAUGUUCAAUGGUGUUUUCACAUGAUUUUUUAUUCAAUUGGAACGUCAUUAAAGGCUACCACAACUUUCUUUUAGGUUUUAUCAUUCUUCAAUUUAGUUUUUUAAUAGUUUUUAUCAUCACUCCAAGGUAUUGGAUGAUGAGUAUUUCCAUUCAAGGCUAAACCCUCUUUCCCGGGUUAAAGCCAAGAAGCCAAGAACAUGAUUAUUAUUGUUUUGGAUUAAUUUCAUUUAAUUCGCUUAUCAUUAUUGGUUGUUUGUUUAUUCUUGAUUUAAUUAUUUGGAGGAUUGAUUACUCUUAGAAUACAUAUAUUGUUAACCUUUUUAUCUCGGGAGAGGAAAUAUGGAGAUAGAAUAAGGGAGUAAACAAAGUAUGGUUCUUAUUUCUUUAUAAAAUAAGGAAUUCAAAUUAGCGUCUAGGACAGGGAUGUACUUGGAUGCCUUACUUGAUUCAACGUAGGAUAAUAGCUUUAAAACACUUAAUUGGAUUCCAACAUCACCACUCAAUGAUGUAGUUGUAAGGUCCAAUUUAGGUAAAUGAUUAGUGGUCGGGAGACCAUGAUCAUGCAAUUAACCCUACGAUGAACAACCAAGAUAAGUGAAUUAACGAAUGAAGUCCAAUAAUGUAGUAUGAUUGUUUUAAGUGCUUUAACCCUUGGGAUUUACUCCAUUGAUCAUUCCAAGACUUUUUCUUUACACAUUCUUUACUUUAAUUUUUAUUUUAUAAUUUCAAAACUUUAUUGUUUACUUUUUCUCAAUCGUUAAACUAGAAUUGGAUAGUUAGUGAAACUAAGUCCUUGUGGGAUCGAUAUUUGGCUUUCUUGAAGGGCACUUUACUACUUGGGAGACCAUGUACAAUUGUGUGUUUGCUUGGCACUGUCAAGUUUUUUAACCACCAAGACCUUCCAUUUAAACAUUCCAAUCUAUUUAAACCAUUUAUACCAUCAGGGUUCCAUUACAAAGUUAUACCAUGCAAUAGUUCAAUGAAAGUUCAACCAUUUAACCAAAAACAUUCUCAUAGGCAUUUUAUCAAACAUUUUGGGGCCAUAGUGUUUCAAAAGCCAAAACCAUAUACCAAUAGACCCUUCCCACGCAACCAAAUGUUCAAACCACAAUAAUAAUAGGAAAACCAUAAGUAAAAUAUAUAGGCAAACUAUAACCAACCAUUGUAACCAAAACCCCCAUCAUAUAAUUGGAAACCCAAAACCAUACAAUAAUUCUACCAAGAAAAUAAUUCAUAUAACAUGCCUUUAGUUGGAACUAACAAUGAUAAAGUUGUAUCAUGCCUUAGAUUGAGAAGACGAUGAGAAUAAAUCACCCUUAUGAGCCUAAAUUGACCACCUUGAUGGAAACCCUAGCCUUCCUUGACCCAAGAGUCUUUAAGAUAGUUUGAGAGUGUUUUAAGAGAGUUUGAGUGAUCGAAAAUUGGUUAAAUGAUGUCCCAAGAGUGAUAUAAGUAAUGGGUCCUUUAGAGUUUAAGAGUGGUAAUUUCUUGAUUAUUCCUAACUUAAAAUGCAUAAAAUUCCUAGAGGAUGGUAUGACUCCACCAUACAACCCGUACCCUAUCAUACAAGUGGUACCCACCUCCCGUACCCUAGGCAUCCCUUGGACCCCCAACCCUAACUAACAUAGAACCACCAAGCCCCAAUCGUACCCAAGCAUACGACAAGAAUCCUUAACCCGUCCCUUAGGCAGAACCAAGAGGGACAACAUAUGAAUUAAACAAUUCCACUUGUACCCUAUCUAAUGACUUAUGGCAAGCCAAACCUAUGACCUGUCACCCACUAUACGACUUAUAGCCACACAAGUCAUACCCAUUCCAAAAACUAAACCACCCAACACUAAUAACAUACGACUGGGUCUCCUGACCCAUACCCUCACCAUAUGACUAGUAUGGUGAGUCGUAUGAUGUCCAAAAAGUCCAAAACCCAGGAAAUUUCUAAGGACUGACACCCAGGAUGUUUCAAACUAAGUCAAUCUAUGGACUACAAGUAGGACCUAGAGACCGCAGGUAGGCAAUGCAAGUGCAUAAAUUCCAAAUUUUUGAGAGCUAAACUUGUGUAAUGCCCCGCAAAAUCCUCUUCCAGUCUGAGCCUUAGAGCGUAUUUGGUAAAGGAAAAAUCCAAGUCAAAAUGUUUCAGAAAUAUCCUCCCAAGUAUGAAAUACUUUGAAUCUUGUGGGAAUCUAUUUGAGCAUUAAUGAAGAUCAUAGAGGUUCCCUAACUCAUGAACGAGUUGAAAACUUUCCUAUCGUUCAAGUUUUAGUAACCGUCAAAUUUGGGUCAACUUAAAUCAAUGAUAACUCAUUGUAUAUAAAAAACUGGGUGGAUUUAUAUAUAUCAAAUGAAAUAUCUUUGAAUUAUAUUUCCAACAAUACCAAUUUUGCCUAAAUCCGAUAUCGGAGCAAAGAGUUAUACUCAUUUUACUCCGGCAUGUCAAGCUGGAAAACGAUGACGAUGUUUUUGAGGGGCUAUCAUGUUUCUGACGGCCUUUUUGAUGACGUCGUCAUAUUCUGACGAAAUUUAUGAUGACGUCGUCAGCCCUGAGAAGAAAAUCACGAAUUUGGACCCUUUUUGUGACAACUAUUCGUGACGGCCUAUCACGAACCUGACGGCCUGUCACAGAUGACGUUAAGUGUAUUUUUCCAGCAAUUCAAGGGCAUUUUUGCAAGGAUAAUUUGGACAUUUUCCACCUUUUUUGAGCCUCUAUAAUUAUGAGGAAGCCUCAUUCAAACCCUAAUUCCAUCAUUUUCUUUACAAAUUCUCUCUAGAAUAUCUAGGGUUUCAUUCAAGAACCCUAAUCUUCAAAAAUUCAUCCAUAAAUUCGUCAAGGUUUCUUCAAGAAUCAAGUUCCUCAUAGUGUGGGCUUCAAGAAUUUAUUUAUUUCAAGUGUGGAUAAAUUUUCAAGCAGUAAAUUUCAUCCAAUUUCAAAGGUUAAGGUAUGUAGAUGUUGAUUCUUGGGUCCCUUUCAUCCAAGAAGCUCAAGAACUUUUUUCAAAACUAAAAGAUUUUUAUGUUUAUGAGUUGUAAAUGAUUUGUAUGAUUUGAAAUGGAUGUUUAAUGUGUUGUUGAGUUUUGAUUUAUGUUUGCCUACAAAAUUUAUGAGGUUUGACCCUAGUAUGUGGAAUUCAUGGGAUGUUUGUGAUAGACCCUCUUGAAGUUGUUUUCCAUGUGAUGUGUUCAUGACUUUUGGGUGUAAAAUGGUUGAAUAAGUGAAGAACGUUCCCCAUAGUUUUGAUAAAGAACUUAGAUGAAGCAUAAGGGCCACUAUAGUAUAUUGAAUAGGAAACCCCAAAUUGUGAGCUAGUCCAUGCAUGCCUAGUGUUUGAUAAAAUGCCUCAGUGAGUGAAAUGUGCCAAGAUAGCAUGAAAUCCCCAAGUAGGUGUAAAAUCGGUUGUGUCUAGUGGUUGUUGAAAGACCCUAGUGAACAAGUUGAGAUAUGAUGGUUGUAAAUUCCCUGAUUUUUUGCUCUUUGAUAUAUGCUAAGCUUUUAAUAUAUGUCAAGUAGUUAGCAAGUAAAUAGUGACGUGUUAGUAUGAACUUUCCCCCAAAUCAAGUGAUAUCCAAAUACAUGACAAGACCGAUAUAGGUAUGAAGUACUUGAUGUAAGAUCUCGUUGAAUGGGGUAUAAUCAAAUAGCAUAUCUUCCUUAGUCUAGAAUAUAAUGGUGAACCGAUGUUGAUAAACCUUAAAGGUUUGGAGUGACCCUUUUGCGGCUAUGAUGAUGAAUAGAGGUCUAUUUUUCUAAAUGCUUAAUGUGAUGUCCUAAGGAUCUUGAGAGGGAAAGUAUGUUAUGAUACCCAACUACUUAAAGUGAUGAUUUAACAAUUGUGAUAAUACAUGAAUGAUUGUAAUGAUGAAUGAAUGCUUGUAAUGAUGAAUGAAUGAUUGUAGUGAUGAAUAGAUAACCAUGAUGAUGCAUGUGAUUUAUGAUGAAGAAUGAUUAUGUCUUACUUUUAUGUUAUCGAGUUCUGGUGGUAUUUAUACCCAAAAAUAAAGUUGUUAUCUAGAGCCCGUGUCAGUUUCUCGAUAAUUCCAAUCGAGCCAUAAUUUUUAGAACUCAAUGAACUAUGGAACUCUAUAUCCUUAGACAAGUGCGAAGCUUAAUAAAGCUCAGUAAUCUCAAUUAUCUCUGUAAUCUCUAUAUUGUUAGUAAUCUAGCCACAGACCUAUAAUCAGCUCAGUUGUAAUAGUAUUCAAGUGAUUCAAUCCUAAUCUCAUAAGUGAUUUGAGUAAUCUAUUCAUGCUCUGUAUCAGCAGUCAGAUACCAUGAUUCGAUAUCUUUUCCGUCAGAUACAGAACCAAGUCAGACCAUUUGAGUAAUAUGAUUAGUGUCAAAUUCAGUUCAGCCAGUAUUCAGUUGAAAAUUCAGUUCUGAGUCUUUUAGUUAGGAGUAGAAACUAGCACUGAGCAAGGUCAAGAAUGGGGACUCACCUACUAGUAGAGGGUAUGAUUCUUAGAAGCAAUCCUUGUGCUCCAGAACUAAGUAACCAGCGUAGGUUGAGACAUCACAUUUGUUAGUUGAGGGUGGAUGAGAGACAUCAUACCUACUAGAUGAGGGUAGAUGAAGUGUCUUGACUUACUAGAUGAGGGCUCCACCGUUCUUGUUUGAUAACUUACUAGAUGAGGGUCACAUAGAGUUGUCUUUACCAGUGGCGCAGUAAUGACACCCUUCCAACUGGGGCACAAGUUGCACCCCACAUGUGGUAGGUCGAGGAAUGUCGAUUAAGUGACUAAUUCCCAUAGUUUCAGUUUCAGAUUCAGUCUCAGUUUCAAAAUCAAUCUUCAAAAAUUAGGACUGUCAGAUACAGUCAUCUAUCAUUGUGAGGAACUCAGAUAGUUUCAUUAAUUUAUGGGCCAUCCCAUUAGAUAGACUUGGUCUCACAUAUAGUUAUUUGAUAUUAUAUUCAGAGAUAUGCUGUUAGACAGGCUUGAUCACAGUAUCAGAUAUAAUCAUAUUUCUUAUCAUUGAUAAAGCUUCCAAAAUCAUCUAUUAUAAAGGUUGAUCUCUAAUCCUGUUAGUCGAAAGCAGUAAUUCCAAGAAUUCAGUCAUUGAUGUAAGCACAUCCAGAUCCUCAGUUAUCAAUAUCAGAUGAGUCAAUAAUUCAGUAUCUCAGUGUCAGUAGUGAAUUCAGUCUGUAGUAAAGUGGUAUCUGAGUUUCAGUAUCUAGAGUUGUGAUAAUUGUGUUCAUGUUCUGUGCAUUUAUGUAUGUAUUCUCAUGCGGCAUUUUCAUGAUUAUUCAGUUUAGAUAUUGUGCAUGCAUAAACCCUUGCAUUAGAAUACCCCGUCUACAUACUCGAUACAUUUUUGUACUGACGCAUUUGUGCUAUGGUGUUUUAUUUGACACUAUCGGUUCAGAGGCACAGGGUCUAGUUUAUCCUCAGCAGUUUGGUCCCAGUCAGCAGCAGUAUCAGUGAGUCCUCUUCUUUCGAGGACAAGUCUCAGUUUACUACUAUUGUUUCAGAUUUUGUUUAUUUUCUAUUGACGGAGUUAGUUGCGGACAUAUCCCAUCAACUACACAGUUCAGAUAGUUAGAGGCUUUUCAGACGAAUGUAUUAGUAUUCAGUUUUCAGUUUUGAGUAUGUAUAGAUGUGUUGAACCUUAUGGCAAGUUUCUGCAUUUUUUUCCAAAUAUUAUGUAGUGUAUAGGUAUAGAUAUCAGAAAAGGGUUAGCUUGUGGUCCUUUGGGUCCAUAAGCACCGUGUGUCAUCUCGGGAUGGGAUCUCAGGGCGUUACAACUUACAGGAAGUUUUUACCCACUAUUUGCGCCCUCUACCUACACCUAGGGUCAGGACCAUAGUUAAUACCUACUCUCGGGGUCUAAGCAUAGGUACAGACCACAUGUAGCCACCAUUCUAGUUUUCUCCUAUUUCAUUUGAGCUUUAGUUUUAGGGUUUUCUCUUGUACUAUAAAUACACUUUAUGUGUUUUUCAGUAGAAGUUAUGCACUUUUGAUACUAACAAACAUAUUUUGAUUCCAAUAUCAAAUUUUGAUCUUAGGAUUUGCUUUUAUUAACUUUAGUUAAUUAAUUCUAUUACGGUAAUGGGUUCAUUAUGAUUUCAUCUUGGCUUUCAGUUAUGAAUGUUAUUGAUUUUUUCACAAGCAUGAGCGGCUAAAACCCAUAGCUAGGGUUGUCAAAACCCGAGCAGAUUGAUGAAGUAGGAGAUGUGCGAUUGUUUAAUUGAACUAAUACCCAUGCAUGUAUUGCUUUAUCUUCAUUAUAAUAGAUUUAUUAAUGGGUGGACACAUUAGAAUCCUGCCUAGAUGUUGUUGCUUACUACAAAAGAGGAGUUGUGACUAGGAAAAGAUAAAGACAAAAGUUAGUUGGAGUUUAACUGUCAAUCCAUACUUCUAGGUUCAAUCUUAAAAGGAAGGUUAGGUUUCACCUAAUAACUAGAGACUUAAAAGGUAGUUAACUAUGAUCAAGAUAAGGGUUAUUAGCGCCACAUCUUGAGACUUAAAAGGUAGAGGGUGAAAUCCUUCUGCUCAUCCAAAAAAUUGUAGAAAGUAGAUAACUUUUUCAUUUUGCAUGGAAGGUAUUGGUUUGGUUCAGCAAAGCACAAUAAGCAUACAGAGCUGAGAAGCCAAGGGGAAUACAAUCCAAGUAUUCACCUACACUGAUACAACCAAAAUUAAUAUAGUUACUUUCUCCAAAUUACUACAUCAAAACCCUCAUUUACUUUUCUUGCUCUUCCCAUUGACUACAACUGUUGAGAUCUACAAUUCCACGUGUUCCCUUGUGAUUUUCCCCAACCUUUGUUGGGUUACUAUAUUUUCACAGCGAUCGUAUCAUCAUAUAAGAGCAAGUGUUGUUUGGACAUCAUCAACAAGCUCCUUCUUAUCCUCCUCAACAUGUGCAACACUUUUCAUAGAUAAUCUACUAAGGGCAUCGGUCACUACAUUGGUCUUACCCAGGUGAUAAAACAUACUCAUAUCAUAAUCUUUCAAUUGUUCAAACCACCUUAUCAAACAAUGAUUCAGAUCAGUCUAAGUGAAUAAAAACUGUAAAAUCUUGUGAUCCAUCAAUGCAUCAACAUGAACCCCAUAAAGAUAAUUCAUCUAAAUUUGUAAGGAAAAGACAACUGUUGCAUACUCAAGUUCAUAAGUUGGGUAAUUCUUUUCAUGAGGUUUGAGCUUCCUAUAGGAAUAGGCUAUGGCCUUACCUUAGUACAUUAACACACAACCAAGACUAACUCUAAAAGAAUCAUAAUAAACUACAAACCCAUUUGAACCCUUUGGUAGAGUUAAUAUUGGUGGGGAAGUGAGGCGAGUAUUUAACUCCUGAAAACUUUUCUCACAGAAAUCAGACCACUGAAUUUGGACUUUUUUGGGUUAGUUGAGAUAUGGAAGAAGCAAUAUAAGAAAAUCCUUCAACAAACUAUUUAUAAUAACAGUCUAAACCCAAGAAACUCCUGAUAUUUGAUGAAGAGAUAGGCCUAGGCUAAUUUCUUACUACUUUAGUCUUUUGAGGAUCAACUAAAAUGCCUGCACUGAAAAUGAUCUGACCAAGGAAAGCUAUUGAUCUCUACCAUAAUUUACACUUUCUAAACUUAGCAAAUAAUUGGUGAUCUUUAAGGGUCUUCAAUACAAUCCUUGAAUGGUCUGCAUGAUCAAAUUCACUACAAGAAUAGACGAGGAUGUCAUCUAUGAAGACUAUGAUGAGCAUGUCCAAGUACUGCUUGAAAACCAUGUUCAACAAGUCCAUAAAAGUUCUAGGAGAAUUCGUUAGUCCAAAAGACAUAACUAGAAAUUCUAACUGACCAUAUUGAGUUUUGAAGGUUCUCAUUAAAAUGUCAUAUUCUCUGACUCUAAGCUUAUGAUAGUCGAAUCUGAGGUCUAUCUUAGAGAAAUAGUGCACCGCAAUCUUGGUCAAAAAAAUUCAUCAAUCCUUGGGAAAGGAUACUUAUUCGUCAUUGUGGCUUUGUUUAACUGAAGGCAGUCGAUGCACAUUCAAAGAGAACCAUCUUUCAUGCACAUAAAGAGAACUGUAGUAUCCCAUAGGGAAAUUCAAGGCUUGAUGAAACCCUUUUCUAAGAGGUCUUUCAACUAUUCCUUUAUUUCCUUAAUCUCAGUUGGAGUCAUUGUAUAAGGUGGAAUUGAAAUAGGUUGGGUAUCUAAGAUAAGAUCUAUUCAAAGUCAAUCUCCCUUUUCGGAGAAACUCUGGGAAGAUCUUCAGGGAACACUUUUUUUGGAAACUCACUUACUACUGGAACUUACUUAAGACUUAGAGUUUUAGAAUUUGACUUCUUGACUCCAACGAGAUAUUAAACACAUCCCUUGGAUAUCAUCUUUCUUGCCUUAAGAUAGGAGACAAACUGAUCUAUAGGAACUGAAGUACUUCCCCUUUAUUCAAUUACAGACUCAUUAGGAAACUAGAACUGGACUAUUUUGUUUCUAUAGUUAUCUGAGGCAUAGCACAAGUGGAUCCAAUCUAUGAUGAGAAUGAUAUCAAAAUUAGUCAUCUCAAACUCUACAAGGUAAACUAAAGUGACUUUUUGAGAGUCUGUGACUAGGCAAUCUGUAUACCCAUCUGGCUAUAAUAGAACUACCUACUAGGGUAGAAACUGAGAAAAGCUCUUCUAGUAUGGUGGAAUUAAAUUCAAAGUCUACUGCUAUAUAAGGAGUCAUAAAAGAAAGUGAACCUCUAGGGUCUAACAAUGCAUAAACAUGAAGAUGGAAGACUUGUAACGUAGCCGUAACCACAUUAGGAGAACUCUACUAAUUAUGUCAAGUCUAGAGAGCAUAAAGUCGAUCCUGACGCUGCCCACUAGUGGUGAUAGAGGUGGCGCUCUACUCAGUCAGGCGACCUACUAGAUUCGACAAUAAACUAGACUGACCUAGUUGACAAAAGUCUUUACCCUUCUGGGAAACCACUGGUAAUCUAUGAUCUUAUAGCAUGGCAUGCCACAUCCCAAAAAUGUAUAAUUUCCUACCCUGUACUUCUCUAAUGGUUCUUACACAUCUCUUGCAAAGUGGAUUGUCAUACUACCUUAGGACUUAGAGCCAGGCGUUCUAUCCUAAUUGCCCUGCCUAAACAUAGGCACUAGCACACUAGAUGAAGAUAGGGAUGGGGCUGAAAAAUUUUGGCGGGGAUGAGAAUGAUUCCCACCAUCAGACCUUUGUCGAGAAGUUGAAGUUAGUAGUUUUAGCUCUCUUAUUCUCCCUUUUCUUCUCUUUGAACUUCUCCUACUCAAUCUACUGAGCAUAAAUAAUUAACCUAGAAGGGUCCUUCUUAUUAAUCAACAUAUCUAUUCAAUACUCCUUGACUACAUCAUCUGACACCAUAUACAAACCUACUCAUUCUGGCCCUAGAAUCAUCCACCAUAGUUGGAGCAUUAUUCGCCACCUAGGUAAACUUGAGUGAGUACUCCUUCACACUCAUGUUACCCUGCUUUAGAUUUAUAAACUCUUGUACCUUAUCCUCCCUUAACUUGAGUGGGAAGAAUUUAUCUAUAAAGGUCAUAGCAAAUUUAUCCCACUCUAUAGGUCCUACCUCAACACCUCUAUAUCUCUUCUACUUCUUGAACCAAGUAUGAUCCACCCAUUAUAAUUAGUAAUCAGCUAAGUCAGCACUCUCACUAGCACUGAAAACCAUACUAUAUGUCUCUUUCUUGACACCAUCCAGAAACUCUUACGAAUCCUCCUCAAACUUGGAUCCAGAAAAUAAUGGAGGAUUCAUUUGAGUGAAGUGUCGUAUCCUAACUAAUGUCGUGCUCACUACUAGAUUGGCUAGGGUAAUAUCCUUCUAGUAUUCUCAGCAACCAUAGUCUUGGCCAAAAUGGUGAAAGUGGUCCUGAAUUCGACAUAGAAAACAUGUUAGUUCAGUGGAUCUUAUAGAAUAGGUGGUGAUACGGGCUGAUCCCUGUUCCUUCUUCCAAUAUUUCUUUUGGGGUAUUUUUUGUAAACAUAUGAAGUACAAGUUAGAAAAUGUAAUUCAAUAGAAUUCACGCUCUUUCGCAUGGCAUAAAUACUUAAAGAAUGGAAACUUUCCUAAAAUAUCUCGUAGCCUCUUGACCAUAAGUAUGGUGCGCUUCACACUCAUGUACAAAUAUCUACUCAACACGGAUUUAGACACCCUAGGACACUUUAAAACCUUAGGCUCUAAUACCAAUUUUAUCCUGACCCGAGACUAUCUAUUUGUCAGAACAUAAUGCUUAAGGCCACAAGUGACCCUAAGAAAAUCCAUGAAUUUUAUACUUGUUCUGUACACUGAAUAAGGAAAUAAUAAAACAUCAUAUUUAGAAUCUGAACUAAUGAGAAAUUCUAUUAUGAUGUAAUACUGAAAUAAUACCCAAUAUAUCUAAACUUCUAAUAAAAAUGAAACAAGUCUGACUAUUUGAAAGCCUCUAAAACAUGAGGAGUUGAUGGGACAAACCCUGAACCAACUCUGACUGACAAUAAAGGAAGUACUAAAAAUAACUACAAAUAACUAGUCCUCGAUGGAAGAGAACUCACCACAACUACUGCAGAGUGGUACUGAAUUGACUAAGGGUGAUCGGGGAAUUGAGCAUCCAAACCUAUAUUAUAAAAUAACAUAGCAUUAAAAAAAUUAUGUGAUCAGUAAAUUAAAUGUACUAGUAUGUAAGAUAAAUACUAACUGAAGUACAUAUAAAUACAGAUCAUGAAUGCAUGAACAUGUAAAAUGAAUGAAAGACCAGGUAAAGCAUAUACUGAAAUAAUCUGUCAAAAUUGACUAACUAAAGAGCUGGUAAAAUGAACACUUGGUCAUGCAAACUUGAGCUAAUAUAAUCUGAGUACUAAACUAAAAUUGUUCCAGUUGCAAUUUACCUACAUGUCCCAAUCUGAGCUCAUCGGGGUCUAACCCAUAACCCCAAUUAGAAAGAUGCCAGUACCUUUUCAUGGGUACCGAUAUUGGUUAUAUGGAUCCACUAAACCAGUGUCCCUAAGGACUAUGGUGUUAGUCCUAUACUGAUGGGUGACCCUAAGUGAGUGUCGAUCCUUUACCGGCGGGUGGUAACUCAUAACCUAUGUGGGCUAUAUAGUUCUGGAACUUAGGGACUGCUACUAAAGGUCUCAGUCCUCUACUGGUGGGUGAUCCUUCAUCCCUAGGUUCACUCGAUGUAAAAUUCUACUCUCAACUAAACUGACACUGGUAUUGAUAAAAGUUGACAGGACUCAUAAUUGAUAAUUGAUCAACAUGAAUAUGAUAAUCUGAAUAUGAUCAUAAAAUCAUGAUCUGACUAACUUGUUGCUUAAAAUCAGAAAAAUGUAUAAACAUAUAGGUAUCGGGUUUUAAUCCACCAGCUCUAAAAAAAUAUAUUAAGUACAAUAACAUCAUCAUAAUAUUAUAAGGAUGUUCAUGAUUCUCAGACCCAAAACAAUAUUCAUGAUUAUCAGACCCAAAACAUAGUAUAUUACACUAAACUGAUAAAAUCCAUGAUUAUGAGUAUGGGAAAAUGUUAAACUUAUAAAGAUAACAUGCUCACAUAGUUAAUUUCAUAAAUUGAUAAUCAACAUGGUGUAAAUUGAAAAUGAUAUGGGUGAUUGAGUUUUCAAGCAUAUAAGAACAUAAUUCAUAUGGGGAAACACACUGUCAUGGUUUGUGUUCAAAACUAUUAAGAGAAAGUUGAAUAAAUUCAUAUUUGACAUUGAAAUUUUAUCAAAAGGGAGAAAGGGUUUAUACUUGUAAAAUAAAGUAUUUUUGGAACUAAAUAGGUGGAAGGAACCCAAUGAUGAAUACCCCACAUACCUGAGUUUUCUUAAAUUCUUGAAGUAAAAUUGGAAUUGGGAACCUGGAUGGGUGAAUUCUUUGAAGAAGCUUUUGAUUCUUUGUGUCCUUGAGAAUGGGAGGAGAUUGAGUGUCAUUAACUGAUGAUGAAUAGAGAAAAUAAUGCCUCUCUUAGGUUUUAAGUCAUGAAUUGGGUGUUUAGGGAGAGAAAAAAGACCAAAAUGCCGCUUUAACUUAAGGAAAACUGGACGACUUUACAUAGCCUCCAUGACAUGUUACCCAUCGUGGAGGCUAAGCUGUGUGACAUGCUGCAUAUCACGGAGAAUAACCUCUGCAAAACAUUAAAAUCGCAAAGGCUUACUAUCUCCGUGGCCCAAAAUCACUCCAAACCUUUUUUGAAAAUUCUAAAACUCUCAUGGGUAACCCUUUUAACAUUCCUAAACAUAUUUCAACUCAUAAAUCAAUGAUUCAAACUGAAAGAGGCUAAAAAAAAUAUUUGAAAUAUUAGGGUGUUAAAAUGGCCAUAUCAUUUGUACUUAGAGUGACAUAAUUGUUUUGGGGACCUUAAAAUAUGUGACUAGAAGUUGGAAGCUUGUCUAGGAUCUUAUGGGGAAUUACAGUUAGUUUAGCUUUGGAACCUUUAUUUUUCAUUUUGACCAUCUGUGCGAAAACUAGUUUAAAUAGCCUAUUAGGGGUCCUAGAGGUUAAUUUGUUAUAAACAACCUUAUUUCAUAAGUUACAUGAUUUUGUUGAGUCCAAAAUGUCAUUUCUAAGUUGUUUGCAAAUAUGGUUUGUAUUUUGGAGGUUCCAAAUGAGUUUUGAAUAAGUUGAAUAUUUUUGGUGCAUUGUUCCUAUUUAAGAAAAAUCAAUCGAGAAGAAGGUUCAUUGUUAGUUGUAGAGAUUGAGAAAUUAUUUCAAAACUUCUGAAAUGUCAUGCAUAAAUUAUAGGAUUGAUCUGGAGGGUUUGGUGCAAUUUUGAUAAGUUGAGAUUCAAUUUUAUUGUGAAAUAUUGAUGUGCCAUUGAAACACGGCACUUUCGAUGCUUAAAAUAAAGAAUUUAUGCUUGACUGAGGUUGUUUUAGUAGAUAUAAGGUGGUUUGGUGCUUGUUGUAGGUAAAAUAGGUCAAUAAUCAUUUUGGGAUUAAACUGGAAGAAAAAACCUGUACUAGAUAAAGUUUGAAGAUAAUACGAGGCACCGUAUGAGUCGUCAACACAUCAUACAGCUUGUAGGUUUACUCGUAAGCACAACAGAACCAAAGGCAAAAAAUAAAUACUAAGCGAGGAAAAGAUAUGACUCAGACAUCUGAGUCAUAAGAUAAGGAUAUGGGUCGUGUCAAGAAAUCGUAAUGAGAACAGAAAAUAAAGUCAAGAUUUAGAGUUGAAGUCUUAGAAUAAAAUGAGUCUAAGACACUUCAAAAAUCAGGCCAUGUCGUAUGGAUACCACAAUCCCACAUGAAUCGGAGGUCACCCAGAUAACCCAACCUAAUCAUCAUCAUAACAACAAUAAGGGUCAGGUGAAUCCCCACCAAUAAUAAGAUAGCAGAAAUAUAAGGCUAACAGGUAAUACUUAGACAAUAUCUAAUACUUUAUUAAGGUCAACAGUCUAGCCAAUAUACCUAAGUCCACAAUUAUCCACAAAACCUCUACCAAGCUGAGUCAAUAAUAUGUCGGAACAUGCCCCCGAGAAUAGCCAAGUACCAAACCUAGACAAUUCUAUGACAUAAGAUAAAGUAACUAUGAAAGGUAGGUCUUCUAGAGUAUGGAAACUCACCACUUCAAGGUCAAUGCUUGAACCGCUUGAACAUCUGAUUAUUACGUAGAAGAAGAAGAAGAAGAAGAUGUUGCGACCCCUAUGUCGCAUGGGUACAUAGCGUCCAGAGAAGGUUAGAGGUUAGAGCUCUAGCAUGUAACUCAAGGAUAAGAAUAAAAUAGUGCAUUUGUUCAAUCUAGUCAAAUCAUCAUAUGCAAUCAUAUUUACACAAGUGUAGGCAUAUAAGAAGAUAUAUGUACAUAUAGUUACAUAAUGAGUUAAAACAUAGAACAAGCUAUAACAUACAUUUUCAAAUCAUUCAUUGAUGAAACAUGAAGUGAAGAACUUUCAAUAUUCCACCUUACCAAUUUUAUAACCUUGAACUUCUUCAGUGCACUAGUCAAGAGGAUCCGAACCUCUAACCUACUCAAUCGAUUUAACUAAUUUAAUCAAUUCAUUAGGAAUGGGACUUUAUCAUAGACUUACACAUUUAAUCGGGCAUGGAACUCUAAUCACAUGUGCACACAUUCACUCGGGCGUGGAACCCCUCUCACAUGCUCCCACAUUUAAUUGCGCAUGGAACUCUAAUCACAUGCAAAUUCAUAAGGCGAGUUAUUUUAACCUCCAGAGAUCUCUUUAAGCAAGGAACUCCAACCAUAAUACAAUAGAUGAGGGACUUUAACCACAAAUCCUUAGAUGAGGGACCUUAACAACAAGUCAUUAGAUGAGGGACUUUAACCACAAGUCAUCUUAUUUCCAUCAUUAGUCGACAUUUUAAAUCUUAACCCAUCAGUUCAUGCAUUAAUAUCCAUACAAUUCAUUUUGACAUUAAGGGCUUGAAUCCAUUUAGGUAAUUCUAGCCACCAGGGUUACAUAUCAACACCAUAGACAACCACAUGGUCUUUGCCAACCCAAUAAGCCAUUAGCCAUAUAAAUAGGCAAAAGGACUUAGUUCGCAACACGAUGGAAGUUGAUUUAUGAUUAUCAAGGCCUCUACAAACCAACCAUUACUCAUUAUUAUUCGUACACACACCUUUCAUUCAAACACAAUUUGAGUUCAUGUUUUAGGGACCAUGACCCAUUUAACCAACCAACUAUCAAGGACAUGCCCUUACUCGUUGAAUGGACAAUAAGGCCUCUAGCAACCAUUUACCAAGCAUUCACAAUUAACAACAUCUUACCUUAUUUAUUUCCACUAGACUAAUACCAUAGAUACACAUUUGGCCUUCGUACAACCAUUUAACCAUUAAUCACUUCAAUGGUCUAAAUGUUUUAAUUCAAUUCAUCAUUCAAUUCAUGUUCAUCAAGAUCUACACAACUAUUCACAUUUCAUUAGAAAGCUUAUAGCAUAAUCUCACCAUAUUUUAGUUGAACAUACUAUUGAAAUUCAAUUUUAUGAUUAGGAAAUUUAAUCCCUUAUUAGUCAUCUACCAACAAGGUUAUAAAUUAUACAAUACAUCUCUUAUAAUACCUUCACGAUGUCAUUUAUCAGUCAUUCAUUCUUAUUGGGCCAUUACCCUAAUUCAAAACAUUAUAAACAUGUUACUAGACAAUUUGCUUAGAUAUUUUCACAAAUACCUUAUGUGCAUACCUUUAACAAGGCUAUUUUUAUGGUACAAAUCAUCAAGAUUUGGGUUAAUCAAUACCCUCAUGUUAAACCACAUACAACCAGCACCCACAUAUGCUAUUCAUCAUCAAUAACAAGUAAUAACACAAGUCUAAUCAAGAAACAAUAUUAUUCAUUAUUUGUCAACAAAUCCCUUUUCAUUUAUUUCAAAUCACCAUAUACACUUACUAAUCCAAGUGUAAAAUACAUGGGUUUAGAGUUAUUUAACAAGGGUAAGGGUUACAUGCCUUAAAAAAGAUGGAUCCACAAAGAACUUGACUGCACUUUGUUUUCUAGAUGAGCUCCCUUCAAACCCUAGCCUCUAAUCUUGCUUAAAAAAACUUUGAAAGUGUUUGAGAGGGAGUUUAGGAUGUUAUAUCCACAUAAAAAAAUAUGUUUAAUGAGGAUAUAUACACUUAUAUAAUGAAGGGGCUUAGGGUUUGAGAUGUUGGAAAUGACCACAAUGCCCUUAGUUAAAAGCUGGAAAAUAGACACAUCCAGGGGGAUAACUCACCAUACGACUCACUAAAGGAACCGUACCCUAGGGUACGAAUGGUACCCUAACUAGUAACUUAGGCUUAUCUUAAGUCACACAUACUGUUAAGGAUACGACCAUACACCCUUAAGUCAUACCCAAAUGGUACAAAUCACACCUAACUCGUAUUGUCCACUUGUAACAAAAAUAGUCCACUCCAAGAUAAGACCUCACUCCGUAUGACUCACCUAGGUACAACUCAUAUACUGAGGGUAUGAUUAAGGAGGGGUCACUCAUAUAUGGGAUAUAAUGACACUCUUCUAGGCAACUCAAUGUAUAAGAGAGGAGGAGAGUGUGGAUAGACCCAUAUCCAAGGAUACGAGUGGCUUGUCCAAUCGUAUAUUGGACAACAUGCUCAAAAACCAAAAGUAUUUUUAAGGCCAAGAUCUUAGGUGUUUUAGAGUUGGAAGUCUGAGUACGACUAGGAUGAUCAAACUAUAGGCUGACAAGUGUUCAGAGCAUGAAAGAAAGAAGUCCCAAGUCAUAACGAGUGAAGGCUACGAGUUGUAUGGUCAUGAUAUGACUUGGUAAGAUGAGUUGUAAAGUUAAUAGAAAGUUGAAUUCUGGAAGAUCAGACACUAGAGAACAUAUGACAAGCAUGGUACAACUCAUAAGAAGAGCAUAUAAGUGGAUGAAGAGGAAGUAAAGUAUCUAGAUUGUCAGCUGGUGGAUUUCUGAGCCUAAGGGCGUGAGAAUCAAGGUCAAAACUAUUACAAUGAUAGAUACAGUGAUAGGAGCAGAGACUAAGAUUGUGAUUGGAGAGGCAAAGAAGAUUACAAAGAGAAGAGUGACAGAUAUGUACCACCAAGUAGUCGAGAUACUGGGUGUAGAAUAGAAGCAAUGUUGUCAAAAUUAUUCAAAGUCCAAGAAUGUCAAGAGAUUUGUCUUAAGGAGAUUAUGUAAACCUAUCAGGUUGAAUUAGAAAGUUGAUUCAUUGCUACCACAAUCAAGCAACUAGAGCAGCAGUAUGGGCAAAUGUCGGCCACAUUAAAUCAAAGGCAACCUAGAAAUCUUCUGAGUAUCAUAAAUACUAAGAAUGAUGGUCACUACCAUGCCAUUACCACUCAGACUGGUAGAACCACCAUAGAUUACCUAUACCCACAAUUGAUUAACAAAAGAAUGAAGAUGAUUUUGUUUAUGUGGGGAGUGGUAUUAAGCACGAUAAAGGAAAAUAUUAGUCCGAGGAGCCUAUUUUAAAGACCAUUCUGAGACCUCACCAUCAUUUUUCUCAAAGGUAGAAAAAGUAAUAAGAAGAGGGUAAGUAUUAGAAAUUUUUUCUAUUUUAAAGAAGUUGUCAAUCAAUAUCCCACUUGUAGAGGCAUUAGAGAAAAUGCAAGGAUAUGAAAAACUAAUGAAGGAUAUAAUCAUCAAGAUAAGGUCAAUCAGUUAUGAUCCAGUCAAUAAUAUUCAUCAUUGUAAUGCGAUAGCUACAAGAUCAUUAGUAGAGAAGAAGAAGGAUCCUGGUGCUUUCACCAUACCUUGCAUUAUUGGAUCUUCCAACUUUACUCAUGCAUUAUUUGAUUUAGGUGCUAGUAUCAACCUCAUACCCUUAGCAGUAUUUAAAAAACUGGGCUCCCAAACCAACUACCAUGAGACUAGUAAUGGCAGAUAGGAUGAUUAAAAGAACAAUUUUUAUUCUAUAUCAUAUAUUGGUGAAAGUGGCUUCUUUCAUCUUUCCUACUGAUUUUAUGAUCUUAUAAUGGAAGUGGACUUUCAAGUCCUAAUUAUUUUGGGAAGAAUGUUCUUGGAUACAGGAAGGACACUAAUUAAUUUGGAGCUAGGACAUCUGAUAUUGAGACUCAAUGAUGAACAGGUGACUUUUAGUAUGUGCAAGUCAAUAAAGCAGCCUAAUGAGAAGAGAGUGAUAUCUAUGAUUCAUGCAUUUUAUAAAGAGAUAGACUUAUUCCUUGAUGUUGAUGCAGUAAUUAUUUUGGAAGAAACUUUAGAUAUUGUUCCUAUUGAAGAGAGGCUGGGUGUUGAAGUUUUGGCAGCUGUGAUUAUGUACUUCGAUAGUGAUGGUAUUGAUGACUAUGAUUUGAUAGUAUGUGCACUUUAUGGGAGCAUUUCUUAUACUCAUGCAACAAAGAAGCUUGAUUUAGAUCUAAAAAAAUAAAACUAUUCCACCUGCUCACCCAUCUAUUGACUAGCCACCUAUCUUAGAGUUGAAGGCCCUUCCUUCUUAUUUGUGAUAUAUAUUUUUGAGGGCCAACAGUAUUUUUUCGGUAAUCAUUAUAGCUAAUUUGAUAGAAACAAAAUUUGAAACUUUGUUAUAAGUGUUACAAGAAUUCAAGUAGGCCAUUGGUUGAUCCAUUGCAGAUAAAGUGGGUAUCCUACCUGGUUUGUAAUCAUAAAAUUUAACUUGAGAUGGAUUAUAUUUCAAGUGUAGAGAAUCAAUUUCAACUCAAUCCUCCAAUAUAGGAGGUGGUGAAUAAAGAGAUAAUCAAGUUGUUAGAUACUGGUGUAGCGUAAUUGUUGAUAAUAAGUAGGUCAGUUCGAUACAAUGUGUUCUAAAGAAAGGUGGUAUUAUUAUUGUUCCAUAUGAGAAAAAUGAGCUAGUUCCAUGAGGCGAGUAAUAGGAUGGAGAGUACGCAUGGAUUAUAGAACAUUGAAUGCAUGGACUCAGAAGGACCAUUUUCCUAUACCCUAUAUGGACCAGAUGUUGGAUAGACUUACGGGAAGAGGAUGGUACUAUUUUUUGAAUGAGUAUUUGAGUUAAAACCAAAUCACUAUUUAACCUGAAGACCAAGAGAAGACAACCUUUAUUUGUCCUUAUGGGACCAUUGUAUUUAGAUGUAUGAUAUUCGUGUUAUGUAAUGUUCCAGCCAUAUUUUAGAUAUGUAUAAUGUCAAUCUUCUUUGAUAUGUUAGAAGACACCAUUGAAGUAUUUAUGGAUGAUUUUUAGUCAUUUGUGAUUCUUUUGAUGAUUGCUCAAUGCACUUGGCUAAUGUUCUUUGAAUGUGAGAGGAAUGCAACUUAGUGCUUAACUGGGAAAAAUGUUAUUUAGGCUCAAAGAAGGUAUUGUGCUUGGGCAUAAGAUUUCACAAAGGGGUAUUGAGGUAGAUUGAGAAAAAAUUGAAAUGAUCGAGAAAUUACCUCAACCAAUUUUUAUGAAGGGUGUUCGUAGCUUUUUAGGACAUGAUGGGUUUUAUAGGUGAUUCAUCAAGGAUUUGUCAAAGAUUGUCAACCCUCAAGGUUUUAUAGGUUUUAUAGGUGAUUCAUCUAGGAUUGGCCUUAGGGGUUAUACUAGGCCAAAGAAAAGAAAAGAUCCUUCAUCCUACCUACUAUGCUAGCAAGGUAUUAAAUCCUACUUAAAAAACUACACAGUUACUGAAUAAGAGUUAUUAGUAGUGAUUUUUGCCUUUGAGAAGUUUACAUAUUAUUUGAUUGGAGCUAAGCUGAUUGUACACACUCAUCAUGCAGCAUUGAGGUACUUUAUGGCUAAAAAAGAUUCAAAUCCUAGACUGAUUAGAUGGGUCUUAUUGUUGUAAGAGUUUGAUUUCAAGGUAAAGGACCAAAAAGGCACUAAGAAUCAAGUUGCAAAUCAUUUGUCUAGACAUGAGGAAGAGGCUAUGAAGAAUAUUGAAAAUGGACUCAAGAUUGAUGAUAGUUUUCCAUAUGAGCAGAUAUUAGCAGAUUUGUAAGAUUUAAUUCCAUGGUUUGUAGAUUAUGAAAAUUAUCUAGCAAGUGAUCUAGUCCCAAAAAAUCUUUCUUUUCAGCAAAAAAAGAAGUUUAUGCAUGAGGUAAGGAAAUUUUUCUGGUAUGAGCCUUAUUUAUUCAGAAUUUAUGCGGAUGGGAUUAUACGUAGAUGUAUACAAGAGGUGGAGUUGAUGAGUAUACUGGAGGUUUUUCACUCUUCACCGGUUGGUGGUCAUCAUGGAGGAACCCAAACAGCCCAUAAAAUUUUACAAUGUAGGUACUAUUUGCCAACAAUCUAAAAGAUGCACAUAAUUUUUCUUCAGCUUGUGAUUAAUGUAAACGAUAAGGUAACAUCUCCAGAUUCCAUAAACUUUCUAUGACUCCUACCUUUGAAUUGGAAUUGUUUAAUGUAUGGGGUAUGGAUUUCAUGGGAUCUUUUAUAAGUUCGUUUGUCAUGAAGUAUAUUCUUAUGGCUAUUGAUUAUGUUUCUAAAUGGGUGAAAGUGGUUGUGCUACCCAAUAAUGAAGCACAUACUGUCACUGUAUUAUUGAAAAAGAACAUCUUCUUUUGAUAGGCACGCCACAUGCCAUCAUUAGUUAUGGUGAGUAAUAUUUUUGUAAUCGUUUAUUCAAAGGUCUUGUUGAGAAGUAUGGAGUGAAACCCAAGGUGGCAAUAUCUCAUCAUCCAUAGACUAGUGGAUAGGUUGAGAUGUCCAAUAGAAAAAUCAAUUAUAUCUUGGCAAAAAUAAUAAAUGCCAACAAGACUGAUUGGUCACAAAAUUUACAUGAUACAAUAUGGGCUUACCACAUAGCUUUCAAGACUCUCAGUGGUGCUUCUCCUUAUCAGUUGGCAUAUGGCAAAGCAUGUCACUUGCAUUUGAACUUUAAAAUAAGGAACUAUGUGCUUUAAAGAAGCUAAACUUUGAGUGGCAUAAUGCAGCCAAGUCAAGGAUGAAAAAGAAGAACAAGUUGGAUGAAUUCCGACUCCAGGCAUAUGAAGUUUUGCACUUUACAAAUAAAAGAAGAAGCUACAUUAUGACUGCAUGAUUGAGAAGAGGAUAUUUGAAAAAGUAACCAGGUUUUUCUCUACAUCUGUAGUCUUUGCUUAUUUCUAAGUAAGUUGAAGUCUAGAUGGUAUGGUCUAUUUACUGUGCUAAGAGUGUUCCCAUAUGGGGCUUUGGAAUUAAAAAGAGAUGAAGAAGCCCCACUCAAAGUGAAUGGGAAAAGAGUAAAGAAUUAUAUGGGUAACAUUCUAGAUGUAAGUGUAAUUUUUGAGAUAGAUCUUAGUGAAGUCUAAGUAACCAAGGUAACUAUGUCGUGCCACAAUAUUAAAUCAAGUGUUGCAUAGGAGGCAACCCAAGACUUGUAUCCAACUUAGCCAUAUUGUCUCGUGAUGUUAAAUAAAGCAUUGUAUGGGAGGCAACCCCUGUUUUUGUACUUAUUAAUUUAUAGUGUAAUAUGUUUGUUCGGUGUGCAGGAAUAAAGAUCGCAGAAAAGAUUAACAAAUUUCAAGAAAAAAGGUCAUACGGACUCUUCAUGAGUCAUAUAUUAAAGUAACGACUCAUGAGCAGGAGUCAUAAAGACCUAGGAAAUAAAGCAGAUUUAGGUUAAAGUUUCUAGAGUCUUUAGGAAUCUUAGAAUAAGUCGUACACUUAGGGUACAAGUCAUUACCUUGAGUCGUAUCGACUCUAAAAUCCAAGUAAAAUACGAGGUAUUUAUAAGUGGAGGUAAAUACCUAUAAGCCUGAUACGAGUCAUCCACAUGACUCAUACUCAAGCUUACCAGGUCAAUGGUCGUGGUUCAACCCAGCCUUCUUGAUUUAAAAUAAAAUAGGGCACCUGAUAUAUGUACCCGAUAUUUGAAUCACUUUAAACCUCUAUUGUAGGCCAACCAUUGAGCUCUAAAUGCAUAAUUUAUCUCCAAAUCAAACACGAAAUUUUCAGUUUAGCUCACAUCGCACAAAUUUUACAAGAAUUUAGAGAAGUAAAGUGAUAACUCAAGCACCUCAAUCUCUCAACCAUUGAAGUAAGUGUUUGAAUGUAAUUGCUCUACAUUUUGAGUUAAAAUUGAUAAUGUGUGAGAUUUUUUAGCUUUUCUUGGAGUUGAAUAUAGGUGUAUGUCAAAAAUAGAAACCCUAGUUCUUAGAAAUAAUAGCUUAAAAUGGAAAUUGGGGAUGAACUUGAUAUUAUAUGUUGAACAUGUGUGUUUGUUGACUGAAAUAGGGUGGUAAUGUUGUGCAUUGAAGGGUAGAAUAGGUAUUGCAAUUUGGGACCAACUCACAAAGUUAAAUCCUUAUGUUACAGUGGAUAUAAGCCAUUUUAUGACUUGUACCCACUAGUAACGAGGCGUAAUGAGACUCAUACCCACUGACAACAUAGAAACAUAAAUAGAGUGUAAGUUCUAGUAUGGGUACAACUUGCCUAUAUGAGUCAUAACCAAACCAUACGACUGGUAAACUUAGGUCGUAAGGACCUGGGAAGUUAACAAAUAAUUGAGUAAUGUUUUUGGUCUACUUAUGAUUGGUACAUGUCCUUACGACUUGUCAGAAAGACUCAUAAGUAUACUAUUGAACAUCCAUAUAUACAUUUUUAUCAUAUGAAUCAAUCAUACGAGUCGUACCCAGAUCAUACAACUCUUACCCCAAGUCGUACCCUAAAUAAAAUAUGAAUGCAAACACAGACUUUUCUUAUAUUUGCCUUUCUUUCCUUAAGGAAUUACUAGGAGUGUAUGUACAUUGGUAUAAUACCUCCAAAAGAUUCCUCAUCUUCAAAACAUGUAGAGAAAAAGGGAAAUAAGAAGGCACUAGUCCAAAGUUCUGAUUCUAUUGAGUCAUCCAGCAGCAGCGGUGACCUUGUUGAAUUCCUAAUGAAGGAAAAGGUCGGGGUAAAAGACUAACGAUAGGAAAGAGGAAAAAAAGUAGUGACUCCAGAGGACACACCUUCAAGAGGACCCAGAAAGAAGAACCCCUACACUUCACCCCAAACACUAUCCCAUUCUGAAGAGCACAGUGGUAAUGACAAAAAAAAUCAAGCUUAAAGGAACAAAGUUUAGCGAAUGCUAGUGUGGAAGAAGUUGAUGCAACUCAUGCUGAUACAUAGGAUCCACCCUUAGCUAUUAAACCUACUCCAGUGCCCACUUUUGAAUGGUGGGGAUGCCUUAGUAUGCAGGAAACUUAUAAAGAUGGGUUCAAUAGACUUGAAAAUGGAAGAAUCAAAAGAAAUCUAUAUUUUGAGAGGCAAUUGGCGACCACUAAGAUGUCUGAUCUGCCCAGAUGUGAGGUCUAAUUCAGCCAAAAUGAGUUUCAGUGGAUGACCACACCACCUAAAAAGUACAAUGUCAUAUUAGUUUGAGAGUUUUAUGCGGAAUACAAGGGAUAACUAAAAAGACAAUAUCUGCAGGGGCAGUUAUGGAGAGGUGGUGAUCACAUCGAGUCACUGACCAUUUUAAGAGUGCGGGUGAAUGUCUCCCAUGAGCUAUUUCUCAAUUCUUAAAUGGACCAAACUUCUAGCCUCCAGUCAACACAAGAGAAACACAAUUUUGCAUGGAUGAAAUACAAAUAACUAUAUGAAAACAACUGGGGUCAGAUGACAAAAUGCGGCACUUUAAGUGGAUCGCCAGUUUGAUUAUUAUGAAUGUAGAGGAUGCAGUUUGGGUGGAAGGAGUCCCAGGAGUGACUUCAUAAAAGAUAGAAAAACAAACCCUGAAUUUUGAGGCCAAGGCAUGGUGGACACUGGCCAGAAAUAGACUUUUUCCCACUACUGGGGAAAAUGUACUCAACCCAAUUUGUACAGCAUUAAUAACUAGGUUGAUGGCUAGGUAAUAGUUUGAUAUGGGAUAUUUCUUUACCCGAGAGAUUUGAUAUCGGGCUGUGGGUGGAGAGAAGGUUUUAUUGGCAUAUCCUUACAUGAUUACAUAGAUUUUCUUAGCUUUGGAGGUGCAGGUACUAUUAGGGAUUAAUGAGCUGCUCGAUCCCAAAAAUAUCUUAGAUCUUGGGUUGAAUCAGGUUGUAGAAAACCUAAUAGCCAGACAGGCAAGGAAAAGAUUUGAUAUAUUAGCAGAGAUAUUUAUAUAGACUUGAUUUGCUAAUGCUGCUAAGAUUGAUUCCACCAUAGGAGGAGAUAUUCGGACUGAUCCAUAACUUCAGAUGCAAUGGGUACAUCUAGUGACCCUCCUACUGGCCACUCUAUACCUCCUCAACCCAUAGCUAUACCAGCUGAUCUAACUGUUAUCUCAUAGUCUAUGUAUGAUGAGGCGAUAAAGAGAUUGACCACAUUGGAGAAUAGAGUUUGGAAUAUGGAUGGGGGUGUAAAGCCAUAGGUUGAAGCAAAGUUAUAAAACCAAGAUAGAAAGGUACAGGGUUGGUUAGAAGCAUUCGAGAAGCGGAUGACCCAACAGUUGGGUAGUAACCAAAUUCCUGAUAAUGCAGAGGUGAAAUCUAAAGUGGCCAAAAUUAAGAAGAUGGUUGACAGCUAUUUAUUCCAGCAUCGGUAGGCAGAGGUGAAGCUAGAUAUCCAUGUUUAAAAUAUCAGGGAGAUUCUAAAUCCAAUUGAGGAUCCCUAAGAGAGAAAAAAUAAAAAGUGAAAGAGAGUUGAAUAAAAUGACUUGAAGAAGGCGAUGAAGGAUAGUGUAUUGAGUGAGAGGGACAGGAAGGUGAGGGUCCAUGAGAUAAAGGAUGGAUCUAGUAGCUCGACACUAACAGUAUAAUGUAUAUGGGGGCAGCGAGGUACCCCUGACAAUUGAUAUACAAGUAAAUAUACUGGUCAUAACCAGUGACACGAUUGAGAAGUAGCUGAGGAUAAUGGGACCUAACUUGAGGGCCCACAAGAUGAUAUUGAAUGAUCCAAUGCCUUGAGCACCCAGGUAGCGUCCAGGUAUGUUCCUAAUCCCUUGGAUUUAUUUUUAGUUGCACUGGGAUAGUGCAUAGCCUUUAAGUUGGGGUGGGGUGUACCAAGGCUACCACGGGCUAUACUUUCCAUGUUUUGAAGCUCAUGGCCAUAAUCUAAAAAGUUAAGAACUGGAAUGUUUUGUGUUUUGUGUGUUAUUUUGUGUUUUGUUAUGUGCUAGGACAGCUGAAAAUAGGAGGAAAAUUUGUACGUGUGGCAGUUGAUGUUGUUUUGAAUAACUAUGUUGAAAUUGGUUGAUUUUGAAAAUAACUAUGCUGGAAAAUUUGACACCACUCCAAAACUUUGUUGUGUGGUGUGUGUAUGUGUGUAAGACAAUUGUGAAUCUGAUAAUGGCAUUAGGAUUAGGGAUAGAACAACGAAAGGAACAAUUGCAUAACUAGAUUAGUAGUACCUAGUAAAAUACCCCUGUGUGAGUGUAUGUGAGGCGCUACUUAGUUCACAGUGUGUCAAAAUCUAGAACUUUCCCAGUUUCUCAUACCCAAGUUUAGGAUAGUUGAGUAGGAGAUAAUCAAAUGACAUUUUUUCUAUAAGUCCACUCGAACUGAAAUGUCCAACCAAAGGUGAUAUGAAUCCCUUUGAUCCAAAUAUUUGAACCUUAACUGACCCAUUUAUUGUUUGAUACACCAAUAUCACCUUCUCAUUCUUACAAUGAACCUAUUUUGGCCCUGGUCCUCCUUGUAGACUAUACACCUUAACUCAGGAAAAUCGCCUAAGUUGAGGGUGGCUAUUAUAGGGGUGCAUAGGGAAAAUGAGUAUGAAGAAAGACAUGUGGAGAAAAAAUGAAAAAGGACAUGUUCGAUGAAAAUAAAAAAAGAAAAGAAAAGGAAAAUUAAAAGAAAAGAAAGAAAAAAAUAAUAAAAAAGAGAAAAGCAAACUGUACCUGGUCUAAGUUGUAUGUUCUUCAAAAUAAAAAGGAAGACAUAAAGGUGGAAAUAAAAGGAAAAAAGGUGAAAAAUAAGUGUACCCUAAAUAAAGCGUAGUGUUAAGGAGGUGUAGUAACUAAAAAUGUCCCAAAAAGGAUACCAUACCAGCGCCUAACCUAAGUUACAAGCAGAAUAAAUUCCUUUAGUGAUCCUACCUUGGUUGUCUAAAAACGUAGAAAGAGAGCAUUUGGGCAAUCUUAUGGUAUCUGUAUAAACCAGUGGUACUUCUUUGUGAGCGAGAGUGUCUUCUGUAUACCCCUGAAUAAUUUGAUUAAUAUUAACUGAGUAAAUGGAUUUUUUUACUGUGAGAACACAUGGGCUAUAUUGUUAGUAGCUAGACUAUCUGGUUAACGUGGUUUGUGUUUAUGCCUGGCUUUCUAUUACUAAUGCAAUGCCAACAUCGGAUUUCUUUAUGUUUCUCCGUGUACAAAAUUGAUGUACACAGUUUGAUUCUUCAAAAGUAAAAAUUAGGAGUGGGAAUAAAAAUGUUGAAAACUGAAUUCAAAUCAUUGCCAUAGGUUUCUUAGCAUCCUUUUGUUUAAGAAUUGUGUUGUGUUAUAGUUUUUUAUUUUUGUUUUGCCUUAGGACGCACAAAAGUCUAAGUUAAGGGUGUUGAUACGCAGUGGAAACAUGCCAUUUUCAAUGCUUAAAAUGAAAAAUUUAUUCUAGUACUAAGUUUGUUUUAGUAGAUAUAAGGUGGUUUUGUGCUUGUUGCGGGUAAAACAGGUCAAUAAUCUCUUUGGGAUAAAAUUAGAAGAAAAAGACUUGUACAGGAUAAAAUAUAAACAUGAUACGAGUAACCAUAUGAGUCAUCAACACAUCAUAUCACUUGUAGGUUGACUCAUAAGCACAACAGAACUAAAGGCUAAGAAGAAAUACUAAGUGAAAAAAUAUAUGACUCAGUCAUUCGAGUUGUAAGAUGAGGAUAUAGGUCAUGUCAAGAAACCGUAAAGAGAACAGAAAAUAAACAUAAGAUUUAGAGUUUAAGUCUCAAAAGAAGAUGUAUCUUAUCAGUGGUAUAAGGAGGGGUAGCAGUGAAGGGGUGAUGAUGUAGAGCUCAUAAAUUGAUUUUGAAAAGGUUAUCUAUAUCAUCUAGUUUUGGUUAAAUAUUCUGACUAUGAAAGUCCUUCUUUGAAUUCUUUCCCCGUAUAUUAUUAAUUGAGUUUGUGAUAUAAUGAUUACUGAGUCUGAAUACUGAUAACAUGAGUGACUACAUCUGACAGUCCUGAUACUAAUGGAACUAGUUGGGUUCCACACUAUAUUGAUUUGAAUGUAUCUGACAGUCCUGGAUUUCUAUAGAACUGAACUGAUUUCUCUUAUUGAAACUGGAUUUGAAACUGAGACUGUGGGAGGUAAUCAUCUAAUCUACAUGCCUCAAAACUGAACUGGUGGGGUCCAACCUGUAACCUAACCUGGAAGGGUGUCAGUACCGUGCCAUGGGUAAAGAAAAGUUGUGAGUAUACCCUCUCUGAUAGGGAGCUCUUUCGUCAACCCUUCCUAGUAGGAAACUCAAAUGAGAUGUAUAAAUCCCUAAAUGUGUAGGGUGCAUCUCAACCUACAUUGGCUAUGUAGUUCUGGAACACAAGGAUUGCUUCUAAGGAUCACACCCUCCGCUGAAUAACAAGUGAGUCCCCAUCCUUGGGUUCACACGGUGCUGAAUCCUACUCCCAACUGAAUAAACACUAAACUGAUUAACUGAACUAAACUGGUACUAAUGGUAUUGUUGAGUAGAGCUAAACUGAGUUCACUGAGUUUCGUUGACUGACAAAAUGCUAUUGAGAUCUGAGGACUGACGGAGAGUACUGAAGUUACUGAGAUUUUUGGGAAUACUGAAGUUACCGAGAUUACUAAGUACUGAUGUUACUGAGACCACUGAGGUCACUGAGAUUUCUGAGUAGGACUAGACUGAUACUGAAUUUACUGAGUUUUCCUGAGUCAUGAGACUGGCUGAAUUCUAAGGAUAAUGGAUUGACUGAGAGUAUCAUGAAAACAUGACACUGGCUCUAGGCACACAGCUAAAUUGUCAGGUACAAGUACCCCCAGGACUCAAUAGCAUUAAACUGACAGAACAUGACACUUUUGGAACACAUGACCAAUAUCAACAAUUCAUAAUACAUUAAUUUGGGGAUUUCAUUAAGCAUAUGGUUAUCAUAGUCUUAUCAAUGGAAUUGCAUAUAAACAUGUCAUACUUUCAUCAACCUAAUCUCAUGGACAUUCCCUCAACUAUUCAUAAUGCACACAGUAUCAUGGAAGUCAUUCUUAGUCAUAGGGUAAAGCAUACACUUAUCACUUGGGUCACAAUUAAGCUAUAAUGCAUAAUUUCUAUUCUCUUAGGCAUUCUAUCAAACACCUAGGAUGCAUGACUUAGGGCACUGGCAUGACCAUCAAAUUUAUACAGCAAAACUUCAUAUUUCAACUCAAUUUCACAUGUUUCAGACCACAUACUAGCAUAGGUUCAUGAACAACACAUAAAGAUUCCAACUUGGGAAUCAUCCAACCAUAAUCACAUGAACAUUAUAAACCCACAACAAAAUAUUCACAAUACAAGAUGUAAAACUUAAUUCUUGGGCUUCAUGGAUGAAAGGAAUCCAUGAAUAAACACUGUGCAUACCUUAGUUCUUGAUUCUACGAAGAUUGACAGAGAGAUUCUUAAAUUUGAGUCUUGGAUUCCAAUCUCCAAUUGAAAACCCUAUCUUGUUCUUGAGAGAAACUUGAGAGAAACAAUAUAUUUUGGGUGAAUUAUGGCUGAAUCAUGUGUUAUUGGGUAUAUAUAGGGGUGAGAAAUUGACCCUUUUAACCCUUGGACGCAUAUUUUAAUUCUCUAAAAAUUUCCCAAUUUUCAUCCUUGGCGCGAUGUGCCACUAUCGCGCCAAGUCACUGGAACUAGACAAUUGGGAAUCUGCAUAGUGGUGCGACGCGGUGCUAUUGCGUUGCCACUUUGUUUGUGUCCUGGAAGUUUGGCACGACGUAGAGACAUUGCACUGAGACACUGGAAAAAGGAUAAUUCUGAAUUAGAGCCUUGGGAUGACGCGCCAUAAUUAUGGAGGCUCACUGGAUUUUGACGAUUGCCAUUUUGGCCUGCUCUGCGAUGCGUUGAUGGCUUAGGUGUCACACGUCCUUACUAAAAAGGCUCUAACUCUUUGCUUGGGUGUCGGAUUUUGGAGAAUUUGGUAUCGAUGGAAAGCUUAUUCAAUUUUCCAAAUGAUAAAAAGUGAAAAUAUUGAAAAUAUUACAUGUAUAAAAGUGGAUUCAUCUUUAAAACCAGAUUUCAACAUUUAUGGGAUGAUUUUAAGCUAGAUAGAAGUACGGGGCAUUACAAAUAGGCAAUGACAUGACCCUGUGGCAUCAAAACGCAUCCAAGACCAACACCAAAUGCAUCAUAAAACACUGUGAAUCCCUCCCCCUCAACUGGAAGAGCUAACACCAGGGUUAAAGUGAGACAAUCUUUGAGCUUUCCAAAGCUCAACUCACACUCCUUGGAACAUUGUAAAGGAACUUCCUUCUGAGUCAAUCUACUCAUACGGGCUGAUAUGGUAGCAAAGCUCUCAACAAAGAGCCUAUAAUAACUAGCCAAACCAAUAAAACUGCAAACCUUAGUUAAAGAUAUAGGCCUAGCCUAAUCACGAAUCGCUGAAAUCUUAGUCGGGUCUACCAUAAUACCCGACUUGGAUACUACAUAUCCAAGAAAUGAUACUUACUCAAGACAAAACUUUCACUUGAAGAACUUUGCAAAAAUAACAUGCUCCCGCAAGACCUAGAGCACAAUCUCAAGUGUUAUGCAUACUCCUUACUACUCCUCAAGUACAAAAGAAUAUAAUUAAUGAACACAAUAACAAAGGAUUCUAGAUAAGGUUUGAACACAUGGUUCAUCAAGUCCAUCAAUGUAAACAACACCAAGAACUCAUAGUGACCAUAACGGGUCCUGAAGGACAUCUUCAGGAUAUCCUCAUCUCGAAUCCUAAACAAAUGAUAAUCGAACCCUCAAAUAUAUCUUAGAAAAUAUAGCUGCAGCCUGAAGCUGGUCGAAUAAAUAAUCAAUACAAGGCAUCGAAUAAUGGUUCUUCAUCGUCUAAUGAAACCCUUACCAAAAAGAUCCUGGAGUUGGGAGUUCAGCUUCUUAAGCUCAGUAGGAGCCAUAUGGUAAGGUGCCAUAGAAAUAGGUAGGUUGCUAGGCUCAAGGUAAAUUAAAAACUCAAUCUCAUGGUCAGGGGGAGUAUUUGAAAGAUCGACAGGAAACACACCAGUAAACUCACACACAACAGGAACAGAGUCAAGAAUUGGACUCUCUACACGAGUGUUAUAUACAUAGGCAAGAUAAAACUUACAACCCCUCAAUAUAAGCCAUUUAGAACAAAUAUAUGAAAUAACUCCCAUUGGCUCAUGUCUAAUCGCUCCCUACUACACGAUUGAGGAUAUGUCGAGCAUGGCUAAGGUAAAUGGUCUUGGCAAAACAAUCCAUGACCGCAUGAUAGUGGGAUAACCAGUCCAUGCACAGAAUCACAUCAAAAUCAAACAUAUUAAAAAUAAAAGAUUAGUAAAAGUAUAAAUAUCACUAACUGUCAUAAAAAAUGAUCUAAAACUUUAUUCAGUAGUAAAGAAUCACCUAUAGGAGUAGAUACAUGCAAAGGCACAGAUAAUAAAUCACUGGUCAAGUCCAACUGUGGUACAUAAUAAGCAGAUAUAUAAGAAUAAUUGGAUCCAGGAUCAAAUAAAGAAAGAGUAAACUUGCGGCAUACAAAAAUUACACCUGUAACUAUAGCAUCCAAAGUCUCAGCCUUGGGUCUAGCAGGUGCUACAUAAAACUAACCGCGUCUGCCACCUGGAUGGGCACCUGACCGACCUCCUAUCCUACCUACCUGAGUACCACCUCAAGCACUCUGGUAACUACCCCUAUGACCUCGAAAACCACCUCUACAUAAAGGAUGAACUACUCUUAUUAGAUUAAUCAACCAUCACCCCAUGACUAGGGUAGUCUCUAGAGAAAUGAUCGAAAAAACUGUAGGUAAAACAAGAAUCAUAAGUAGAACCAGAACUCAUAGAUCCAGCUGAUCUGGCAUAGCUUCCAUGCCUAACAUAACCUAUAGAUGAACCUCUCAAGGAUUGAUCACCAACCUUACUAGAACGGUCACUAGUAAUGGACUGACCCCGUCAGUAGUCUGAAGAGCUACCUGAAUUGGAUAACUAGUAUGACUUGAGGCUAAAAAGAUAGACGUGGAGAAUAUCCAACAUAAGAAAUACCACCCUAAAUUGGGAACUACUAUGGCUCCCACUAAAUCUGCCCUAAAACAUAGGCCUCUUAUCAUGGCCCUCACGCUUUAUGUCCUCCUUCACUCUAGAAUGAUUAAAAAUAUAAGAAAAAGUCCUACCCAUGAUGUGGCAUGGAAACACGACACUUUUGAUGCUUAAAACUGUGAAUUUAUGCAUGAACUUAGGGUAUUUUGUUGGAUAUAAUGUACUUUGGUGUGAAUUGUAAGUAAAAAAGUUUUACUAUAGUUUUUGAAAUAAAGGAGAAGAGAAAGACCAACUCUGAUCAGUAUACAAGUUAGUCUCUGAGUCGUAACCAAUCAAUACAACUCGUAUACUGAAUCAUAUGAGUAACAGAACUAAUAGCCAAACUUGGGAGCCAAGUAUGAGGACGAUAUGACUCAAGUACCCUAGUCGUAAGCCAAGGUACGAGUCAUAUGUAAAAGUUUUGAGCAUAACAAAACCUGUGCUACUAUCCAGGAGUUGAAGCAUCAAGAGUAUACGAGUCAAAAGUUUGAGUACUACUCGAAUAGAGAUGUCAUAUACAAACUAGUGUUUAAAACUUGAAAAGACUAAACUCCCUGGUGGAUACAGAUGAAGGACAUGAAUCACACACUAAGGUUUAACUUGUAAGUGGAAGUCGUAUACUGAAUAGGGAGUUGAAGCCUUAGAAAGAUCAGACACUGGAAUAGAUACGACAAGUCAGGGUAAUACUUCUAAGUUGAGGAUACAAGUGAAGACCGAGUUGUACCAACUGCCAACUUAACUUUAGCUUUCCCAUUUUUAAUUGAAUUUUUUAGUUAUUUUGAGUACUAUAAAUACCCUAGGGUUUAUUUUUCAUUAGGUUAGGCUUUGUGAUAUUUUUUUACAUGCUAUUACGCACUAUUACUCAUUAAUACAUUAUUUCUUAAGAUCUUAGGGUUUUAUUCAAGUAAAAACUUUGGAGUUUAUUCAUCUUAUUCUUGUGCAACUGAUUUUAUGUGUCCUUCAUUGAUAAUCAUAAUUUCUUGCACAAACAUGAGCAACAAAUCUCCUUAUCUAGGGUUGUGGGAACCCUGGUAGAUUAGCUACGUUAAGGAACUGUGACACUUAAUUUUUCUAGGUUUUUCUACAUGUAUCUUAGUUUUUUUUUUUUGCAAUAAUUAAACUUAUAGUAGCAGUAGAUGCUUGAGAUUGCCUGUAUUCGCAUCUACUCGAUAACCAAGAAUUUUGCAUUUAGGAUAAAAGAUUAAGAUGGUGAUUUGAAAUGCAAUAACCAAGAAUUCCAUCUUCUCACCUAAUCCUUCCAAGGCAAAUGUCAUUGAGGCCAUAGAAGGGGGCAACAAGGCAACACCCUAAUAUGAAAACCAAGUAAAAAGGGUGAAAUUUAUCUUCUAGCUUACCCGAUAGCUGAUAAUACUUAUCUUGUAGGCUUUUCAUGCAAAACUAUAGAAUAAGUGGGUUGAUCACAAGAAAUUUAUGCAGUUGAGAUACUAGGGGAAACACAGACCUAGCAUUUAUCUCAUAUUGAUUACAACUCAAAGCACUCAAUAAUUGCUUACUAUUUGCAAUUGAUAAUAAAAUCCCCCCAUUUACUUUUUUGUACUACUCGUGGAUUAUAUCAAGGAAAGUAACUGCUCAUAUUUUCCCUAUGGGAUCGACCCCAACCUUGUUGGGUUACUAUAUUUGCAAUCAACUACAUUAUACUUCUACUUGAGGUGUAGUUUUGGGUGACAUCAAAUUUUGAUGACAUUACCAAGGAAGACAGAUCAGUAGUAAAUUGAAUUGGUAAAGUUUGUGGGUUUUUAAAUUUUUGUUUUUUCUUUGGCAUAUGUUGGAGUAUGCCAAGUAUGAGGAGUAGAGGCAAUCCCUUACUCCUAUUUGAUCCAGAACCACAAAGAAUCCUUCAAACACCUAGAAGGAUAUCAGGACAAGUUCGUAAUGGGUUUAAGACCCCCCAACUAUGGACCCAAAUACAGCACUCCAGCGUGCUCUAUUAGAUCAACAGAAUAUUGUAGACUUAUAGACACAACAAUUGUUGGAGAAAGAAUAUAGAGAAGUAAAAGAAGCAAGACUUGUUGUAGAGGAGAUAGUAGCUCAGCAAAGAGGACUAGUACGGUCGAGACAUGUUUUUGAUCAUUAAGUUCUGAGAGGCAGGGCUCCAUUUAUUCCAGCUUAUCUACACUUAGACUCGUAUGAGGAAAAUAAUGAAGAUCUAGCUCAUGAUACAAAGUCUAGAUCAGUUGUUCCUCCUCCAUCAACCCCUAAUGUGAAGUUUGAUAUUACUAGUGCUAUGAUCUAAUUGAUGAAUCUGAAGGGUAUGUUUUCGGGAGCUACUAAGGAUGAUGCAAACAUGCAUCUUAAAAAUUUUCUUGGAAUCUACACAAAUUACAAUAUUCCAGGGGUUAAUCAAGAAGCAUUAAGAUUGAGGUUGUUCCUAUUUUCUUUGACUGGAGAAGCAUCUCUAUAUUUAGGGGAACUUCCAAAAGGAUCUAUCACUAAUCACACGAGUUAAAGACAGUUUCUGAGCAGAUUCUUCCCUCCUACAUAGAUGUUAUAAUUCAAGUAAGAAAUUUACAAUUUCAGGCAGCUACUUACAGAGUCUAUUUUAUGAGGUGUGGUUUCAAUUUAAUAAGAAGCUGAGGAUGGUACCAAAUCAUUGAAUUAGAAGAUCUAACUUAUCUGAGAUCUUCUAUCGAUCACCAAAUGAUAGUUCAAGAGCAAUGAUAGAUACUAUUUCAGUAGGAGCAUUUAUGCGUCUAUGCUGGGAAGCUGCACUGGAAAUGUUACAUGAUAUUUUUGUUAACAAUAAAGGAUGGAAUACUCGAGAUUCCAAAUAUGGUGAUGGUACAUAUGCUAUUAGAGCAACAAAUAUAUAUGAGUAAUAAAUGACAUGGUAGCACAAGAGGUUGUACAGCUUCAUACAGAUAUUAGGUUUCUUACAAAACAAUUUAAGGCAAUGAGUACUAACAAGGUGAAUGCAGUAGUGACAUAGGGGUCUACCUCUAAACUAUUUAAGAUUGAAUUUGAAGAAAAGGUAAAGUACCUUGAUUGAAGACUAGCAGAUUUCUGAGCCCAAGGACAAGGAAAUCAAGGUCAGAACUAUUAUAAUGAUAGAUAAAGAGAUAGGAGUAGAGAUAGAGAUAGUGAUUAGUGAUGUAAGGAGGACUAUAAGGAGAAUAGUGACAAAUAUAUUCCACCAGAAAGUAAAGAUACAGAGUCUAGAAUGGAGGCACUUAUGGCCAAGCUGGUCAAAGGAAAGAAAAGUCAAAAGAACUACCUGAAGGAUAUCAAAGUUGACCUAUCAGGAUUGAACCAAAAAGUUAAGUCAUAUGCUACGGCAAUCAAGCAGUCAGAAGAGCAGUUUGGUCAACUGUCAGCCCAAAGUAAAUUAGAGACCGCCUAGCACUCUUCCAAGAAAUAAAAUGGUAAAUCCCAAAAAUUAUAGUCAAUGCCAUUCCAUUACCACUUCGAGUGGUAAGGUUACUACAGAACCACUUGUACCCAUAGCUUAUAAGUAGAAGAGUGAGGAUGAGUUGGUUGAUGUUGAGAGCAGCAGCAAGUCGAAUGAAGGAGAAAAAAAGGCUACAAAGCUUAUGUUGAAGCCCAUUCCAAGACUACUUUCUCCCUAUCCAGAAAGAUUGAGAAAAAAAUAAGAAAAAGGUAAGUAUUAGUAAUUUUUGUCUAUGUUAAAAGGGUUAAUUGUCAAUAUACCGCUUGUAGAGUCAUUGGAAAAGAUGCCAGGAUAUGCAAAAUUCAUGAAGGAUUUUGAUCACCAAUAAAAUGUCAGUUAUUUACAAAACUAUUCACAAUUUUCAUUAUUAUAGUGUUAUAGUCACUAGAUCUUUGGUAGAAAAGAAGGAGGAACCUGGCGCUUUCACAAUACCUUGGACUAUUAGGUAUUUCAACUUUACUCGAGAACUAUGUGAGUUGGGGGCUAGCAUCAACCUCAUUCCCUUUGUUGUAUUCAAACUAUUAGGGUUGGGAGCUCCCAAACCAACUACUAUGAAACUAGUAAUGGCAAACAGGACAAUGAAGAACUUAUUGUUUUCCUUUAUGAUGUUUUGGUAAAAGUGUCUUCUUUCAUAUUUCUUGUUGAUUUUGUUAUAGUAGAUUUUAAAGUGGACUUUCAAAACCCCAUUAUCUUGGGAAGACUAUUUUUGGCUACAGGUAGGACAUUGAUUGAUCUUGAGAAAGAAAUUUGAUGUUGUGACUCAAUAAUAAAUAGGUGACAUUCAAUAUAUGCAAAUCUAUAAAGCAACCUGAUAAAUUAAGAGUGGAGUGUGUGAUUGAUAUAGGUGAUAAGAAGAUGAUUUUGAUGUAGUUACUCUUUAGGAUGAUGGUUUUGAUAUGAUUAUUCCUAUUGAAGAGAGGUUAGGUGUUUAAAAUCUUGCAACUGUGAUUAUGAAUUUCAACUCUAAAGGUAUCAAGGAGUAUGAGGAGUUAGUGGGUGAAUUGCAUGGUGAUGGUUAUAAGUAUGCACCAAAUAAGCUUCAUCUAGAUUUAAAGAAUUGAACUACCCCACUUGCUCGCCCAUCUAUUGAGGAACCGCCGGUGUUAGAGUUGAAGGCCCUCCUAUCUCAUUUAUAAUAUGCAUUUUGGGGGGACAACAAUACUUUGUCUAUUAUUAUUGCACCUGAUCUAAGACAUUCGAAGAUAGAAGCAUUACUGUCAGUGUUAAAGAUUUUAAAGAGGGCCAUUGGAUGGUCCAUUGCUGAUAUUAUGGGUAUUCCACCUGGUCUGUGUACUCAUAAAAUAAAGCUUAAGCCUAAUUGUGUUCCAUCUAUUUAUCAUCAACAUCGACUCAAUCCUCAUAUGAAGUAGAUGGUUAAGAAGGAGAUCAUUAAGUGGUUGGAUACAGUUAUAGUGUUUCCCAUUGCUGAUAGAAAAUAGGUUAGUUCGAUUUAAUGUGUCCUAAAAAAGGGCGGAAUAAUUAUCACACCUAGCAAGAAGAAUGAAAUAGUGCCUAUGCGACCAAUCACAAAAUGGAGAAUCUGCAUGGAUUAUAGGAAGCUAAAUGUAUGGACUCAUAAGAACAAUUUUCCUAUGUCGUUCAUGGAUCAGAUGCUGGACCGAUUAGCAGGCUGAGGAUGGAAUUGUUUUCUUAAUGGAUACUCAGGUUAUAAUCAGAUCACUAUUGCAUUUGAGGACCAAGAGAAGACUGCCUUUACAUGUACUUAUGGGACCUUUGCAUUUAAAUGACUUUUAUUUGGGCUAUGCAACACUCCUGCCACAUUUUAGAGAUGUAUGAUGUUCAUUUUCUUUGAUAUGGUCAAAGACACUAUUGAAUUUUUUAUGGAUGAUUUUUUAGUUGUUGAUGAUUAAUUUGAUGACUGCCUUAUGUACUUGAAAAUGGCUCUUCAAAGGUAUGAGGAGUGCAACUUGAUACUUAAUUGGUAGAAGUACCAUUUCAUGGUCAAAGAAGAAAUUGUGCUCGGGCAUAAAAUUUCGAAGAAAGGCAUAGAGGUUGAUCGACCGAAGAUUGGGGUGAUUGAAAAAUUACCUUAUCCAAUUUAUGUAAAGGGAAUUUGGAGUUUUCUAGGGCAUGCAGAUUUUUAAAAGUGAUUUAUCAUGGACUUCUCGAAGAUUGCUAAUCCACUUUGAAAGAUUCUUGAGAAGGAGGUAAAAUUUGAUUUUGAUGAUGCAUGUAAGAAGGCUUUUGGAAGCCUAAAAGAGAAGUUGGUUUCUUCUCCAAUAAUUGUAUCUCCUGAUUGGUCUUCACCUUUCAAAAUUAUGUGUGAUGCUAGAGGAUUGGCCUUAAAGGUUGUACUAGGCCAAAGAAAACAAGAGAUCCUUCAUCCCAUCUAUUAUGCUAGUAAGGCACUAAAUCCAACUCAAAAGAACUAUACCAUGAUGGGGCAAGAGUUAUUGGCAGUUAUAUUUUCCUUCGAAAAGUUUAGAUCUUAUUUGAUUGGGACAAAGUUGAUUGUUCACACAUACCAUGCGGCAUUUUGGUACUUAAUGCGUAAGAAGAAUGCAAAGUCGAGCCUUAUCCAUUGGGUGCUAAUGUUUCAAGAAUUUGAUUUCAAGGUGAAAGAUAGAAAAGGCAUAGAAAAUCAAGUUGCGGUUCACUUGUCUAGACUAGAGGACGAAGCUAUGUAGAAGGUUACUAAGGGAUUAGAGAUUGAUGACAAUUUUCCAGAUGAACAGAUAUUAGCAGCUUCCCAAGAUUUAAUUCCAUGGUUUGCAGAUUAUGCAAAUUACUUAGCAAGUUAUCUAGUCCUAGAGGAUCUUUCAUAUCAACAAAGAAAGAAGUUCAUGCAUAAGGUAAGAAAAUUUUUCUCGGAUGAACCUUAUCUUUUUAAAAUUUGUGCAGAUGGAAUCAUUCGCAGAUGCAUACCUAAAAUGGAGAUGAUAAGCAUACUUAAAGCUUAUCAUUUAUCGCCAGUUUGGGGUCAUCAUGGAGGGCGCUGUACAGCUUAUAAGAUUCUGCAAUGUAGCUAGUAUUGGCCAACUAUAUAUAAAGAUGCUCGUGACUAUUCUGCUACCUAUGAGUAAUGCUAACGAAAAGUCACUAUUUCUAGAAGACAUGAAUUAGAUAUGACCCCUAUUUUAGAAUUGGAAGUGUUUGAUGUAUGGGGCAUAGAUUUCAUGGGACCUUUUGUGAGUUCAUAGGGCAUGAAGGACAUACUUGUGGAUUUUGACAAUGUUUCAAAGUGGGUGGAGGCAAUUCCACUUCCUAAUAAUGCAGUAAGGAGUGUUACCGCAUUUUUUUAGAAGAACAUCUUCUCUCCAUUUGGUAUACCACGUGCUAUUAUUAGUGAUGGAUGGACAUAUUUUUGCAAUCAUCUAUUCAAGAGUCUUGAUAAAUAUGGAGUGAAUCACAAGGUGGCAACACCUUAUCAUCUACAGACUAGUGGACAAGUUGAAGUGUCCAAUAGAGAAAUUAAGUCGAUAUUGGAGAAGAUUGUAAAUGCCAAUAGGACUGAUUGGGAAAGAAAUUUAGAUGAUGUAUUAUGGGCUUACCGUACAGCUUAUAAAAGCCCCAUAGGUGCUUUACCCUAUUAGUUUGUGUAUGGAAAGGCUUGCCAUUCACUAAUUGAGCUUGAGCAUAAGGCACUAUGGGCAUUGAAGAAGCUGAAUUUAGAGUGGAAGGAUGCAUCUAAAUCUAGGUUGAAUGGCAUAAAUGAGCAGGAUGAAUUCUGGCCCCGGGCAUAUAAAAGUUCAGCUUUUUACAAUGAAAAGAUGAAGUUGUAUCAUGAUUGGAAUAUUGAUAAAAGGGUAUUUGAAAAGGGUGACCAAGUGCUACUACACAAUUCAAGGCAUCAUUUGUUUCCAGGUAAGCUAAAUCUAAGAUGGCAUGUCUAUUCACAGUGACAAAGGGUUAACCCUAUAGUGCUUUCGAAAUAAAAAAGGAUGGUGCAAGCCCAUUCAAGGUAAACGAAAAAGGAGUAAAGAACUAUAUAGGAAACAUAGAAGAGGUGAAUGAAUUAGCUGACAUUAACCUUGAUGAAGUCUGAGUAAUCAAGGAAAUUGCAUCGUGUCGCAACAUUAAAAAAACAACUGAAUGGGAGGUAACCCAUGAGGCUAGUUGGUGAAAUUUGAGUAUCCAACUUAUCCACAUCGUGUCACAACGUGAAAUCAAGUGUUGCGUGGGAGGCAACCCAUGUUUUUGUACUUAUUUCAGUUAUAGGGCAAUGUGUUUAUUCAAUGUACAGGAUUAAAAGAAUGCAGGCAAAAUCUAGAAAAGUAAUGAAGUUAUCAUACGGACUCUUUAUGAGUCGUAUCUAUAUGGUACGACUUGUGAGUAGGAUUUGUAUUAACCUGGGAGAAAAAUCAAAAUCAGGCAUAAGUUUCUGGAAUACAUUCCCAAAAUGAGUCGUAUCCUUUGGAUGCAGUGCGUAACUAAGAAUCGUACCCAGUCCAUAACCCAGGUAAGUCACCAGGCUAUACGAGUCAAAGAAAUUACCCAUAAGCCUGGGUACUAGUCAUAAAUACAACUCGUACCCGAUCUUACUAGGUUAGAUCUCAGGUUUGACCUGGCCCAGUGCUUGGUUAAAAUAAGAAAAAGGGCACAAUCGGGCACCUAAUCGAUACCACUCGUACCCAUUCUCGUUUUCACUCAAAUUUUAGCUUCCAAUCCACAAAACAAAGUGUUUCCAACAUAAUUUAGCUACCAACAUCUUCCAAUUACACAUAUUUUAAGAUUUAAACUCGAAUUUGGGGACAUUAAGAUCCAAAAUAAAGAACUCACUUCUUUAAGCAACAAAUAAGUUUCUAAACUUCUUUUUCUUUACGUUGUAAGUCGAAAUGAGUUGUGAUUUACAUUAUAAACUUGUUUUGCAUAGGAAUUAUGCAUAAAUUAGGUUUUUUAUAGCAUAGAUUGGGUCUUAUUAUGGAAAAUAGGAAUUUGGGGAAGAACUAGGGUUUAGAAGGGAAUUUUUAUAUGUAUAUGUGUGUUAAAAUGCUGGAUAUAGUUGAAAAUAGUAGUGGCUAUUUUGGAAAAUUUCCAUUUAAGUCAAACUUUGAAGUUGAACUUCUAUGUUGCAGUGGAUACGAGAUUUCUUAUGACACGUACCCACCGUUACGGGAGUUAUAAUAAGACUUGUACCCACUGACAACAUAGAAAUCUAAAAAAUUCAAAAUUCUAGAUGGGAUAUGACUCGACCAUAAAAGUCAUAUCCUAACCUUUCAACUUGUACACAUUAUUAAUACCCACCUGGGAAAGAAUUCAACUAGAAUAAAUAUUUCUGACCAGCUUACGAUUGUUGGUCAUGAGUCGUACCUAUCUAGUACGACUUAAGCUGACCUGUGAAUACCUAUCAUGCACUAUCAAGGAUACAAAUUGGAUAUACGAGUCAUACCCAGUGGAUACGGCCAAUACCCACCACUCGUACCCAACUGAUACAAAGCACAUUGAACUUUAGUUUUAAAUUUUGCUUUUAUUUUAUUUUCUUAGGUACUAAUAAUAGUGUAUUUGUAGGUACAAUGCCUCCAAAGAAUUCUUCAUCCUCUAAACUAAGUGACAACACCCAGGAGCACAUGCAAGUGUAUUCGAUAUAUCAAGUAGUAAAGUGGCCUAAUGAAAGCCAAGUAUCAAUCCCAUAGGGACUUUUUUUAACAACCUUUAAUUCUAGUUCACAAGUUAGAUUCAAUUGGUGCAAGAGUAACCGAGAGAGAGUUUGUAAUUUGUAACUAAAGAAAAGUGAACAAUGUGGAAAAUAAAAGUACUUGAGACAAUCAAUGGAGUAAAGCCCAGGGUUAAGGAACUUUGAAUAGUCAUACUAUGUUAUUGAACUCCAUUCGUUGACUUGCUUAUCUUAGUUGUUGAUUUGUAGGGUUAAUUGCAUAAUCAUGGUCUCCCAGCCUCUAACCGUUUACCUAAUUUGGAUCUUAAAACUAUAUCAUUGAGAAGGGAUGUAAUAAUCCAAUUAAGUUCUUUAAGCUCUGAUCCUAUGUGUGAAUCAACUAAGGCAUCUAAGUACAUCUCUAUCCUAGAUACUAAUUUGAAUUCCUUAUUUCAUAAAAGAAUACAAACUAUACUUUGUUUAUUCCCAUGUUCCAUCUCCCUAUUCCCUCUCCUGAGAUCACAAGGUUGACAAUUGAUGCAUUCUAAGGUGACCAAGCCUUAAAAUAAUUAUAGUUAAAUUAAACAAACAACCAAUAAUUAUAGGCAAGUUAAACAAAAUCAAUUCAAAACAAUAAUACUCAUGUUCUUAGCUUUAACCUGGACAUGGAGUUUCUAGCCAAUAAUAUUCAUAAUUACGAUCCAAAUAAUUGAAUGCAUGUUAUGAUAUAAUUAAAAGAUAAUUAAAGAAAAUAUUAAAACCUAAAAUACUGUGUAGAAGCUCCUCAAAAUAAUCCACGAUGUCCCCACCUGUCCAGCUGCCUAACAACUUGUGUGAAUAUAUAAUACACUAAUCCUAAACUUUGUAGGAUUAAGAAAAAAAUGUCAUAAUGAUCCAAGGAUUCCAAGAUCCCAACAUACCACGUGGGAACUAUAUUAUAUUUAUAGUAUACAUCCGUGUAUAAGUGGGAAUUUGUCCAUAGUUGGAGCACUGGAAUGAAGGGAGUGACACACGCAUGGGAGCACCUAACUGAAACUCAUGUCGGGUGCAUGGCUACACCGAAAUGAAGCUUGCAUCAUG